rnacentral:lncRNA from 1 species
GUAUUUGAUGCAAAUAUAAUUUGAUGGUAUUUUAGUUGGAAUGCAUUUUGGAGUAAGGAAGUACUGAGAUCAUUGCAAUAUUUAGUCUACUUCAUUUGCCAGUUUGCUGGCCAAAUUUAGUAGUGACGUCUGUUCACAUGUACAAACGAUUUUGCCACAACAAAGAAGUAGGGCGUCUGGUUCUACCGAAGUUAUUGUAAACUUACGUUUGAAGGUUAAUCACAAGGUGUAUCACUUCCUUGGUACCAAAUGAGGUGUUUUUUUUUUUUUUUUUUUUUGGACAACUUAAUGAUAUGGAGGACUAAUGUCAGGGUAGAUUGAAGUUCAAGAGUCCCUCUGAUGUAUGUCAGUUAAUAGAUGAGGAUCCUAGCUUAUCCGGCAUCUGUACUGCUUUCUGCUAGAAGUGCUGACAGCAAGAAGAGGGAAAAAAAAGUCUCUGUGGGCAUGAGCUUCUAGCUUAUCCAGCAUCUCGAAUGAUCUCUUUUAGAAGUGCUCAGAGUUAAUUAGACUAAGCUCUGUGGAGGAGACGGACAGGCCUGAGUCGAGUCCAUAUUAGCAGAAUAUAACUACAACCUUUUUCUUUAUACCAGAAGGUAGAAAUCAUAAUUAUGCCGUGCCUCUUCUCUUUCCUGUUUACAGAGUGAAUUGGUAUCCCGAAAGAGUGGUAAAGUGUAAUAUUUUCCAUUUAAUGGUUCUUCGAUGCAGGACGUUACAGUAUCAUAAUAAAACUUUGGGGUUGCUUAUAUCACUGUUUUCACAUUGUAUGAUAGAGUUGAUGGUGGAUAAUGGAGGAAAAUUCUUCAAACUCUACCAGAUCAGUUUAUUCUCUUUUUUAUGCUAUGUGGUGUUGAAAGAGAUUUUUAUAUUGCAUGUUAUGAUCUGGUUAUCUUAUGAUAUGCAUUUUGUUGUCUUCCCCUUGCAUUUCUGUGCCUUCCCUGUAUCUAUGUGCUCUGUGUGAUAAACAAAGCGGCCUGGAACUUUAGUCAUGUUGGUAUUGAUAUUGUAUAUUGGUUAGAUGAAUGUCAGUUCAAGCUAGUAAAUGAUAAUCAGACUGAUUGUGCAUGUUCCCAAUGCUUGAAAAAUGUACUUUACAGGCUUGUCAGUAAAGGCUGCAAAUUAGUUGGGUGUGGCUCGGCAGUACCCAGUCUUAAUAUUUCAAAUGACGAGCUUUCAAAAAUAGUAGACACUAACGAUGAAUGGAUAUCUGUUCGUACUGGGAUUCGUAAUCGACGAGUUAUUUCAGGUCAGUUCAUACACUCUGUGCAUGAUAAUGUCAUAAAUUUAGUUAACUGUGAGCAGUUUGGGUUGUUUAGUUAGUUACCAUGCACUGAGCCUCUUGAUCCAGUGCCCAAGUUACUAUCUUAGACAUUGGAUAUGCAGUGCAUGACUGUUGAUAUGUAUUGACAUCUUUAAACUAUCUGAGGUGGCAUACUUAAUUAAGCUGAGUCUUGAUUACAGUGUGCAUGCUCAAUAUAGGAAAAGCCACUGAGCUUGAUCAGUCUGUGCUUGCUCAGGGUCAACUAGGUUAGCUAGCUGCAUGCAUGAUCCCUUUUAAAGAAAAUCUGUUUAGUUAUUGGCUUCGCCAAUGCUAUUUGGAAUGCUAAAGUGAUGAAGAAUACGAUGGGGUUUUAGCUGGUAUAUAAUGGAGCGAGGGCUUUCUCAUGGUUGCGGUUGAUAUUUUAACUGUUAUAUAUUGUAUCUCAAUAUAACCCGUACACAACAGUGCAUGUGUUGUCUCUGUUAGUCAUUGAGUUUAUGGUGUGCUGGAUAUCUUAAGGUUACCUUCUCUAGACAAUGACAUCGUUCUAAUGUGCAAUUUUUACAGGCAAAGAAAGCCUAACCUUAUUAGCAGCGGAGGCAGCAAAGAAAGCUCUUGAGAUGGCACAGGUUGAUGCUGAUGAUGUAGACCUAAUCUUGAUGUGCACCUCUACACCUGAUGAUCUUUUUGGCGGUGCUCCUCAGGUGUAUAUAAUAUAUAUAUCCUUUUGUCGGUAUAUCAUAUAUCUGGACUAAGUGGUCAGAUCAUACAUAUUAAUGAUUGAGCGUCUUAUGUUAUUUAAAAGAUACUUCUUUUUUUCAGUUCUUAUUACUUCCAUUCUCUACUGGCGAGUGAGACUUUUGAGUUCGAGUUGUGAAUGCAUUGUUCCGAACCUUUUUUUCUUCUUCUUGGUGGGUGGUUGGGUGGGGGGAGGGUUGGGGUACAUAAAACCUGACCUAUGGAUUUGUGGCUGCUUUUAAAGAAUUGUAUCUAUAAAGUUAUUUGCAUCAUAUAUAUCUGAUUAUAUGGAUUUGAUCUUUACUGGGUUUUAGUUGUCAUAGUCAGGACCUGGAAACUCCAAUUGAUUGUUUUGUUUGACCGUUUCAGGUUUGAGCAAUGUCAGUUAGGUUAAUUUGUUUCUUAAUAUCACAGUCUCUUUUUGCAUAUAAAGCUACUUAGUGCCGUCUCUAGAUUUGAUUGUCUCUUUCCAGCAUCAGGUUCUGGAGUAUGAACUUGAAUAAAUCUUCUGGCCUGAGCUGGAGAUGACUACUCUCAGUAUAGUCAGUUUGUGUAGGUCCAGAACCUAGUCAUGGCACAACUUAAAACUGGCAACUUGAUUCUUGAUGAACUUUCAUCGCCUGUUUACAAUAUAUCCUGAAAACCUCCCUAUGUUCUCUCCUUUAACUAAGCUAACUUGAUAAUUUUUCAAGAAAUCAGCUUGUAUUGGCCAAGUAAUCUGGUUAUUGUGUGUGUUUCUUGACCUUAGCAUUGCUUUUGGUGCGCUUGGCUCAAACAUUUUCCAAAGCUGGGAUGUCUUGUAGCAACUUUUUAGUUCUUUCCUUCGGUUUUCCCAUAAAAUUUUGUGCCAGUUGAGCUAUUUUAUUAAGAUCAACUAGAUAAUAAUUUUGUGUAACAAGAUUCCACUGCCCCAGUGCUUAAGUUGAUCUAUUCAGUAUGGUAACUGCUAGAGUUUGUAAUCUCAUAUUAUGUUGCAAUUUUAGGUUCAAAAAGCACUUGGCUGCAAAAAGAACCCCUUGUCCUAUGAUAUAACAGCUGCCUGUAGUGGAUUCGUAUUGGGUUUAGUAUCAGCUGCUUGUCACAUUAGGGGUAAGGAAUUUGUUUACUUUGAUGUGAGGCAACUGUUACUUCCAUGUUUGAUUGAUUAAACUGGUUUUGCACAAACUACAGGAGGCGGAUUCAAAAAUGUUCUAGUUAUCGGGGCUGAUGCUCUUUCUCGGUUUGUUGACUGGUCUGACAGAGGAACCUGUAUUCUCUUUGGGGAUGCUGCCGGGGCUGUUUUAGUACAGGUGACUUUAUGGCAUUACCUUACAAGUAGUUGCUUGAAUAUUCGUGAAAUCUUAUUAUAAACAAACUAACGGACAUUCCAUUGUCAAUCAUGCUUGUCAACAAAAGUACAGGUGACAAUAUAUUUCAUCCCACUUGUUUAACAUUGCAUUAUUUGUAGGCCUCUGACAUUGAGGAGGAUUUCUUACUUGGUUUUGAUGUUCAUAGUGAUGGUGACGGAAGCAGGCACGUGUUUUCUCCAUUAUUCUUUUAGUUUUCUCACCUUUUUAUCAAAUUGCCAUAUUUCAAGGUUAUCCUGCUGUUUAUAAAUGCCGUAUUUCUCAAUUUUCUUCACGUACAUGUGACUAAUGACUGUCUCUAAUUGCAGACAUCUAAAUGCUACAUUCAAAGGAAAUGAAACAGAUAGUGAAUUGGGUUCUAAUGGUUCAGUCUUAGACUUCCCUCCAAGACGAUCUUCAUAUUCUUGUGUUCAAAUGAAUGGAAAAGAAGUCUUUCGGUUUGCAUGUCGAAGUGUGCCACAAUCGAUUGAGAAUUCGCUUGCAAAUGCUGGUAUCCCUGCAUCUAGCAUUGAUUGGUUACUGCUCCAUCAGGUAUGACAAAUGAUUUUUUUCACAUUCCGCCAGGGACCUAGGUUUAGGUGGUUGAACGAGUUCUCUGCUCUACCUGUCAAGUAAAACUCCUGAUUAAUAAAAGGGGAGCGUAUAUAUAUCAAAAGGCAAAGAACUUCUACCUUAUAAUUUUACUGAUAGAAGAUGUGAGAAAUCUCUCCCAAUAUUCAUUGUAGCGAGCUUGUUGUUGUACCUUUUGUUCUGAUAAUGGCUAUAGGAUAUAACAGAUAAUGACAGAGUUAAAUGAAUGCAGGCAAACCAGAGGAUUCUUGAUGCAGUUUCUAGUCGCUUGGAUAUCCCAUCAGAACAGGUUAUAUCAAAUUUGGCGAACUAUGGUAACACAAGUGCCGCUUCGAUUCCUUUGGCCUUAGAUGAAUCUGUAAGAAGUGGCAAGGUGAAACCAGGCCAUACAAUAGCAGCUGCAGGCUUCGGAGCAGGUCUCACGUGGGGUUCGGCUAUUCUAAGAUGGGGCUGAAAACCUCAUCCUAGUGCCAAGAUAGAAGAGUAUAUGCUAUGAAGCGCAGUUUUGAAAUUCUUGCUUCACAUUUCUCGUGUAUCAUCAUCAUCAUCAAAUGAACAAACCUCAGCCCCCUUUUGUUUGUUUGCCUUUUUCUUACUUGGUAGCUUUGACACCUUCAAUAAGAUUUGUAUUCUUUUCCUCCGGUCCAAUAAUGUAUUUGUUUCUUGAGUCACAAGCCAUAUGUAGAAUAACAAUUCUGGUACCAAAACUAAGACAGUUAUAUGUAUAUCUCAUUGUCUCUAUUGGACAUUUCCUUACAGAAGAGGAUCUUGAAACUGAAUCAAGUGGGAUACAUAAAUAUCUUAAUACAAAGACUAAUCAAGUUAAUAAUUUACACUUGCUGAUAACAAGAAAGAGCAAGAAAACCUCAACUAUGUCACAGAACAAAAACUUGACCUCUAUGAACCCUAGACCUAACCCUCUGCAACACACCCUCAAUUGCAAUGUCGAAAGCAUCUUUCUUGGUUCUUAAUCCCAUUGAACUUCCAUGCUUCCUGUACAUGAUUCUUGGUAUCAAACCCAACACCUUCUCCCUCAUUCUCCUAACCUUAGCUCUUGGUAUAUUCCUAAGCACAUCCAGAAUCCUUGUGUCUUUGAACACCACGUCCUCCUUCGGUAUAUACACCGAAAACUCGGGGUACUGAUCCUCCGGCAAGUGCCACCCGUACUGCGUUCUGGCUGACAUUUCCUCAAAGAACACGGGGAUGCAGCCGGCGAGAAUGCUGUCGAAUAUGGACCGUCUUGUCGGGGUGUCUCCCGGGGGCUGCAAGCAAAAGCUAGCCUGCAGCAUUGGCUUCAUGAACCUAAUAGGGUCAUGCUCACAAAUCCCAUUAGAGCAAUCCACAAUGUCACACAGCUUCAAAUACCCGUGGACAUUGUGGGUCACAUUUCUGGUGCUAUUCACACACUCAUUCCGAAUGCUCCGCCGAAUGUUGGGGUUGCCCGUGGCGACGCCUCCGCCGCCGGCAAAGAGCAUCAAGCAAGUGCGCUUUGACCUUCUUGCCCUCUGUAUCCAGCUCUGGAGUAACGACAGAUUGGGCGGGUGAAACGACGUGGGAUAAGGAACGGCCUGCUCCUGCCAAGGCCAGGCGCGUGACUCAACCGUCAAAGCCGUGACGUUGAAGAAGUGGGGGAGUUCCAGAAGCGACGUGCCCCACGUGGGCGGGUCAGAAUCCAACGGCUGAGAGAAGUCCCAGGCGGGUCGGGCCAGGACCAUGAAAUGGUCGUGCCCCGAGUUCCGAUCCCACACCUCCGGCAUGUCGUCCUGCAGAAACCGGAAAAGCUCAAGACCCUGAUCGGCGCUGGAGUUGACUUCGGGGCCGUAGAGGUACUUCAUGGCGUCGAGCCCCGUGUAGUAAGGAAGAUAAACGGCGUCAGCCUGGACGGGAUCUGACGUCAGACAGGGAUAUUCGAGCAUGCGGCGGUGGAAGAUGAGCUCCAUGAUUAAGGAGUCGGUGCGGUACCAGCUCUGGGAGAGGUUGUGGGUCUUGUGGCCGAGGCCAUGGUUGGGCAGGAAGGGGCACAGGUCGCCGAACAAAGGGUAGCCGGAGCAGGUGGAGAGGAGAUCCAGGUUGAAAAUGGACGGGAGCCGCCGGAUGUGGAUCCAGCGGUCGUCGCAUUCCGUUGGAUUUGUAUCGGCUUGAUCGAUUACAGGAUCGGAAGUGACCAACGCCAAGAAGAAGAAGAAGAAGGGGAUUAGCAAAGCGGAUGCCAUAAUUGAAAGCGAGAGAAUUGGGGGGGGUUUUGAAUUCACUCCUCCAUGACGGUGAGAGUGAAUUGUGAAAGUUCAACGUCCUCUCACUUCCACCAUUAACGAAACGGAGGAGUUGAUUUAAAGGUUUUCCUCUCUCUUUUUUUAACUGCGUGGUGUUGUUGGGCGGUUUGACCCGUCAAUGUCGGUGGUUUUUUACCCUUUUUUGGCGCCUUUUCUUUUCUCUUUUUUUACUGAUGAGGUUGGUUUGAUUAGCAAGAAUGGGAGAAAUCCCUCUAGGUGGAUCCUAAAUAAGGGCUUUCCUUCAUUACUUGGGCCUGCCUAUGUACCCAAAGACAAAAUGGUCUAAAAACCCAAUCUUCCCAUUGUAUAUAAACCGCAGGAAUGGCCCUUUAAAUCCUUUCAUUUCCCUCCAGCUCGAUCUCUCCCAAAAACACCAAGAAGAAGAUAGAAGAAAGGAGCAAGAAUCGUCCAAGAUCGAUCGAUGCUGAAAGCCGUAGGAUUGUUCGGCGGCCGGAACAAGAAGAGCCCGCCGCUCUUCAAGGACUACUACGCCGAGUGGAUCACGACCCUGAAGAGCACCCUCCUCCCCUCCCUCCACCAAUCCCUCUCCGACACGUCACCCUCCUCCCUCCCCCGCCUCUCCCUCCACGUCGACGCCCUCCACCGCCACUUCCAGUCCUACUACGACUCCCUCGACGCCGCCGCCCAAAACGACGUCGCUCAGAUCCUCUUCCCCGACUGGCGCAACCCUCUCGAGAAGCCCUUCCUCUGGCUCGCCGACCUCCACCCCUACCUCUUCACCAACCUCCUCCGCUCCUUCCUCGACCAAGACUCCGACGACGACGACGACGACAGCCUCGUCGUCCAAUUCGGCGACCGCCCCUGGCACGUCGCCACCGCCUGGCGCAGCCCUUCCAAUUCUCUCGCGCAGAAGGUCGAACAGGUGGAGUGCGGCCUCAGGCUCAUGGUGCCAGCGCUGGCGGCGCGUGCCAGGGACGCGCAGGCCGCCUUCGUGGAGCGCGUGGCCAAGAAUUGGGGGCCCUUCGACGGCGGGAAGAAGGAGACGGCGAAGGCGGUGAUGGCGGAGGCGAUGGAGGCGGAGAUGGAGGAGAUGGUGAGCGUUGUGCUGGAUGCGAAUAGGCUGAGGAGGAGUGUUCUUGCCGAGAUCAUCGGGGCCACCAGUGUUUACCAGGCCGCUCUGUUUCUUGAAGGCCUGGCCCAGUUUCUUGUUGGGUUCAGAAACCCGGAGUUGCUGGCCCAGUUUGAUCAGUGCAAGACUCCUCUCACUAAGCAAUGCCGCUUGGCAGUUUGAUUCAGAAGGGUUGCUCUCUUUUCCACUCUUUCAAAUUCCUCUGCUUUUUUCUUUCUUUUUUUGGAUGAACACAUUUGGGUUGAUGCAGUUUUGUACUGAUUGUUUCUGUGCUGGUGUGGACUUGGUGCAGGGAAUUGAUGAGCUUGUUCAUUCAUAAUCUGGUAGCUAGAGAAGGCUUCAGGUUGCAGUUUCUUUGAGGGCGUGGACACAUUCUCUGUCAGUUGUGAGUGAAUGAAGUUUCCUUUUUCGAUUUGGUAUUCGCUGUUGUGUAUGAACUGAUAUGACCAAGAUUGAAUCUUUUUGAAUGUGAAUGAUUUAGUGCUUCAAUGAGUGGUCUUUGUAAUCAAGUAGUUUUGAUCAUUGUUCUUGAGAUAGAGGCAAACAGCAAGUAGUGUACUGUGGAAGCCAUGCCGAAUUUUUCAAUUCACUAAUAAAGUUGUCUAUGUUUUCUAUGUGCUGUAUGGAUGGAUUAUUUGAUGCCAGAAAUGAUUUUGAUAGUAGCUCUAGUCGGAUUAUGGGAUUAGUAGACAUUGUGAUAAAGCAUGGACUGUGGUUUAGGUGUGCCAUAAAAAUCAUCAUAAACUUUUAUCUCAAGUGACAGAGGAAAGGAACAACAUUAUUUGAGUGGCUAGAUCCUAUCAUGAGGAUGGGGAUGCAGAAAAGUAUGACCACAGGAAAUGGCACAGUAACAAGCAGAGAUGUAGCAGCAGUACCAUGUUAGAUUGCUAGGAAAUAAGUCCCUCAAUACCUAAACUGGAAGUAAAACCUUACCUCUUUAUCUAGUAUUAUCUGCUAGUGGAUGUUUUCUGGAGAAUUAGUUGGGGUUUACAUCAUUGUGUCUCUUGGAUAAGUAAAUGGAUUGUGACUAACUGACUGGAUACCAGUCAUUUCCUGCAUUCUGGUAGAGAGAAACUGCAUUGAACGGUGAUAUGCUUUUGUAUGUUACUCGAUCAAAGUACUCGUUUUCUCACUAAGUAGUGUGGUUAGCUAUCAUUGUUAGGGCCUUAUGGAUGCCCUUCCUAGCGUCCGGGCUUACUGGUUAAGGCUUCUGCUUAUCAGUCGAUCACAGUAUUCGUUUGUUCAUCAUUGUGGCUUGGAAUUUCUUACAGCUUGUUUGUAAAUGUAUAACAUUUGGCCCAAGAAGAUGAAGAAACUAUUAAAAGCUUCAUCAUGGGCUAUCUCAAAGCUUUCAGAUCAUAUUGAGGGAGAUGUGAAUCUGUGGCUUUCAAAAUGAAAACCCAAAUUAGCGCUCAUAACUAAUUGCAAAUGUAACAUAAUCAUGUGAAAACUAGUCAGUUUACUUAGGCUGCUUCCCAAGCCCAUAUCAAGGAUGCCUUUGGGCAAAACAUAUUACUCCCACAUAAUUUCAUCUAGUUCAUCAUCACUCUAUGGUCUAUUUAUAUAUUUAACUGCAGUUUAACCUUAUCUAAAUCCUAUGUGGGAGAUGCUAGCUGUUGAUAUUUGACCUGGAUGAAAACUACAGCACAUAUGUUCAUGCAUUCUACAGAAGUAAAAUCUCUGUCCUCCAAUCUUAGCUCCCCACUAAAACAAGUUUGUAAAUGAUAAAAUCCAUCAGGUUUCAUUUAAUUUGAUUUCCAUUUAGACAUCUGCAGAUCUGAGCUCCUUUCUUGGCUAUGAAGAAUGACUCAUUUGUGAGGAUCGGAUGCCAAUAAGGACUAAUUAAUGAAAAACAACUGAUCAAUAUAUAGAGUCAUAGACCAUAUAAGGAAGGUUUAAGGUUUACCUAUCUGCAAGUUGUUGCUGCAACCCAGAUGGCAUAAUCACUAACCUAUUAAUUAGUUUACUCGAAAAUUUGGAAGAUGAUUGACUAAUGUUGAUCUCGAUCAACUUCCUUGUCCAUGUGGUCCUCUUGAAAUUAAACAAGAAUACAACUAAUACCCUGAAUUAUAUUUAGUCUGCAACUCUGCAUAUCUUGUGACUCGUUUGCAGAUAUGUCACCUGAACUGCGCUAGGGGAUCGAGCUCGAGGUACUAAAUUUUUCGUCGUGUCAUACUCGAUCAGGGCAUUAGAACAAUUGUAUCGAAAAGUACGCAUCUGAUCAGAGUAACUAUGAUUAUUUCUUGUACGUUUAGAGAUAUAUUAUUAAGUUUACUAACUGGAAAAAGUACGCAUCUGGUUUCGCCUUAUCUGAUCCAAUGUUGUCAGCAUGAAGUUCUGAACUGCAAUUCUGUGUAAGAAUUGAAGAACUAACGUGUGCAGCUCGCCAUAGCUAGCUAGUUGUCCAAAAGAAAAGGAAGCAAAACCAGAUAUAAAAUUGAAAACUCGAUUGCACGUUGUAAUUCCAUUAGGAAAUGCUAACGAACGUGACUUCCAACUCAUUUUAUGAUAUAUAGAAUUGAUUCAGACUUGCAUACUUAUGUUUGUUUCAAUGUUAUAUUGAAACUUGAUCUGCUGCAGAAUCGAUCAGCAGGUCAACCUGGCUUUAAUUUUUUCGAAGUCUUUUAAUUUUUUCGAAGACGCAGCCCAUGUGUCUUGCUUAAUUUUAACUGUUUGUUCUGCUCUCUAAAUUGAGAAAAUUAUAAUCUUUUACUCAGAAGUUUUGUCUUCAUAAUAUACUUGUUUAAUUGUCAAAUUGCUCAUUAUGAAACAGUUACUAUUGCAAUGAUCAAAUUGUGUUGAAGGAAGCAUUUGUCUUGUUUAGUUUUAAAAUGUUAUCCUUCAGCCAGAUUGAUCUCUUCAUCUAUCUUAUCUAGAUCUAGCUAGCUAGCUACUUGCCAUUUGUAGUUUUAUCCAUCUCUAGCUUAUCUCUCAGCUCUCUCGCUCUUCUAUGAUCUGUUUCUGCUCUGCAUUAGUCAUAAUAAAAAUCUUCAUCUAGCUAGCUAGAAGUGGCACUUGUUAAUUCUUGUAGGUAGGCAAUUACUGUAUAAACUAAUUAUUAUUGCUAAACAUACACAGUGAUAUAUAGUGUUAGGAAUGCAUCGAUCAGACUGAAACCUCUACUGCGCGCAGUAGUGGCUUUAGCUCGCAGAUUACUGUUAAAUCUAUACAAGUUGGAAGCUAGGUCAAUAUGAAGUUUAAUAUGGAUACAGGAUACUCACUCAUUAAGUGAAGCACAUGAAAUAUGAUUCAGCUAGCUAGCGUCUGGUGGCCGACACCACAGACAGUGCUCAAAUAAUUCAAGUUGCUAGCUAGCUAGCUAGAAACAAAUCGAUUCCCAGUACUAUCAUCUUUCUACUAGCUAGUCUCACUAUGUAUAAGUCAUCGCAUUGCAUGAGUAAGUUGGUACAUGUUGUAAGGUAGGUUUGUGGCCAGGAAAUUGAGAUACAAUAAUCAAGAGCUUGUUCGAUCGAUCAGAUGAAUAUGCAUCAAGCAUCAAGCAUAUGUUCUUGCUAUGUGGUUAUCGAUCGCGCGCACUGAAGUCGAUUUAUAUUAUAACAUGCAUGCAGCUUAACAGAUCAAGCAAUGGUUUGUGGUUGAGAAUUUGAUGAUUCUACAAUAGUGCGCGCUAGCUAGCUCUUGCAUAAUCUGCUUGUCUCUCUAUUUACAUAUUGAAAGCGUUUGCCUUACUGAUGCUUAAUUAAACAUGCUGAUUUGUGGCUAGGUAUAUGAGCCAAGACGAUCGAGACCAAUGUAGCUAAGGGAUUCAUCAGCUGCAUGCUACGGUGUAAACUAACCUUGAUUGGUUUGACUUGACAUUAACAAUGAGCCAAACCAAACUGAUUUUGAAAGCAACUGUGAAGAUGGACUGGUUCACUGAAAGUAAUUUAAGUCUGCAUGCCCUGAUAUUAAAAGUUAAUCAAACUGAUUCCAGUCAAUAAUUGUGGGAAAUAAAUUACUUACUUUCACUACCAAUGAACUGAUUUUGCAUGGGGUAGAUUGUUGAAUUUUGCAUAGUAUCAGACAAAUAUUACUUCCUUAAUUAUAUGAAUGAAGUAGCAAUCGAUCAUAUUUUGAUAAUGUUACGUGGUAAAAGUGUAUAUAUAUAUAUAUAUAACUUAGAGUGCAAGACUGACCUUAUGAGAUCAUUGAUGAUCUAAAUCGGGAACUAUAUAUCCAAAACUAAAAGUAACCCACCCUGGUUAACUACUGUCGUAAAGUUACAUGCAUGUCUUGCAUAUGUACGUAUUCUAUAUUAUAUAUGAUGCAGUCAAUUUAUGAAAUUUUGGACACGACUUGACUUGUUGAAUUGGCAUUAGAUCGACGACCAAAGUUGUCUUACGCAGUUGUUAAUAAUUACUUUGGCUUACAAAACAAGCUCUGUUAAUUAUACAUGCAUAUAUUUCCUACCAUCAAAAAUGGUUUUGCUGACUUUCGAUUCAUUUGCAAGACGUGACAUUGUGGAAUGGGGCAAUGUGGUAGCUAGCUAGAGUACGUGACAUUGAUAUCUAUGUAAUUAAAGAAUAAUUGAAAGAACAUAUAUAUGACAACAACAUAUAGAGCCUCCUAGCUUUACAAGGAACUGACUCGAUCACCGGUCACCACCACCUUGGAGAUCCAUUCUUCCAAUUAAAUGGGAUUUUGACCUCUUCCACUUAAUUGAAGACCAUAUAUUAUAUCUAAUUAUAUGAUCCGGUCAAUCUUAACUAGCUAGCUAGCUACCCACUUAUUUUUAAUUGCUAGCUUAUUAUACGUGGUUAUUUUCUUCGAUCGCGAUCGGGCGUUCUCUUUGCGUAUUAGCUUUGCGCAUUACAAAAUGCUAGAAAGAGUACACACUUUUAGACCACUGGUAAUAGUCAACAAUAAUUUACGUACGUAGUUCAAAGAUACUAGUAUAAACUGAUAUAUAUACGGGGUUUGUCACUAUAACCUACCUAACAAAGAUGACAAUACGUUCACCGAUGAUUGGAUAUCUAUCACGUACGUACAUGCACGCACGCUACAACAUAUAUAUGCGAUGAAUCAGUAGUACUUGUUGGUUCAUUUGCGAUCGUAUAAAAAGUUUCUCUAUAUCGAUCGGCCAGACUCGUGAGAUCGAGGAAUUCAUAUUCCAUUUAGUCCCGCGCGCAAUCAUUCAUUCAUGACACCUCUACGCCGGCCUCUCAUAUAUGCCUCUUAAUUUGUCGAUGGAAUCGAAUACCAUUGUCGACUCCCUAGCUAGAUCCACCACCCAUGCACGCACUCGAUUAACUAAUUACUUGGGCAUUGGGGGUAGGCUAGGGAUGACAAAAACGAAAUCAAAGUGAGAAUUGAAAUCCGACUCUAUAAUGCUUUCUUUGCUUAAAAGUCCAUGCAUGGGCGUCCACCGAAUAUAAAAAACCCAGCACGUACGUGAUAAAGCAGCACCUUCGAUUCGAUCAUGAAAGCAGCCCAGCUAGCUCUGUUAAAAGAACAGCUAGCUAGCUUUCCUUCCACGUCCCAACUCGCUGGAAGUUGCAGCUGCAGGUUCAUUGCUAGCUCUUUCAACACGUACAUGCAGUAGCACGUCGUGGUCGGGUCGCCGACUCAGGCACUCAUCAGCUCCAACUCAGCUCCCGGCCUACCACCUCAGACCUCGAUCACUCACACCCGGCCGCGCGGGGCCCACAGAAUAUACUACGGAUUGGUACAGUUGCCCUAAUAUUUGGACGGCCGGGAAGGCUUCCGGCCACGUCAUCGUGCAGCGACUGUGACAUCAAUGAUUGGAAAAUGGGGAGCAAAGGGGAUGGCGAGGGAGAUGUUUUUGUCAUCGACAAAGAGGACGAGGUUUUGCCUCGUGUAUCCGAGGUGCCCAGUUGACUCUCAAGUCCCUACGUACCUUUACUGGUUCUGUUUUAACUUUGCUUUCAUAUAUUGGAAUCUUUCUCCAUUCUUUCCUACAACCUUCCUUCCUUCCUCUCUUUGUGUUUCCCUUUUCGAUUAAUUGUUAGCCUAACAAUGGUGGAGGAUUGAAAGACGGAUAUCCAACCAAGUCUAGCUGAAACGAAUUGCCAUAAAACGGCAAAUUUUAUGCGACAAUUUUGUACGUUGUUAAUAGCUAAUGAAUCGAAUAACAAUAAACAAACAAAAAUAUCAUAGUAAGUACAAUUAUAAAUACAAAUGAGAAUGCUCAAUUCUUGCAUCGAUUGCUAGAAAGAUGGGCAAUUCCUAACUGGUCGGGUUUGAUUUUAAACAUCCAACUUAUUGAUGAAUCGUUAGAUUUCAAAUUAAACCUAAUAAGUCUUGAAUUGGAAUCGUAAUUAGUAAUUUCUGAGAGAAGGGUUAAUAGCUAGUUUUGGGAUUUACGAUUGUUAAUUAGUAGGUUAAGUGAGAUCACUAGUUUUUGUAUUUGGUCAGUACGUAACUACAUAAUUAUUUUUCUACAAUAACUAUAGACAUUUGUUUCAGUACUUAUGGCAAUGCACUAUAUGUAUGAGAUAGAUAAUUCCAUUUAUAAUUUACUAUUUUGUUUCUUCAUGUUGGCUCCAUGCACUGGAUUUAUGUAGCCAUGUAGGGGUCGGAAAAUAGUAGUUAGGAUUGUUUCCAUUGGAGAUGUUCAAAUUUUAUGUGAAAUCCCGAAUUUUAUGUAAAUAAUUAAUCUAGACUAUAUAUAAUUUAUUUAUUUAUAUAUAGAUAUAUAUAUAUGUGAGUACAUGUUCGUUUUAGCAACGAAAAUAAAAGUUCUCUUAGAACUAAACAAAAGAAUUUUCAACUAAAAAAUAAUUAGAAGAAGAAUAUAAGACUUCAAAUAAACUGAAUGUUCCAAAAGUUUUUGUUAAUUUGUGUUACAAAGAAUCAAAUAGAGACCUAGUUAACAUCAUCUGUGCUAAAAAGAGAAAAAGAAAAGAAGCAGUGUUUAUUUGUGAUCAUCUUUGGUACAGAAAUUACAUAUAGCUGCAAAUUAUUGGACACUUGAUAUUAGUACAUGUUUUCUCAAGCUACAUUAGAUCAUUUUCUUUAUUUGUAAACUUGUGCUUCAUGAUUUCCUUGAGAAUUGCUGAUUUCAAAAAGCUUCCAACAAAGUUUUGCCCUAUUUCAUGUGUUGUUUUUGGAUAAAACCAUUGGAUUUAACCUACAACAUUUACACAUCAACAAAUCAGAAAAAAAUUAUAAUUACAUAUUGGAUUUUAUUUUGUCUUCUUUUCGCUAGCUGAUAGCUUGUGUGUAACAUAAAGUUACACAUGUUUUAUUGAUUCACCUAGUAGAUAGCUUGUGUGUAAAACAUGAGUGUAACACAAGGCUAGGUUACACAUGUUUUGUUGAUUCACCUAGUAGAUAGAUUGUAUGUGACACAAAGUUACACAUGUUUUACACAUCUUAACCUAUACUAAACCACACUUUUGCUUGUGUUUUGCACACUUUUGCUUGUGUUUUGCAUGUAGUUGCUGAAUGAGCAGCUUAAAACUUGGUCUCAAAUAAGAAGGGAAAGUUAUGGGGAAUCUCAAGUUUUGUUUUAUAAACUUGUUAUCUUGCUUUGAUCGAGUUGUUUAUAUUGUUGUUGAAGGUGGUUAUAUUAUGUUUAGUUUUUUAUCAAGUUAUUAUUUGAUCAUAUGUUAAAUAAGAAAUGAAUGAAGUUAUGGGGUUGAGGCUAUUACGUACUUGAAAGGGACCAGCAAUAUUUGUUUUUGUAUACAUGUAGGGAGAGAAGCCUUUCGAUGUUAUAUUGAUAAAAUGAUCUUACGGCAAGAAGACAUUGGUGACCAAUAAUAGUAGAAGAGUAUCAACAACUGAAACCUAAAAUUAUGUGCAUGCACUUAUAUUGAAAUUAUGUGCAUGAUAUUUGCUCUACCGAGUCUUUUGGCUCACCCCUCUAUGAAUUUGUGCAGAUGUUACACUUGAGGGAUAUAAAUAAUUUAAAGUGUAGGAGGAGGAAGAGUGAACAAUUAGCUUACUGUUUUGAUUCAUGACUAUGUAAUAAGGCUUAUUCAAUAAGCUUACUUUCCUGUUUGUUGUAAAAACAAGACUUAUGAAAUAAAAUUCUCUUUCACCGAGUCACUUUGAUUCUAAGUUUUCUACAUAAUUUCUAUUUGCCAAGGUUCUCUUAACUUUGACAAGUCGAAGCUAUCCACGUCUUUACCCUGAAAAAAAAAAAAUUUCUCAAUUUCUGAGUCAGGGUGUGACAUUUUAUUUCUUUUAAUUUGGAAGAUCGAUUUCUACUAGUUAACUGGUUACAUACAUACAUUAGUUUUGUAUUAAAUAUUUUAUCUUACCUAGUAAUUAACUAGCAACGUCCUGGAUUCCCUUUUGACAAGAAAAUACAUUGUUACAAACGAACUACAUUUACUCUUUUCUUAUCAUCAUUUCAUUUCAUUGCUUUUGAGAUGGAAUAAUUGACCUCAAAAUUUAGGGCCUUCAAGAACAAAGUUGUGCAUUUCAUGAUGUGAGUCUUUGAGAAAAAAAAGAAAAGAAGAAGUUAUAUAUAGUUCAUGUAAGUCGAUCGUUUAUGCAUGUUGUUCAUAUUUAUGACUAAAUUUCAGAUUUUCAUGCUCCAUAUAUUUUCUUUAGACAUGCAAAACACAAAUUUAUGAGUUUAUGAGUUCGUGUAUGUACUUUACUGUAUCACACGAUCGACUGAAAUUCACAAUUGGUCUUAAUCGUUAAUCAAGUUGAUAAUUAAGCGCGAUUGGUCGUAAUAAUUCAUAUACAGUAUGCAUGGUUCGUUUGUUAGUUGUCUGUGACUUGUGGUCGAUCAUAACAAAUCCUAGCUACUUCUAGCUCUCGCUGGCUGCGCGCUAGAGAUCUGGCAUUUUCUAUUAAAUUUUAUGCAGUUUAUAUAAGAUAAUCUUCACGUUUCUAGUGUUAUGCUUAAAUUUUUGGUGGAAUUUUGAGAAAUUUUUUUAAGACUUGGUUAGCUUGAUUCAAGUACCUGAUGAGGACCUUCCUACAGGCUACAUCAAUAUGAAUUCCUUGACUGAAGGAGAAAUUUUAAAUGUGGUGACCUAUUAGCUAGUGUCCUCCAACAAACAAGUCACUUUUAUUAUGAGAAAAUUUGUUUACGUGACUAAAAAAUUAAGUGUACGGCUUUAAAUUAAAACAGAAAAUAAAGCACGCAAUAAUCCAUCAACAAUAAAGCAUAUUAUUAGCUUCUCUCUUCUACCGACAUGAAAAAUCUAAAAAGACGACUACCACCGCAUACAAUCAAUCCAAGCUAACCGGUUACUUGCGAUAAAACAUCAUUUCCAACCCAAAUUUGAGUAGGAUCUUCUAUAUAUUCAUUCCACUUUUCAGGUUUUUACUAUACCUCAGUAAAUCAGUAAUCCUGUUCCGGCCAGGAGUUCCAAAAAUAUCAAACCAACAAAUUAACAGAUCAUUUCUCAUUCCGGUAAGGCCAUCAAGAACAAAAUAUACGCGUACGACGACUCUCUACAAAUUAUGGUGUUGUACAUGGUCAUUACUUCCAAAUACAUCGUACCUGGUCUUAUAUGGUUCUCACGAGAAAUAUGCGACAUAUAUAUUGAUGGACGAAAUAUUGUACUUCCACUUGUAAGAGAAGGAAGAACAAGUGAAAGCAACUCAUCACUAGUUUUCUUUCAUUUGGUACGUGUACAUCUAUUUAGGAAUAUUAAACUCGAUCUCACCAAAUCAAAAUAUAUAGAAUUCGGCUCUUGCCUUCUCGACAUGUUGAAGGGUUAUUAACUUCUUCUUCUCUCUCUCUCUCUAUAUACAUAUGAACAACUGAAAAUAUAGAUAUUGUCACUUAAUUUGAUCGAGUAAUGUGUAUUUGAGUAUGCAAUAUCACGAAUGUGAAGUUUUUGUUUUAAUUUCUUCUGCCAAUACGCAAAUCCAACAUGCCGCGUGCAUGAUUUCGAAUUACUGAUCACUGUUUUCCUAAACGUAAAGCCAUCACUUAGUUGAAUCAUACCUAAAUUGUUGCCUAUCUAACAAACUUCGCAAAACUUUUUUAUUUUCUGUGUGUUUGUAAUUAAUUAGGAAGAACGGAUGAGUCACUUUUCAUUGCCGCAACCAGAUGAAAGUAACGGCAUGAGCUGCUGAUAAUUGGAGUUAAACAAAACCAAAUAGUAACAAAUAUAUAUGAAGAAAAACAAACUAAUACCACAAUCUCAGAUGAGCAUGUCAUUAUGUGGUCUUUAAUUAUGUCUCAUGCUACAAGUUUGUUUUUUAAGGUACCUUAAUUACUCCAACGAAUCCUAAUUAAGCUGCUUAUGAUUUUCUCUUCCGGUUCUAAAUAGCUAGUCAGACUAUAUGCUUUAGUGUUGCGAAAGAUCUGUAUGUAGGACAGAGGUACCAUGUCGUGGUUGGUAGCGCAGACUAGCUAAUUAGUGUGCAUGCAUAUAUAAGGUGCUCUAGGUAUUCAAUUUCAUGAAGAAAAUUUAAUUUAACACUCAAAUCUUUUUAUUAUUAUUAUUGAUUGAUCGACCCUACCGUCAUGUAGUCACGCAGGUUUGCGGUACAUGAAACUUUAAAUUUCUUGAGCUUAAUUGAAGAAUUAAAUUCAGUUUACUCCCAUGAGGUUUGGGAAUAACUUCAUGUUAAUCCCUAUGCUUUCAGUUUCAUCAGUUUACCCCUCAAACUUUUGAAUUUUCCUCAAGCGUGACCAAUGUCCUAUAUUCUGUCCAAAUCGGACGUUAACUGCUGAUAAUUUUAAGAAUUAAAUUCAGUUUACCCCCUUGUGGUUUGGGGGUGACUUCAUGUUAGUCCCUACACUUUUAUUUUCAUCAGUUUACCCCUUGAACUCUUCAAUUUCUGUCUGUCAUGCCCAAAUUCUCAUAUUCCGUUUGAAUUGACCUUUAAUUAUCAGCAGUUAAGGUUCGAUUUGGACAUAUAAGGUCCGAUUUGCUCAAAUUCUAGAUACUGGCCUCACAGUUAAGGUUAAAAUUAUCAGCAGUUAACGUCCGAUUUGGACAGAAUAUAGGACAUUUGGUCACGCUUGAGGAAAAUUCAAAAGUUUGAGAGGUAAACUAAUGAAAUUGAAAGUAUAGGGAUUAACAUGAAGUUACUCCCAAACUUCAUGGGGGUAAACUGAAUUUAAUUCUAAUUUUAACCUUAACUGUGAGACUCGUAUCUAGAAUUUGGGCAAAUUGGAUAUUAUCUGUCCAAAUCGAACAUUAAUUGCUGAUAAUUAACGGUCAAUUCAAACGGAAUAUGAGAAUUUAGGCACGGCAAAUAGAAAUUGAAGAGUUCAAGGGGUAAACUGAUGAAAAUAAAAGUGUAGGGACUAACAUGAAGUCACCCCCAAACCACAAGGGGGUAAACUGAAUUUAAUUCUUAAUUGAAAGAAAUGAAACCUACCACAUGAUCUAUUGUCUUUUUUUGGAAACACAUACUAACUAUCUAUUUGAUGUUGCUUAAUCAAUUUUAGUCAAAAAGUCACCCUCAAAUAUAAAUGGUAUAAGCAAUAAUAUAGGGUUUAAGAAAUAUUGUAAAACCCACGAAAAUUAAAUUCAUUUCACUGAUCAACUAGGGUGUUAAUAGAGGAAUAUGAUGCCACAAGCUUGGCAGAGGAUGUGGAAACCUCGUCUUGAAGGGAUGGAUAGUACAAGCACUCGACAUUUGACCCAUAUUGAGGUCCAAAUCGAGUCAGUUUUGGCAAUUUGGAUCCAAACUGUUGGAGCGAUGAUUUGAAUGGCGAUAGAGAUGGCAGCAUGAAGAAAUGGGAGGACUAAUUUGGGGCACCUAUUGGGUUGUGUGCCCUUAACAUUUCUAUUUGGGCAUGGCCUACAAUGUUCACUAAGGUUUUGACCUUUGAGCUGAGUUUUAAUGGUAACGUCUUAAAGGUUGAAUUGUCUCUUAUCAUGUAAUGAAUUUUUCUAAGUGUGCCCUUAACAUUCCUAUUUAGGCAUGGCAUACAAUAUUCACUAGGGUUUUGACUUUUAAGCUGAGUUUUAAUGAUAUGAUUAAACGUCUUAAAUGUUGAAUUGUCUCUUGUCAUGUAAUAAAUUUUUCUAAGUGUGCCCUUAAUAUUUCUAUUUGGGAAUGGCGUACAAUGUUCACUAGAGUUUUGACAUUUGAGCCGAGUUUUAAUGAUAUGCUUAAAUGUCUUAAAUGUUGAAUUGUCUCUUGUCAUGUAAUGAAUUUUUCUAAGUGUGCCCUUAACAUUUCUAUAUGGGCAUGGCGUACAAUGUUCAUUAGGGUUUUGAUAUUUGAGCCGAGUUUUAAUGGUAUGUUUAAACGUCUUAAAGGUUGAAUUGUCUCUUGUCAUGUAUGUAAUGAAUUUUUCUAAGGGUAAAUCAUACAUAAUUAUCUUGCUUAUCAAUAAAUGACAUGUCAUAUGUCUUCCAAAAAAUAGUAAUGAGCUGGUACUUGACAUAGAAUUCCAGAUUUCUCAAUUUUAAUUAAGAAAUGUUGAAAACAUACCACAUGAUAUAACUGUCUUUGUUUGGAAAGCACAUACUAAAUAGCUAUUUGAUGCCUUGACCUAGUUUCUUUUCUUGAACGAGACAAGAGAUAGAGAGAUGAAGGCAAUUGAAACUUAACGCGGACGAAAAAUUAAUCAUGCCACAUGACGUAACCGGUUUUAUUGGCAAAGUACCUAUUUAAUACCUUCACCCAAUUUUCCCCCUCUUCCAUCUCAUGGACCAAACUACAUUUCAUAUUUAGCAAAAAAUAUGUGAUGGCAACAAAAGAAGUUUAUGGGUAAAAAUUUGAUGCCUAUGGUCUCAUACUUUCUCUCUCUAGCCAUUUUUUUUAUGGAAUUCUUUCUAGCUAGUUGUAUUUUUAAACGUCUAGUAGUACUUUGUAUCAAACAAAAAAACAAGUCUAAUACGUUGUAAUUUUCAUAGUCUUCAAUUCACAUGUUGUGGAUGACAUAGCAUGAUAACACCUGUGACAUUUUUGGAAGGUUUCCAAUAUUUUUCUGAACAAACGGGGGGAAAAAAAAACCAGUAAACGUAACGUAAAUUCAGCAAAACUGCUUUGGUAAUAGAAUUCCCUUUCUACCCCUAUGUGACCUCCAUGACUCCCACCACUCUUUAGCUAAUGGGUUACUUUUUCCUAACCAAGUCCCACUUGAAAACGGAGACUUGACCGAUCUGGUGGGUCGUGGAGCGCGUGACCCGGUGGCACGAGCUUCGCGCGGCUUUGUGAGAGAAAGCGAGCCACCUUUUCAGAGGUGGUGGCACCACCACUAGUGGCGGGGGUUGGUAUGUCUUUUGCCCAAUUAUCGUUCGAACCUUCUUUUUUCAGACCUCUAGAGCAGCUUUCCAAAGAAAAGAAGAAAGGUGUGCUCUAAAGCACGUGACACCCGUUCACCUUCUGUGAGGCUACUUUUGUUUUUACUGUGAGUAAAAAGUGACAAGAACGACAUGUAAAUGUUUUAAUUAUUUUUACAACAGUCUAAACCGUCGUGUUUUGACUUGAAAUUAGUUUCAAUCACAACAUUUUGUACUAACUAACAUCAUAACAAUUUGUAAUUUUCUUCAACGAAUUACUCAUCAAUUAUGAGUAAGGUGGUGUUUCUUGAGAGAGACGAGAUGAGACUCGAUCGAAAAGAAAAUGAGUGAACAUUCGCUUGAGAGGCGUGAUUCAUCAAGUCAAUUCUCCUCGACGUUUCAAGUUUUCAUGAAGUCUACGAUCCGAAAAAAUCAAAGAAAUAGUGAGAUGAUUGUCAUUAUGCAUGAACAAGCGACUCAUUGGUGAAAGGGCUUUUAUAUUUGCUUGUUGAUAUUUAAAUUAUUUGGUGUGGUGUUUCCCUUUUCAACAACCAAAUAAGCUUCCUUGUUAAACACGUCUACUAUGGUUAUUCGUCAGUUUUUUUUUGGGUCUCCUCGAAACUCUCUAUAAAUACCCAAACUCUCCGCCUUCAGAUCCUUCCCUUUCCCCCAUUCUCUUAUUUCUCUCUUUCUGUUACAUCCCGUAUCUCCCCCUCGCCAUUUUUAGGGUUUUCCAGCUAUUUUCUCGCCGAGGUUAGAAGGACACAGCUCUGCUUUCUCCCUUCCCCAUCCAUAUUUCCUUUCUGAUUCUCAUUGGUUUCUGAAAUGUCGGUCCCUCUUUUGAUUCCCAGGUUUCGGAUUCUUUCUUGAUUCAAGAUCUCGAUCGUUAGCUCUCCUGUUGGUUGAUAGAUAAAACUGAAGCCCUUCGUUUCCUAGCUAGCUCCUAAUUAAUCAGGUCAUUAUAUACUAUUUUCUCAAAUCUCUUUCAUUCGUUUGUGUCGGUAAUUUUCUUGUUACCGAUCAUAGAUAUGCAAAUGCUGUUCGGAUUUCCAGACGGAUUUGCCUGUGGAGGAAACUCCUCACGUAUUCCGUCGGUUCAUGAUCAAAAUCAAAACUAUUUGGCAUUCUUUCAUUAUGUUCUCUUCAGAUCGAUCUUUAAGCAAAAAUGGCGGACCUUUUAAAGUUUGUUGCAUGAAUGGUUGGCCCUGGAACCAUUAUUUGCUGUCGAUGUUUGCAGACAUGGUUUUGGGACCGUCCAUGAUCGUAUGCAUCUGGUUUCUGUAUGAUCAAUUAUUUUUCAUAUUUUGUGUUUGUUUUUAUGAAUAAUUAGGAGGUUUAGUCGGCGGAAUAUAUCAUGACGUAUAUGCUUAUAAGAGUGAUCAAAGAAAAUGACUCGACAGCACAGAUUGUUCUUUUACCUUAUUUUAUGAAUUUAUAAUUUGUCGGUUGCUGUAACCAAUGAAGAAAAGGAAAAGAUGUUGAUUUUCACAACGUGUAACUUCGAUUAUUUUCCUUGAUGUAACCCAUUAAAGAAAGACAAGUUCAUGGACUUUGAAUGAGAAGAUGCAUGUAUUUCUAUUUGCAUUUCUGGGUUCUAUUUGCUGUAUAUGUUAUUGAAUAAGUAACAUUCAUGAUUUGUCUUGCUAGCCAUUCUAAGCAAUCUCUUUCUUUCUGGUGGAUACUCAGAAACUAUGAACGUUCUGAUGAAUCUUUAGUUAACUUUUAUUUAUUUUUAUUUGUUUUUGGUGGGGAUCAAGUUUCUAUGUUUUGUUUGGGUAGUUGUGGUGUCUUGUCAGCACCAGAAAUUAUGUUAUCUUAAUUUUUAUUAUUGUUGUUCGACUCAAGCUAUUGUGAAGGUUAUGAGUUCUUAGAUCUACUUCAAAGUGAAAGCAACUAAAUUUAUCAAUUUUUGAAAAGAAAAAGAUAUAUUAUUAUACACUUAAGUGACCCAACACGAUCCCAAAGUGAGUCUUCAUAUUACAGAACCCUGUUGCGAUCUUCAUCCUCUAUCAUGUAAUUCAAUUAUCGGAUUUAUUCACUUCUUUGAUUAACCUGACCUGAUUGUUUUUCUUGUGACUAUAUUGUUUUCUAUAUUAGUAUAGAAUUCAAGCAUGUGAUGUGUAUCAUGUUUGGGUUUAGUUUCCUAAUUUUUGAAAUGAUUAAACACUUCUUUAGGAUGAUUUAUCACUUUAAUCACUGUAUAAUCUUGGAAUAAUUGAACUCCUAAUCUCAUAUGGUUCCACAGCAUGUUUUGGAUUAUAUCUGUGUAUAGAUGAUUUUUGAGCUAUAUGUAUAUUGAUAACGCUCCACCAAGUGCGUCUGCUAAUGGACAAAUUGUGUAAGUUUUAUAUAAAAUAAAACCAUGAAAAAAGAAAAAGAAACAAGAAAUGGCACCAUAUGUUUGUGUUCUGUAGAUAAGAAGAUAAUACACUUAUGGUUGGAAUAUUUUAAUUUAUGGGUCAUAAACAUUUCACUCCUAUUCUUUAGUUUAAUGGUUUAUAUCCUUCUGGCAGUAUAAGAGUUUGAUGUUUAAAAAGUUGGUGUAUGUUGUGCAAUCUAAUUGCAUUUCAUUCAUUUUGAGUCUUUUCCGGGUAAUCUUUUAUUUCUUCAAUAGAAGCCAUUUGUUAUUGUAUCGAUUUUUCAGCUGAGAUCUGCUGUCAAUCUUAAGGGAACAAUAGAAGAUAACAAUCUGGCUCCUUAGUUUGUUCUUUUUCGAUAUAUCUAGUUUCGAGCGUCUUAGCAAUCUGCUUAGCUUUAGAAAAUUGCUGGUUUUCAUUCGACAUCAAGUAAAUUAAUAGGAAGUUCUAUCACUUCUGUUCAGCAGUGACCAUUUUAGUUGAUUGUAAGUCAAGAAAACUUGUGUUUGUGGUAGUUUGGGUCAGAAUUCAUUGGGGUGGGGUCUUUGAAAAUAAGCUAUCAGUACUCCCUAUCUAAACUAUUGUUCUUGUCUAACCUCAUUUAAAAUCAAAUUAGGUAACAUACAUCUAAGGUGUGAAUUAGUAAACUAUGACAAGAAUCUAUGUAUUAAUUUAUGUGUGUCCCUAUUUAUCGUUCGAUACUGUCCGAUGAGUUUGACUUUGCUUGUUUUUGUGUCUGGUGUUGUAAAGUGUACAUAUGUAACCUGUGAAUUUUUAUGGGUCUAGUAAUUCCUUCUAGUAUAGUUCCUUCCUUGCAGCAUAGACUUGAAAUCUCAAUUUUUAUAUUUUUGAGCAAUGAGUUUCAAGUGCUGCCAGUCAAUUUGAACUGUGUUACGUUUAUCCCUAGUGAUUGUGAGUAAUGCAGUUGAAGCACAAAAUUUCAUUUGCAUUCAGAGAUAUUUAGCCAAUUUUUAUUGUUCUGCAGGAAGAGCUUUGACACUAUCUGUUGAUAUUUGAAAGCACAAGUCUUUUCUUCGAAGAUCUUUCUUGAUAUAUUUCUAUGAAUGCAAUGUCAUUCUGGGGAUGAGAAGGUGUGCUUCGAAUGCUUAUUCUGUUUUUGCACAUUGAUGUUCUAAAAUUGUUGAUUGUGUCUUUGCAUUUGAUACAAUAAUAUCGUCUACAGAUUUGAGCAAGCCUGUGCUUAAUGGACUGCUCACCCACUAGCUGUGACAAGAAAACAUUAAAGAGGUGGUUCUUCAUAGACAAGAGAGUCGGGUAGAAGUAUCUCAGUUUCACAGCAGAGUCUGUUUUUGACAGAGUUUCUUUCAUACCAAUCCUAUACUGUAAUUGUACCUUGUAAGAAAAACCAAUCUGGAUCCGAUGGAGUUGAAGACAAACCAUGCUGCUCCUGUUCUCACCGAUCCUGCACCUACUAUUAGUAAGUCAAGACUAGGCAUCCAUUCUAGUUUGUUGCCAUAUUCACAGCAAGGAGCACCAUUCUCUGGCAAGUAUAUCACAAUUCCAAGGAAAAAACCAGGAAAGCUUGAUGAUGUCUGGUCCAACGGUUGGCUUGAUGCCAUGAAAUCCUCUUCACCUCCCAGAAAGAAGCUCAAUAAGGAUUUCAGUGUCGAGGUUGCUUCAGAUGAUACUGAUAAUUCUUACCUCUCUUGGAUGGUAUUUUGUUGCUUCACUUUGAUUUUUUAUUUGUUUGUCAUUCCUAAUGUAUUUGCAUUUUGAACUUAUUUUCUCUGUGAUGUGCAGCUUAAGCAUCCAUCAGCACUCAAUUUUUUUGAGCGCAUUACAAAUUUUGCAAGGAACAAGAAGAUAGCGGUGUUUCUAGAUUAUGAUGGGACUCUUUCGCCCAUAGUUGAUGACCCUGAUCGUGCAUUAAUGUCUGAUGCUGUAAGAAUUGCAUCUUGUUGUAUAGGAAUUUCAAAUUUUUAUCAUCUUCUGGUUCUGAAAUCAUACAUAUUAUUGGCAGAUGCGUGACGCUGUAAGAAAUGUUGCAAAGUAUUUUCCAACUGCAAUCAUUAGUGGAAGAAACCGUGAUAAGGUAGCACUAGCAUUAGUAUUAUAUUUUGCUUUUUAUUGCUCAAAGUUAAUAUCAUCUUGUCCAGUUGUUCUUUAUAUGGUUGUCAUCAGUCUGAUCAAGCAGGGUGCUUAUGUUUCAGGUUUAUGAAUUGGUAGGACUAACAGAACUUUAUUAUGCUGGUAGUCAUGGAAUGGACAUAAUGGGUCCUGUUACUAAUACAAACAGUGUGAAUUCUACUGACAAACAGGUAAACUGUCAGUGAAGUCCUUCUGUUUACCCUUCAAGAUUAUUCUCCAUGUCAAACUGAACAAUUUCUAUUUAUUUCGAUCUUGAUAUGGUAGGGCAAGGAAGUAAAGCUUUUCCAACCUGCUAAAGAGUUUUUACCUAUGAUCGACGAGGUGAAUAUUUUUUCAUGUUUAUGGAAAAAGAUUCACAUUGACAGUGUUGACAUUCAUACCAGGAGAUUGAUUGAUUGCUGUUCUUUUGUGCAGGUUUUUAGAACCCUCGUUGAAAACACUAAGGAAAUCAAAGGCGCAAAAGUUGAAAAUCACAAGUUUUGUGCUUCUGUACAUUAUCGUAAUGUAGAUGAGAAGGUACCAAAUAACUUCUUUCAUAUAGCUCAAACAACUUAAUGUUACAGCUUACAUUUCUUACCUGUUUGGUUGGUUUUGGCUUCUCUUCUUGCUACAGAACUGGUCAACAAUUGGUCAACGUGUUCAUGAUGUCCUAAAAGACUACCCUCGUUUACGAUUAACUCAUGGGCGGAAGGUAAUCACCAGUUGCCCUUUUGUAUUAACUCCAUUCAUAGAUAGGUUCAAAUAAUUCUUUCAUCUGACAAUGACUUUUGGACUUGCUAUUCCUUGUAUUUAUUUUCCAGGUAUUAGAGGUCCGCCCUGUAAUUGACUGGAACAAGGGAAAAGCAGUUGAAUUUCUGCUUGAAUCUCUUGGUAAUAAUUCUCUUUCUGAAAUGAUAUUACAAAUUUAGCUGUGCACAGUGCAUCUAAAUGGUUCAAUAGUCCGGAUUGAAACUGACACACAAAUUCUUGUGUAGGGCUAAAUAGUAGGGAUGAUGUGCUUUCAAUAUAUAUUGGUGAUGACAGGACUGAUGAAGAUGCAUUCAAGGUACGUAAAAUCAAAUCCACAAUAACUAAAAUUGAUCAUCUUACUGUGCGACUCUUGUAACUUUCAUAGACAGUAUAUGGUACUAAGACAGCUUCUUCACUGUUUCAGGUCUUGAAGAAAGGUAACCGAGGAUAUGGAAUUUUGGUAUCUCCUACUCCGAAAGAAACCAGUGCCUUUUAUUCUCUCAGAGAACCAGCAGAGGUUUACUCUCUCAUCCAUAAAAUUCAUGCGUUGUGUGAAGGCUGAUAUCAACGGUGUGCACAUUGUCUUCAUCUGAUCUAACCGAAGAGUUGAACUUUAUUUUGCAGGUGAUGGAAUUCCUCAAGGCCUUGGUGAGCUGGAAGGAACAGGAAGAAGCCAAUUGAGCUUGAACAUGGAGCACUUAGUGAUUUGAAUAUAGUAUAGGCUUUUGGUUUUGAAUAUUGUACUCGAGAAGAACUCUCAUGCGUUUAAAAGCUGGCUGGUUUAUCAAUAGUCUCAGUUCAGUGCUUAUCAAUUAUUUCAUGUCGAUCAUUUAAGCUUACAAGAAAAGUCUUUUCGUGCUAAGAUGUUUAGUCUGAUGAAGUUAUAUAUAUCCAGGAAGACAUUGCUAAGGCAAUGUUGGCUGCUCAUUGUCGCCGUACAGUAAUCUCAGUGAAGCAUCACAUCAGAGCUUUUCAUUCAUGUUUUGCACAAGUCGCAUGCUCAAACAGCAAUCCCGCUUCUCUCGCUGUUAACUUUUAAGACGAAUGCUAGCAACUUUCUCCGUAAAAAUCCCUGAUGGUCUUAAAAUAGGUUAUGGACCUACAAGCCCAAGCUGCACACACACUGAAGGAGUGAAGGGCCCAGAUGAGUAGAUCAAAAUUCUCAAAUAACAACAACAAAUGAAGGAAGCUGACUUGACUUGGGUUAAGAUAUUAUUGUCUUUUUUGUAGCGGAGAGUACAAUACCAUAGAACUUGUUCCUAUCUCAUUCAUCUACCUUAACUCCAAAUAAUUCUUCUCCUCGUUAUCUUCAUCUAUAUUAUCCAGAUAUUAUCCGACUCCUUAUGUAAACUACUCUGAUUCCAGAUCAAGCCACAAAAAUGUACUACAGACAUAGAAAUCCUGUCUCUACAUUUGUACCAAUACAUUAAUGUAUGUACCUUAGAACCAUACAUCAAAUUAUGACAUGACCUUAUUUUAUCGAAAACAAAAUUAUUUUCCAUCCAGAAGAAAAAAAAAAGAAAAAAAAAGUAGAUCGGUGAGUGCAUAUAAAAGACACACACCGCAUCAGUAACUUGCAACUCCAACUGACUUGUUGUCGAGACCAGAGAGAGAGAAAAUGUCAGUGUCGUUGCAAUCUCCGCCUUCCUCAGCAAUCUCCUCGUCUUUGCAUUUCCAGGGAAGAAAGCUGAGCUUGUUUAAUGGAUCCAAUCUGCUCUUCACCUCCCGCCCAUCACUUCCUCUCCUUCGCGCUUCCGCUCUCGACACUGGUCACUCCUCACUCCUCUGCUCUUUUCUACUUGUUUGAUAUUGUAUUUGGGUUGCUAAGUCAAUUUGAUUUUCAGGGUCCGCUACUGAAUUGGACGCCGUGUCCAGCUUCAGUGAGAUCGUUCCUGACACCGUCAUUUUCGAUGACUUCGAGAGGUUCUUUUCACUCUUCUUUCACUCACAAACAACUAGUAUUUGAAAUUACUAUCAUUUUCUUGUUUGCAUCCAUGUUUUGUUGAAAUGUUGAUACUUUAUUUGCUUCCUUCCUUUUUGUGUUAAACUGAUCAACUAAAAAUGAUCUCGUAAAAACAUGCAUUUCCCCAAUUGAUUGAAGGUUUGGUUUACUGGUUAUCUGUAAAUAGGUUUCCUCCAACUGCUGCUACUGUGAGCUCUGCUCUACUCUUGGGUAUCUGCAGUCUUCCAGACACCAUAUUUAGAGUAAGCAUUUCUCUUCGGAAGAUGAAAUCUUGAUUGCGAAACCUGUGUUUACUUUAUAUUAGUUAGUCACUGAUGGUCUUUCAUUUGGUCUAGAAUGCUGUGGAUAUGGCGCUGGCAGAUUCCGAGUGUAAUAAGCAUGAGAAUUCCGAAUUGAAGUUGUCUUGUUUCUUUAACAAGGUCCGUUGUCUUGUAACACAAUCAUUUCGCUAUUAGCUUGAUCUUGUGGUUCAGAAUUGUGUUCUGGUUGUGUAGGCUUUAGUUAAUGUCGGUGCUGAUUUGGCAAAACUAGUUCCUGGCCGAGUGUCCACUGAGGUGGAUGCACGUCUUGCUUAUGACACACAUGGGAUUAUUAGGAAGGUACUGGCUUUUCUUUGUAACUCAACUUUUUAUUUUUGCUUUUUAGAGAUAAUGCUAAUGGAUUGGAAAUCUAUUAUGUAAUCACUGAUUGUCACGAAUGAUAUCUUGGUUGCUAGUAUAUCUCAAACAAUGAAUGCAUUCGGAAUCCUCAGAUUAUACUCAUUUCUUACUUUCUUCUUUGUAGCAGUUACUUUACAAAAUGAUAAUUUUGCCAAGGUUUGUCAAUUUGUUAUUUCAUUGAGCCCUGUCAUGGUUGGCGCUGUAGUUCUGCAAUGACAUUUCAAUAGUUUCUAACUUAAGUGGCUUUGUCAUUGGAGAACACUAUUUUGCUCUGCAACUCUCGUUUUGUUUUUUCUUUGGUCCAAGAAAAUGCAAAUUUGGAUGCAUAAUAUGUGUGAGGCAAAAAUAAUAUGGAAAUGUUGUUAUAAUUCGUAUGCUGCUUGUUGUUUUUCCCAACAUUUGCUUGUCUGCCUGUGGUGUCCCUUUCAAUUUUAUGCCACUGGAUUUUUCACUGUUGUCUGAAUGGCUGUCUGAGACAAUUGGUUUAUAAAUAUGCAGGUGCACGAUCUACUGAAGCUGUACGAUAGAGUUGAUGUUCCCCCUGAGCGUUUGCUGUUCAAAAUUCCUUCAACUUGGCAAGUAAGUAUCAGAUAAAUAGUGAAAUUUCAAGUUGCGCUUGAUAUUCUAUUGUGCAUGAAUGUAUUUAUCUUUUUGUCAACAUCACCUGUAGUUGUUGAUUUUGUAUUCAGGGAAUAGAGGCUUCUAGAUUACUAGAAUCUGAGGGCAUACAGACGCAUUUGACAUUUGUGUACAGGUAAAGGUUCUUGUAAUCAAACUGUUUUAAGCAUGACAACCAGCUUCAUAAACAUUUCUUUGUGCUUAAUUCAGAGACUUAAGAAACAAAUUAAUUUUGUGCUUUAUUACGGAUUGACGAUUGAAAGAUUAUACUUAAUUGAUCAUGAACAAAAUUUUACAAGAAAUGAUCUUUUACAGUUGUAAAGGAGGAUAAGUUUUAAUGAGAUCUUCUCUCUCUGUAUUAUAUAUAUAUAUAUAUAUAUAUAUAUAUAUCUGUGUGUGUGUGUGUAUAACACACAUACANNNNNNNNNNNNNNNNNNNNGGACCGCUUCGUGAUGAGGGUUUCGAUCAUUUUUUCUUCAGCUUUGCUCAAGCUGCAGCUGCUGCACAAGCUGGCGCUUCUGUUAUUCAGAUUUUUGUUGGGCGUCUUAGGGUAAUGUUGUAUGUCAAAUUUGUAUGCAAACUUUCUUAAUUUAAUGUUUAUUGAUUGUUAAAGGUAUAUUUAUCAUUCAGGACUGGUCUCGCAACCACUCUGGUGACCCGGAGAUAGAGGCUGCUCUCAAAAGAGGAGAGGAUCCUGGGUUGGCCCUGGUAAGUUGGAGAGUUCUCAUCUUGUGGUAUUGUACUUAUGUACUGCUGUUUUUCGCAGUCCUUAAAGGAAACAACUUGCUGUUUUUAGUUGUACAUCUCAGUUAUGAUUACUUGUCAAAUAUACAAGUGGUUUGCAUUUUGUAAGAUUUUCAACUUUUUUUUUUUCAACUUGUUUUUCCAGUUGUAGUGUCAUCUACCGAAUUCUCAACACCAUUAACAUUGACAUUUAAGCAUUCAUUGCAAAUUUUAUCCCCAUCACAUAUUGAAGUCCUCUAGGAUGGUUUUGAACUUGCUAUGUGUAGAAUUAUUCAAGUGGCCUGGUUCAAGAAACUAAAAUAAGACAGCUUCUGUUUUACUAUAAUAAUGACUACAAAACUGCUCCCAUCUGAGAUAUUUUCUGACAUUGCAGGUGACAAAGACAUAUAACUACAUUCACAAAUAUGGACACAAGUCAAAGUUGAUGGCAGCAGCAGUUCGCAAUAAGCAAGACUUAUUCAGUCUCCUAGGGUAAGUUUAUACAACUUGCUUCUUAAUAUUAUGUAGCUGGAAAUUCGCACAUAAUGAACUUAAUGAGUGACCUUCCUGCUCAUGUUCUCUGGUAUUCAUUUAGUGUCGACUACAUCAUUGCACCACUGAAGGUAUUGCAAUCACUCAAAGAAACAGUCACUACUCCUGAAGAGAAGUACUCUUUUGUCAGGAGGCUAUCUCCACAAUCUGCUGCCAAGUACAAUUUCAAUGAAGCAGAGGUCUACCUUCUUUCCUGUUCUUGUUUUUACUUUAUUUUAUUUCUCCGAUCAGGAGUUUCUCAUUAUAACCUAUUUGCUAGCUAGUGGCGAAUGAACUAUAAUAUAACUUCAAACAAUAACAUAAUGCAAUUAAAAUAUUACUAUAAGCCACGGUAGGCAACAUGAUGACUCAGUUGAACAUGCUCACCUGUUUGUUUUCUGCACUCCUAUUGGUACUUCAAUUUUGAUCUUUUAAAAGGAAGAAAAAGAAUGUAUCUUUAGAAUCUAAACGAUACCUAAUGGUUAAUGCAUCUAUUUUGUUGAGAAGAAAGACCAAGUAUGUUACUCAUGCUAAGCGUUAGUAUUUAGACUAUGUACUGUUUACAAUACUUGCCAAAUUUUGUGAUGAGCAUGUUUAGUUACCCAUGAUAAUGUCUUCAAGUUUCGAAGCGAAAGGCAAGAACUGUUUAUAAGUUCAAGCAAUAUAUGUGGUCAGCCAUCAACAUUAUUACUAGAAAUUCAUUGACUAUGGAGUUGGCAUUCCUUAAAUCUGCUAGAAACACCAACAAAAUUCCUUAUCACUACAUCUUAUAUAAAACAUAAUUUCCAUUCUGCCAUGUGGCCAGCCACCAUCUGCCUUAUCAACUCGUUAGUGUAACCUCUGACCCAAAAAGAAAAACUCAGUAGUAUAACCACUUUGAUCACCUAGCCUGCAAUCACUUCAACAGAUGUCUCAUAUUAUCUGCCUUGGUUUCCAUGAUAGUAUGAGACCACUCAAUACCUCCUUUGACAUUGUAGUAGCACCACCAUGGCACCAUUCUUGUCAUGCUGACGGCAAUAUGUAUUUCUACUCAUAGGUAGGAGGAAAUCAGAUCACAUAAGUCUAGCUAAUGUACUUAUAUUCAUCCCACAUAGGACAGAUAUGUGACGUCUUAGGGCUCCCCACUAAGAUAUUGCAUUUAUGCUCCCCACCAUAAACAUACGUGAUACUUCAUCCUUACAAACAGUGAAUUUAGUAGGCUCAAACAAGCAGUUAUUGCUCGUGUUAAUAUUAAGUACCUGAAUUAAUCUCUGGCUUCAGCCGUUCAGGAAAGGUUAUGAUUGCUUAGAGGCCUGCCAAAUUGUUUUGGUUCAAAUUGAUAGGCCUCUUUGUUGAAAUUUAUCUCCGACUGUUUAGUUUACCCAACUGAACUGGUUAAUGGACGUGGGUUGGUUGUUUUUCUUUUGUUUAACAUUUAUUAACCAAUCUUCGUCUUUUCAGCUCAUUAAGUGGGACCAAUUAACAUUUGCAUCAGCCGUGGGGCCUGCAGCCGUGGAGCUUCUGGCUGGUGGACUGGAUGGUUAUGCGAAUCAAGCAAACCGAGUUGAGGAAUUAUUUGGAAAACUUUGGCCACCUCCAAAUGUGUGAAGAGCUCUGUUAAGUUGUUCUGCGGAUCUUCCCUUCACCAGGAAUAAGAGUGAAAUGCCGGUUCGGGUCGUGCUUUUCCUUUUUCCUCUCCUCUCUUUGUAAUGUUUAUAUCCAGCAAAGACCAGAUAUCAGAAAAGUUCUUGAUUUUGUCAUAAAAGACGUGCACAGCUUAUCUGAACUUGUUAAUAGACAUGAGAUGGGCAUGCUGGUGAAGCUGUAGCUCUCAUCCUGUAACAGUGUUCACCCCUUUCCCCUUUUUGUAAAACUUGCCAUGUGGUAACAAAGAAUCAGAAAACUCCCCAGGACCCAAUGUGUGCUAUAUAUCAUUCAUCUUUUCACAGUAGCAAUACCAAAACAGGUUUCUGAAUGAUUCUCAACGACCAAUUCAACUCAUUUCAGGAUUCCAUCGAGAAGACAUUUACGGUUCUCAAUUAUUCAUGAUCGAAGACCAAUUCGGUUCUCUUGUUUGCAAUCUUGUAUUAUGGCGUUGGCUUGGUUUAUAUCUUAGGAAGUUUUUCGAUGAGUAUAUAUCUUAGGAAGUUGGAAUUAAUCUUUGUGGUGUAGAAAUGCAAGAAGAGAAAAUUAAAACUUAUCCUGUCAUGAUUCAUGACUCAUCAUGACUCAUGAGAAGGUACUAAUUAAACUCAUAUUAAUGGAGAUCGAUUUGAAUAUUUGAGAGGGCGGCCUGAUGAAUUCUUAUCUACACUCCAUUCGUAAGAAAGAAAGGAAAACAAAGGGAAUAAAAGGACGUUGGUUGGAGGUUCCAAUUUCCAAACUGUGAUUUGACAGAACUGAACAACAUGGUUAAUAAUCCAAUCCAAUAGUAUAUAUAUCCUCCAAAAGGGGACUGAUCUAUAGCUCCAUUUUGUGAUUCUGUGGAUUUGCAAAUCCCUUGUUUCUCUAUCUUCAUGGAGCCGGCCAGUUGCAUGUGGAAGACUCUAGCUCCAGCAUCUCAGCAUAUGGGGGUCGGCACUUGCAUGUGGAAACAUGCACAAACCUCAACAAUGCCAAUCAGUUAAUCAUGCAGCAAACUAAUUAGAAAACUACAAAAGGGUUGCGUUCUGGUUUAGGUUGCUUGUGUAUUUAUUCAUUUUGUUUUUUGCACAACAAUGCAUCAUUAUUAGUGGAAGACAAAACUCUAUAAUGAGGAUUUGAUAUUGGCCAAGGAGAACAAUGAUAUUAAGCAAAGCUGCCGAGUCACCAUGUUAGGGCCAAUAAUGAAACCUAAUAUAUGUGGAUAUAUAUAUAUAGACCACGGAUCGAUGAUCCUACUUGGUAUAAUUUGGUAUUUUCUAAUUUGUAAUCAACAGUUUAGCAGAUGUCGCCUUCUAAAUCCACGUACAUCUGAAUCACCAAGAGCCUUGUUAAGUUGAACUGCUCAACCAGGUCUUUUGUGGAGCUGAUAGUAAACCUACAAUAUGGGUGAGCCAUCGCUCUUAUUAGUUUGGCUCUUGUUGAUCGAGUCUUGUAUAUGUCAAAUUUGAGAAAAAGGAAAGACGAUACGACUACGUUACAUACAUCCUCCAUGCCAUGCCAGCAGACUUAUAAUUAACACAUGGCAUUUCUGUUACCUUGACGUACAGCCUCACGUUAAUCAUUCCUUAAUUAAGAACAAAAUGUUAAAUGCCAUUUCCAUUCAAGCUCAAAAGUUCAUGAAUUAAUAUUAAAAUUUCCUUACAAAUUUAUGAUGAUAGGACAAGAGAGCAGCUUACCCACCAGACUCGCAAAGCCAGCUUCAAACCCUGUUGUCCACUUCUUCAGCAAACCAGAAAUUUCUUUGUCCACUUGUGUCCCCUCCCCAUGCCAGUUUUCAAAACCUAAAUUACCUUAAUCUUCCUCGUGCUUUAUAUACAUGGAACACAUGCACCUUGUCUGAAACUCUGACCCCCCAACUCAUUUGGAAGGAUACGAAAUCCAGGAACUAGCCAGUAUAAAACAACCCCAUUACUCUCUCGUUUCAGAUCAAAAUACUUGUAAUAACCUAAGGCCAGCUGAAUCCCCCAUGGCAGACAGAAGGCCUUUGCUUCCGUCCGACCCCGAUGCCCUUCCCACAGCCUACGCCGGAUCCUCCUCCUCUCCGGAGAUCCGGCGGAUACACGUGAAGGAGGUCCUGGCGAUGUUCGCCGGGGUUGUGAUGGUUUCUUUGUUGGUGGUCAUUAUAGGGAAUACUGGUCAUGAUCAGGAGGCCGGGAAUGCCAGCCACCACCGGAACUACAUGCCUGAUAAGCCAAUGCCAUUGACUUCGUCUUCGCCGACCAAUGAGACUGCGACCAUACCAGACAAGUUGCAGGCGGUGUCACGUGGCAUGGCGGCCGGAGUGUCGGAGAAGUCGAGCCGGUUGUACAGCAGCGGCUUCGGGGCAGGCACGCCGGUGUAUCCGUGGAACAAUAGCAUGUUGUCGUGGCAGAGGACUGCCUUCCAUUUUCAGCCGGAGAAGAAUUGGAUGAAUGGUAUGCAUAUGUUUGCAUUUACUCUUCUUUAAUCUGUAGGUUAUUUGAAUACUCAGAUUUCGAUUCAGCUAACUCCAAGAUAGAUACAUUGAACUACAUAAUUCUCCUAAUGCCGGCUCUAGCCAGAACACAACUCCUUAAUCUCUUCCUUCUUUUUUUUUUCCCCUGAUCUUUCACAAUUUUUCAUUUAUUGAGAGGCCUAGACAAAAUGAUUUGCUUGUAUUGAAUUUUUAAGUUAUGGGCCAAAAAUGAGAUGUAUGUGUUGAUUUGAAGCAUGUGGGUGGCAUAAAGGAAGACAUUUGUACUUGGUUUUUCUUCACUAUUUGGUUGCAAAAAGAUUAUUUCUUCAUUUUCUUGUGGGGGUCGUGAACAAAGUGAUUCUACUUUUCAAAUUUUCAAGAUGUCUAUCCCAUACUCUGUCUAAUACUUUUACAUUUUAUUUCUGAGUUUCUUGUUACGUAAUACUAAAAUAACAUUACUUUAAUUUUCAUGUUAAGAUGAGAUUUCGUGAUUUUUAAGUAUUCAAUAAUAUAAAAUUAGUAGAGAGACGAUCGCAUUUUAUUUGAAAAGAAAAACAACUAUUCAAUCCAAAAUUCAUUUGGUCUAUUCCUUAUAUAUAUGCAAACGUUCUUAUCCUUUAUUUCUAAAAAGAGAAGUGUAUACGUUCCAAAUUAUCAACCUUAGUACGUACUUGACUCAUGUUAACAAUAAAAUGAUGUAAUUGUCUACCUAUGACCAAAACUUGUGGUGCCAAAGAAUUGUCACCGAAAAAACUUAUUCGUAAGAAAAGUAUUAUUGGUGACUAACUAAUACAAACGUACCCACCUUAAAAUGAUGGCUUUGACUGCAAGUAAACUAAUCAAAUGCAUAUAUACGUACGUGAUACAAUUUUCAAACACGCGCGUUCUUUUGCGUGAAUAGAUUACUUUCUUCAUUUUAUUUUAUUUAUUGAAUUUCAAUUGUUUAAUUUCUACAUUAUUGAUUUUGGUUGUUUCCUGUGCCUUGUCCUUUUCAUUUGCAAUGCUCUGAUUCGGGAAUCCUCUUCUUGCUGCUUCAGAUCCCAACGGUAAGCCAAAGUUUCAGUUUUCUUAAUUGUUUCGUUACUCAAUAAUUUUUGUCUUUGCGUUUUUAUUUUAUCGUGUGUGUACGUAUGAAAUUAUAGUUUACCAAGUCUCGAAAUAAAACUUGAUUGAUGUGGACAGUUGAUUACAGUUUGUAACUUGUUAAUUUGCAUCAAAUUUUGGUAAACAGGUCCAUUAUUCUACAAGGGUUGGUACCAUUUUUUCUACCAGUACAAUCCCAAAGGUGCAGUUUGGGGAAACAUAGUAUGGGGUCAUGCAGUAUCCAGAGACUUGAUCCAUUGGCUUCACCUUCCUCUAGCAAUGGUAGCUGAUCAAUGGUAUGACAUCAAUGGAGUCUGGACUGGCUCUGCUACAAUUCUCCCCAAUGGCCAAAUUGUCAUGCUCUACACUGGUUCAACCAACGAGUCCGUCCAGGUCCAAUGUCUUGCAUACCCUGCUGACCACAAUGACCCUCUCCUCACCAAGUGGAUCAAGUACUCCGGCAACCCGGUUCUAUUCCCCCCUCCCGGGAUCGGAAUCAAGGACUUCCGGGACCCGACCACCGCUUGGUACACCAAAGAAGGCAAAUGGAGGAUCACAAUCGGGUCCAAGGUUAACAAAACUGGUAUAUCUUUAGUUUAUGACACCAAGGACUUUAUUAAGUAUGAGCAGCUUGAUGGUGUGCUUCAUGCUGUGCCUGGUACUGGAAUGUGGGAAUGCAUUGAUUUUUAUCCGGUGUCGAAAACUAGUGACAAGGGGCUGGACACUUCUGAGAAUGGUGCUGAUGUGAAGCAUGUGAUAAAGACUAGCCUUGAUGAUGAUAGGAAUGAUUACUAUGCAUUGGGGAGUUAUAACGAGCAGACUGGAAAAUGGGUUCCUGAUAAUCCAAACAUUGAUGUUGGGAUUGGGAUUAGGUAUGAUUAUGGGAAAUUCUAUGCUUCCAAGACCUUCUAUGAUCAGAACAAGCAGAGAAGGGUGUUGUGGGGAUGGAUUGGAGAGUCUGAUAGUGAAAAUGCUGAUGUCCAGAAGGGUUGGGCAUCUCUUCAGGUACGUACACUGGUUUCAUUUCAUUCCAUCUCUUCUAGUACCAUAAGGCGUUUAUAUAUGUUCCAAGACUCGGCUUAAUGCGACUUGAAAAUUCACAGACUUGCCACAUAGGCCUAAACUGUCUAGUAACAGAACAUUUCCCUUUAGUUUUACGUACUCUUUUGCUUUGGUGUUUCAUUCUCUUCGAUCUUAUCUCUGAUUGUACAAUGUUUCUGGAAUGAUUUUGAACAGGGAAUUCCAAGAACAGUGUUGUUUGAUCAAAAGACUGGUAGCAAUCUACUUCAAUGGCCAGUGGAGGAGAUUGAGAAAUUGAGAUUGAAUAUGAACAACUUCGACAGAGUACAAGUCAAGGCAGGGUCAGUGGUGCCACUUGACGUUGGCACAGCCACACAGGUCUGCAUUCUGUAUGCUGUUCUUAAGUUCAUAUCACCAUUUGUGGGAAACUAUUUCUUGGCUGAAAUUCUGAUUGGCAUGAAUGUUACAGUUGGACAUCGUCGCAGAGUUUGAGUUGGAUCAGACGGUUUUAGAGAGCACAGCUGAAUCUAACGAGGAAUUCAGUUGCCAAACUAGUGGUGGAGCUGGCAAACGCGGCGCAUUGGGACCCUUUGGUCUUCUUGUUCUUGCGGAUGACGGCCUCACUGAGCGCACUCCUGUCUACUUUUAUGUUGUCAAGGGAUCUGGUGGCACUGUCAAUACCUACUUCUGUGCUGAUCAAACAAGGUGCGUAUUAAGUUUUCCAUGGUACUUAAUAUCGUGCAUGUUAUGUUAUUAGAUUAUGAAUUUAUGAAUCACCGAAUCAAAACCUUCAAAACACGAUCGUCCCACCUAAUAAAUUGUUUAGAUUCAUAGUUUGACAAUAUAACGUAUGAGGAUGCAUGAUUUGAUAUUAGUUGGUUACUUGGUUGUACGUAAUGUUGAAUUGCACGCUGAACUAAAUAUGUUUUCUCUCUGUAUUAUAGGUCUACUGUGGCAAAUGAUGUUGUUAAACAAGUUAGUGGUAGCUAUGUUCCAGUGCUGAAAGGUGAAAAGCUGUCUGUGAGAAUACUGGUAAGUGGAUUGAACUAUGGAUAAUAGAAUCAUCAAAUUUAUGACCUUGGCUCACUUCCAUUCAAUCAUAUAUGUAUUCCAGGUUGAUCAUUCGAUCAUUGACAGCUUUGCUCAAGGUGGACGAACAACGAUAACAACGCGCGUUUACCCAACUCAAGCAAUUUAUGGAGCUGCAAGGCUUUUCUUGUUCAACAAUGCUACUGAGACCAGUGUUACUGCCUCACUCCAGGUAUGGCAGAUGAACUCUGCCUUCAUACGCCCAUUUUCACCUGAUGCAGCAAGCCAUGCAAGCUUCACCCCUGUCACAAUAUUCAUCAAUUUCAUCGUCCCAUUCGGACUAUUUUUAACUUUAUAUUUUGUAAGAUAAGAAAGAUAAUUGAUUUGGUCCGCGGAUGGUAGUAUGGAAACAUUAAUUCUUUUUGUCGAAGAGUUCAGUACCAGUUUCUGCAAUUUGAUUCUUAAUUUGAUCCCAAUAGAGUUCAAAAGCGUACUGAUCCUUCUCUACAAGUGUUUAAGCUAUUUCUAGUUACAUAUACUUAGCCAAAAAGAAAGAAGCAUGCAGAGACGAUGAAAGUUAAUGACUGGUUAAGCAAUACAUCAUUAUAAGCUAGACCAGUGUUACUAUAUAUAAUAUUCCAUCUGAACUAUAGUGAUCGUUCACAGUCGGCUCAUUAAGAUUUCAUAUAUUCGGAUCCUGUUAAAUUGUGAGCAGGAUUUUUACUAGCUAUAGAACGAUUCAUGCAUGAGAAUGCCGUCUUGUGGCUAUAGAUCGAUGGAACCCCUUCUAGCGAGGACCUUUAAGUUAAGGACUUGGUGAGGACUUUUCGGCUUAUCCCACCUUUCGAUCUUAUAUCCACAUCUUGACCGUUCAGUUUAUAGGUAUUUAUGAGUGGAUCAUUUCUUCAAAUUUUCAGCUAUAUUGAAAAUUAUUAAGACAUUCAUAAGUGUGAUUUAUCAAUUAUGAACUUGAACGGUUCAUAUUUGACAGAUUUGGUUCGUCCAUUAAUUUGAUAUAGUUUGUUAUCUUAACGAACACUAAUUUGGGGGAAAAUUUGUAGAAAUGAUCUACUCAUAUAAACCUAAAAACUGAACGGAUGAGAUGUCAAAAUGUAAUCGAAAAUUGGGUCUUUUAAACCAUAAACUGAAAAGUCCUCACCAAGUUCUCAACUUAAGGGUCCUCACUAAAAGGGCUCCCAUAAAUCGAUUAUUCUUUCUAAAAAGUUCUCACUUGAUUGAGUGAUUUCACCUUUCCCCCCAAUAGGGGUACUGUACCCCAAAAAAUAGUCAUAUUAUUGAUAGGGCCAGUUCAGAUCAAAUGUCACAGCUGGACUUCACAUUUUGCCCAUUAUGCAUGUCAUAAUAAUUCAUACCCACCCAAACAACUUUGUCUGUUCAAUUAGUAAUAAGCUACUCUCGCCAAAAAAAAAAAAAAAAUUAAGUAAUAAGCUACACUAUGCAUGCCGACUCCAAUGCAUCAUUCUGGUUGGGGCAAUGUCCCUUGAUCAAUCGUAUCAUCGUUCCAAUUAAGUAACCAGUACUGGAGCUUUUAUAUUGUUAUGUUUUUGGUACAUAUAUAAUUGUGCGUUGAUUUGUUAAGACUAAUUAAGCUUGCAUGCAUGAUCGAUGGACGACUAUAUAGAUUUGAUCGAAUCAUGUACGUCGACAAAGACAACCCCCCCAGCAAAACGUAUUGAAAUGAUGACAUUCCUUGCGCAAGUUGAAGUUGUAUUGAAUACCUCCGGCCAUGGCCAACACAAUCAAGCUAUAGCUAGCUAGCUUGAAAGCUUUCUUGCUUGUCUAAUAGUACUCUUUGGAGAAGGAAGGAACUGCGUGCCGGUAAAAUUGGUUGUUCUUGGUCCCCUCCUCUCUGGAAUCGUUUGGCCUCGCGAUCAAUCUGUUUAUGCUUUCUCUCGUUCUCCAUCCAGCUUAGCUAUACGCCUAUAUCUGAGCUAGCUUAAAGAUUCUCAAUGUUAGGGUUGGCAAAAGUACUCAUGAUAUCGGUACCAUUAUAUAUGAUAUAUCGGUUUCCAACCAAGGAGGGAGAGAGAUUGAGGAUUUUGACUAGCUAAUAGCUAUUAGAGUAUUUUUACCAACACUAAUCUCAUGGACUACAUAGUUUUUCUCUAGCUCGUUCUUGCAUGUAUAUACCGAAACACAGAAUUGGUUUAGUAGCUGGCGAUAAGAAUUCUUAGUUACUUACAGAUAUCAAGCAUCUGUAUUGGGCAACUCCUUAACUAAAGUUGAGCCAACCUUUUAGCUAGCUAAUCAAACCCACCCAAUACCAAAUGCAUGAAUAAACGACAUGGUGGGGAAACCAUGCACAUGUUAGCAUGUAUGCUUGAGCAUGCAACAACAACUAUUUCACCAUGAUAAAAGGCAUAUAUAGUGCUUUUCAAAAAGAAGAAGAAGAAGCAUAUAGUGGUAUUAAGGAAUUCAUAAACCAUAAGCAUUAGUGAAUUUUGUAGAUUCCAAUCCAAGGCAAGAAAACCUAAAAACAGAAAAAAGAGGGGAAAUUAUGAAGUGGAUCCAUGAUAAAAGGUGCUUCACGGGCCAGGGCCUUUAGCAGUGCCCGGCCUAAUAAGACCCCCCAGCCACAAGGCGUACCACCCUAGCUACCACCCUUUUUUUUUUUUUAAGCAUAUUAUGUCAUCAUGUCUCCUCCGGUAGUCCGGUGGGGUGGCCCUGCUAGUGUUUAUCCACUCCGCCUCGAUCUCACUAAACAAGUAAACAGUCAAAAUCCAGUCACUCCCUGUGUAUGGCAUCUCGAGGUAAAACCAGUGGACGUAUUUUAGAUUUUGUUAUAUUCAUUAAAUUAGACUUGGUCCCCUAUAUAUACAUUAGUUUGUUUGUUAAUUAGUUGCGUAAAGAAUGAUCAUAAUCUACCUGUUAAUCUCACUCACUCAUGAGAGCAAAAUGUUAUUUUAACUGUUGUACACAUGUAAUCAUAACUCACAAGUUCAUAACCAAAGGAUACUCUUUGAAGAGUUGAAGGGCAAACCCAGAAAUGAAGAAUCAAAUGUUACCUAGCCUGCGCUCUAAUCCAACCAUCGCCAAUAUAUAUAUAUAUAUAUAUAUGCCUUUGGGGUCCCCUAUUAUGGGCAGUGCCUCACGGCUGGCAAUCAUGUGGCGCUUUCAUAGAGAUCUGAACGUUGCAACACCCUGUUAUUAUUUAUUGUUCUUUUUCCUAUAUUUAUCUCUUUCAAUUCGGCUAUUCCUUUCAUCUCUUCCGAAUCCAGACGACAACAGUAGUCGUAGUAGUAGUCAAAUAAAACCAAACCCCCCUCGCGUGGGACUAAUGUUUCUUUUUGGCUCCAAUGGCUCUCAUGAACUGGCUAUUGGCUGUCACUCCCCUCUUUCUGUCUCUGAAAAUGUUUUUUUUAUCUCUCACUGUGUUCAUGAAUGGUGACCGGUCACCGACAAAAGCUUAGCUAGUUUUGCUUGGAUCAGACCUCAAACCCAACCAACCAUUGUUUCCUAUUCUUUUUUUCCAUAAUUAGGCCAAGAAAAAUACCACUCUAUACUCUAUACAAUAGAAGAAAGUGUCAAAGAAAAAGAGCCGUUUUUCUGUCUCUCACACACUCUCUCUACUUCCAGAGCUUCUGGUUCUGUUCUCUUCUUUUUCCUCUCUUUCCUUCUUUGAUUCUUUCUGAUAAUGUAAACAAAAGAAGGGAAAAGAAAUUGGCUUUAGAGUUUUGUGAUACACAUUGUAAAAGUCUUUGGGGGAGUGAGAGAGAGAGAGAGAUGGCUUUCAAGAGCUUUUUCACUCUGUUUCUCAUCCACAUUUGCUUCUUUGCGAGCUUGAGUUACGCUGAAGAUCCGACCUUUUACCACGAUUUUGUGGUCUCUUACAUCACUGCUUCUCCUCUUGGUGUUCCUCAACAGGUUUGCUUUCUCUCUCUACCUUGUUUCUUCUGGGUUCUAGCUGCUUUCUAGCUUGUUUCUUCACUUUUUCCAGCUACUGAUGACUAAAUGACAGAUGGGUUAGCUUUAGAUUUCAUAAAAUUUGAAUCUUUAGCUCCAGAUCUGCUGAAUGUACUUGUAUUUUGAAACUCUGAGCUUAGAGUGCUAGUUCUAAGCUUAUAGUGAUGUCAAGUAGGGAGCUUUUGAGGCGGCUUCUAGUGAUUGAUUCUAAAUCUGCAUUACUUUGCAGGUUAUUGCCAUUAAUGGAAAGUUUCCUGGUCCUGGUAUAAACGUGACUACUAACAACAAUGUCGUUGUCAAUGUUCGGAACAAAUUGGACGAGAAUCUACUGUUUACUUGGUAAGAUUUACUGUAAAGUGCUCAUGGUUUUCAAUCAGACACAUUGUUGUUAUAUAUGGAUUGGGUUUCUGAAACUGGAUUUUGUGUUAUAGGGCCGGAAUUCAGCAGCGGCGUAGUUCAUGGCAGGAUGGAGUUCUUGGAACCAAUUGUCCAAUUCCCCCAAAGUGGAAUUGGACUUAUAAUUUUCAGGUUAAGGAUCAAAUUGGGAGCUUCUUUUACUUCCCAUCUCUUAAUCUCCAGAGAGCAUCUGGAGGGUAUGGUGGGUUUAUUAUAAAUAACCGGGCCGUAAUUCCCAUUCCGUUCGCAACCCCGGAUGGGGAUAUAACCAUUUUGAUUGGUGAUUGGUACACAAAAAACCAUACGGUGAGUACUCGGUGAAAUUCUCAACUGCUUGUUAAGUACAUAUUUGAGAUUUGGUAGAGUAACACACUUGAUGAUGAUGGUUCCUUCUUUAAAUGUAGGCUUUGAGGAAGACCCUUGAUGCAGGGAAAGACCUUGGAAUACCGGAUGGUGUUCUCAUCAAUGGGAAAGGCCCUUACCAAUACAACACUACACUUGUCCCGGAUGGCAUUGAUUACGAAACAAUUGAUGUACACCCAGGUGAGUAUUAGCCAAUUAUUUAUAUAUCUGUAAAUUAAGCAAUGCAGUAAUUUUGGGAAUGCUUAAUUUGGAUUUGUUCUGCGCAUGGCAUUGAUCAUAUUCGUCUUGAGAGCCAGAUGCGUAUGGUUUCCUAUCAUGCUAGCAUUUUGAGUUUAUUUGAGCGUAGAGAUUCAGCUCACAAGCAACACUUCAAACCAUUUCUGGAUAAGUAAUUAAUUUAAGCGAGUCAGAGUAAUGUUCCAUACAACUGACAUGACUUAUCUGUCCAUCAGCUUUGCUUUAUCGGUUGAUUGGCAUUAGCAUGUGAGAUCAAUGACCCUGGUUUCAGAAGGGAAAGCUUAAGUCCCGGCUUAUUACUCAUAUUUAGGUGUUUUGGUGGAAGACGACUUAUGACUUUAAAUCUAUGAUCUUUGCAGCUGUUAUUUGUAUUAUAGCACUAAUUGUAGCAAAAUGAUUCUUGAAAGUCAUAUCUGUGCAUAAAGAGUUGCCAAGUCAUUUCACAUGUCAAUAUUUAUUGUAUACAAGGAAAUUUCUGUGGUUAGUUCCCCAAACUUCAAAUUACAACGAUGUGAUUUUGAUCAGGGAAAACUUACCGUCUUCGCGUACACAACGUUGGAGUGUCGACUACUCUAAAUUUCAGGAUUCAGAACCACAAUUUGCUUCUAGCAGAGUCGGAGGGAUCAUAUACAGUGCAACAGAACUAUACGAGCUUAGAUAUACAUGUCGGACAAUCUUAUUCAUUUCUGUUAACAACGGAUCAGAAUGCUAGUAGUGAUUAUUAUAUUGUAGCAAGUGCUAGAUUUGUGAACGAGUCACAUUGGAAAAAAGUUACUGGAGUUGGAAUCCUGCGUUAUUCUAACUCCAAAGGAAAGGCAGCUGGUCCCCUACCACCACCACCAAGUGACGAAUUUGACAAAACCUUCUCGAUGAACCAGGCCAGAUCCAUCAGGUGUGUUCUUUGUUAAUCUUUUAGAUUCUCUUUACUAUCUUUUAUAUAUUGUAUUUAGAUUAUUCAGCAACAAUUUCCUGACUUUGUCAUCCAUAUAAACCUAUUCUGAAAAUUUGCCAACUUUUGUAGAUGGAAUGUAUCAGCCAGUGGUGCACGUCCUAAUCCACAGGGGUCUUUUAGAUACGGCUCCAUCAAUGUAACUGAUGUUUAUGUGUUGAAAAACAAGCCACCAGUAAUGAUCAAUGGGAAACGCCGAACAACUCUAAGUGGAAACUCAUUUGUAAAUCCUGCCACACCUAUCCGGCUAGCUGACCAGUACAAAUUGAAGGGUGUUUAUAAGCUUGACUUCCCAAAAAGGCCGCUUACUGGAGCACCCAGGAUGGAAACAUCUGUGAUUAAUGGAACAUUUAGAGGAUUUAUUGAAAUCAUACUUCAGAACAAUGACACCAAGAUGCAGAGUUACCAUGUGGAUGGAUAUGCAUUUUUUGUUGUCGGGUAGGAGUUCCUUGAAGUUUAUUGUAUAAAACAUGCGUAUGGUAGUGUUUUAUAUACCUCUCAGUGCCUUUAACAUGCAAUGAUUAAUUGCAGGAUGGAUUAUGGUGAGUGGACAGAGAAUAGCAGGGGGACAUAUAAUAAGUGGGAUGGAAUAGCCCGUUCUACAAUACAGGUAUGGUUGUUACAUAACCAACUGGUUUAUUCAUAGUUAGUUCCUCCCUUAAACCUCACCUAGUUUUUAGGUAAGCAUUUACUUCCUAAUUGUGAUACUUGUUUCAUAGUUAGUUCCUCCCUUAAACCUCACCUAGUUUUUAGGUAAGCAUUUACUUCCUAAUUGUGAUACUUGUCAGUUGGGACAUUUUUUUCCCUUCACUCAGAUCAGCUAUCAAAGAAGUAUGUUCUUUGCAAACCCUCAAAUGAAGACACAGAACAGUUCUAUUUUCCUCAUUAUAUGGCCUAGCACUAUAUUGCUGAGCACUUGGUCAUUACAGAGACUUUAAAUAUGAACUAGUAUAGGUGUAUAGUAGUAGCAAAGCUAUGCAAACUUUGCGACAUUUAUUUCAUAUUCACUGCUAAUACUGUAAAUAUUGGUAUUACUGUAUCAGAAUGAGUUCUCUCACUCCUAUUUGUGUAUGUGUUUAGGUUUAUCCUGGGGCGUGGUCAGCAAUUUUGAUUUCUCUGGACAAUGUUGGAAUCUGGAACAUUAGAGCUGAAAAUCUUGACUCAUGGUAUCUCGGCCAAGAAACUUAUAUCAAGGUUGUGAAUCCAGAACCGACUAACAAAACUGAGCUUCCCAUACCAGACAAUGCCCUAUUUUGUGGUGCUCUAAGCAAAUUGCAAAAGUAUGUCCCCACCCAUAAUAGUACUAAACCUUCUCAAGUCGUUAAUGUGUGACAGCAACUAAUAACUACUUAUGAUUCCUCUUUUCAGGCCUGAAGAUAUCUCUUCGGCAGCAUCACUCACUAUUGUUCAAUCAAAGGUGUUCACUCUGCUGAUGAUCAUAUGCACUUUAAUUCCCAUUUUCCACUAAAGGGUUCGGCUUUUCUGAGGGGGACUGUAUGUUUGUUGGAGCCUAGGUUCUUAGUGAGAGGUUUGUGGUUGGGUGUUUAGGUUUUGAUAUUAGGCUUGUUGAUAUCUUCAGUGAGUUUGACAUUCUUUUCUUCUUUGUACGUUCCAUGAUUCCUUUAAUUGAUCGGGAUUUAUGGCUCCAUGGCUCCUUUAAUUGAUCGGGAUUUAUGAUUCUUUUAUUAUCAAGAACCCAUGUACUGUUUGACAAUCAAUCAAUUCAUCAAUUCAAUUCAAUGCCACUUCCUACCCUUUGAUCCAAUUUCUGUAAAAUGAAUUUCUGAGACAGAAGACGAAGUUUUUGGCUUUGCUGUCACGGGGUCUGAUAUUUUGUCAAGGUUUUUAUGUUUUGUGGUCCUGGAGAUUUUGGUCGAAAAAAUGCAUCUUUCAAUGAAGGAUACAGGCAAAAAGAUAACAAGGAGGCUGAAUGUUAUUUAUUGUCUCCAGUAAGGUACAUACAGAGACCUGUAUAUAUGAACAAAAUUGCCAUUCAAUGCAGCGAAGUGCCGGUUUCAACUACAAGACCCAAAAGGUGGUAUAACCAGAGUCCAAGCAUUUGGUUGGUUUUUUUUUUUUUUGGUAACAUUCAACCAAGCACCGUUGCAAUGAGUCCUCAAAUUUUCACAACUAUCCAAGAUAGAAUUCAGAUGACAUCUUAAAGGCUGCAAGGUCCUGAAUGAGUUGUAUAGACUCCGGUGGUGCUUCAGCUUCUUUCAAAUCAGAGUUGCAACCCCAAACACGAAUUGCAAGUCUCCGACACUUGGGAGAUGAUGGUUGCAAGUAGGUUUUGUAGAAGUUAAUAAUGUCCUCCUUCUGAAGGCUUCUGACCUCUUCAGCUACCCUUUUUGGCCAGUCAUAUGUAUACCUGUAGAUCAAACAUUUAUCAGACAGUGUUGAAGCACAAGCAUUACAGAUCUCAAGGCAUGACAUUCUUAGAUCAACCUGACUAGUAGAGAUCAUGUAUACAGAGUACCUUUUAUUGGUAAUUUCCUCCCAAAGCCUAGACGUUUCAUGUCCGAGUGUUUCAUCUCUUUCCAAUAGAUUUGCUAUUAGUCCAUCUUUAUAAUUCUCAAAGGAAUCAUCAUCCAGUCCGUGCUGCAAAUGGCAACAACAAUGCAGAAUCAAUAAUAAUGAAAUAUUGUAUUAUUGUUUGAGAAUGCACAAUUUAGAAAACUAAACAUGAUGAAAUCAGAUUCAUACCCACACACUAGAGAUCCCUUGUAUAUGUUUCAUUAUGGAACCUCUAGUUGUGUGGAUAUUACAUUGGUGUAAAAUGGUUAAUGUAUACAUAGUACAGAACAGUUAAUAAUCUUACUCACGAAUUGGGGAAAACCUUAAACUAGUAUUAUCGUAGCAGCAUCCGGAAGGAACCUAGAUUGCUUUUUUUUUUUCUUCGGACAAUAAGGAGCCUUGAAUGCUUACCAACAAUAGAUCCACACCAUUUAUAAAGUUGUCAACUCUCCCUUGCAAGUAGAUUGGGUUGUGCUCAGACGACUCAACACAGAAAACAAAGCCAUAUACACGACAUAUUUCUCGCAGGCCACACCAAACAACAUAACCAAGCUGCUCCUUCGUCCUAUUUCAAGAAACACAAUGGCAGUUCUAAAAAUAUAAGUCUAAAAUAAUCAUCUGGCCCCAAAUAAAAUUAUAUUAUCAGAACAGAUUCUUUAGCUAGUCAGAAUGCAAGCAAUACUUUCAGCCUCAAACAAAUACCUUAGCUGAUCGUAAAGUGGUUCGUCUACAAUUUUCAUAAAAAGUUUUGCCAAUGCUCUCAAUCUGGUGGACUCGAUCUCAAUUUGAAAAUAUAACUGCAAUGUGAAAACAAAACAAAUGGGAGACCAACAAGAGGUACAUUUAUGAUUUUAUGGAUAGAAAACCAAGAAAAUAUAUCCACUUUAAUUACCUCAAUGACAGAGUUUGUUUCAGAAUUAUUCUUCACACAGGCUUCUCUAACGAGGUUAGCAGAAGGAGGAAGGCACAUACAAUGAUCCUUAUGCCUCAAUUCGAUAGGAAGUGGUUCCACAGUAAAAUUGGUUUUAAAUAUAUUGGAAAGGUGAAGUGCCUCUUCUUCUACCAGAUUUCCAUGACAAAAGCCUUCAAUGUAAAGCUGUGCAUAUAGAGGAGAGAGGAAGUUGAAAUCAUUCUAAUUAUUUACAGAAAUUCUCCAAAUAAUAUAACAAUUAUUAAAUUCACAUUUGAUAGCUAGUCUCCAAUUCUUUCACUAGGCAUGAAAGUGGAAGAAAUGGGAGUCAAUAAGUCAGAAUCAGACAAACUGGUCAUAUGUGUAUAGUAUAUACCUGGGAACAAAGCUCGGGAAUAAACAACUUCAUAUCAGAAACAGACAAACUGUUCAAAACUUGCAACUCUUCAUCUACAUCAUAAUAUUUAUGGUACAAAACUUGACGUCUCAAAUAUGAAGAGUGACUCUGAGGAUCCAUAUUAGUGUUCUUUAACAUUCUCUCCAUUCUUUCUCUGAUAACCUGUUAUGUGUUACUUUGUCAUAAGUCAUAACCCAGCCAUAACCUAACAAGGUAUUCUCAUUUGUAUACAUAAUCAAACUUGAACCAGACAUAGAGUGGACUGCAGACAUAAUGUAUUCCGGCAUACCUCGAAACGAUCAUAUGUUGGCAAGAAGUUUCUGGUCACUGUCAGAAUUUUUGACAAUAAAGCUGGAAGCUUAUCGUUGAAACCGUAAACCUUCAACUCCAUAAAGUCGUUAGAUCCAUUUACAUGAGUUCCCAGCCCGGCAACAUUGGCCUACACGCAGAGAAUAAAGGAUCCAUCAUUGUAUAGAUCCUAAAUCAUUUUUGUUCUAGAACAUAGUUGCUGAGAACAGAAUGACUAAUAUUGACCAAUAAAUUAUUAAAUUUUGGGGCACAAUAUAAGUAUAAAGCCACUAUAAUUAUAAGUUAUAUCUUACAACUGAAAUCCUAAACAGUAAAAUGAUCAAAAUGAAGAAGUGUGUUAAGAAAUUUAAAAAUGUAAAGAAUGGAGAUAGAUAGAAGAGAGACGACCCAGUUCUUCAAAAAUUUAGAAAAGCAAACACAUUCAUAGUUCCAGAUUAACAUGAUAAUUCUCUGGAAGUUAUAUACAGUGGUUUUCUAGCUUCUACUAUUAGCCACAAUAGCAUCCAAUUUUUAUAAUGAACCGAAAUGGAUGCACACUACAGAGAUAUUCAAAUUGAUUUAAAUUCAAGUGGUGUUCCUAGAAAGAAAGAAAAAGUUUUUUUUAAACAAGACCUUAAUCUGAUGGAUGAAAUAUUCACCUGAUAUACUAUUUCAUUCAGCUCAUCCUCAAGAAGCUCAAUAUACAGUUCAGUCAAAACAUAACUCUUCACAUUAUCAUAUCCACCCUUCAGAUUUAUGCGGAAGUAUGCAUUUACCCGUGGUUGUUUAAAAGUACUGUCAAGCUUGUACCAGAUCUUCACCAAUGGUUCAUCAAGUAUACAUCUUGGAGAAGAUAUAUUUGCACUAUCAGGACAACAGACAUCUGAACGGAUGGAGAAAUCACCAGGAAUGAACAUAUUCUUUAGAGGGAGAUGCAAUGAAUUAUCAACUUCUGGAGGAUCCUUCCACAAAUUCAUCAAAGAUGGAGAUAUAUCUUCUUCAGUAUAAUGUGAACCAAACCAAGGCUCGCACUGGAAAUCUGAAACAGUUGAAGGGAUUGUUAGUGCUUGAGCACACUUAUUUACUCCUGCAAAAUCCAAAUAAUAUAUGAAAGUAUGUACUGUGUAGCAUAUAAAAUGAGGCAUAGAAAUCAUUCUCAUUUUGUCAGUUAGAAAUAGGAAAAAUAUAAGGAUAGCACGAAGAAUAUAACAUGAGCCACUUCUGAAAACUAGUUAAAAUAAAAUACGAUUGCUAGCAGCCAAACAAAACAAUGAAAAUAAGAGGGACAAGAAGCACCUUUUUAAUUUUAUUUUUUUUGGCAUAAUAGCGAACUUACUUUCCAACUUGAAUGAGGACUUUGAUAUCACAUCAAUCCUCAUGUUUUCUGGUCUGAAGAAGCCAAGAACAUAUUCUAUCAAUUCCUUAUCCCAAGUCUCGUACACAUAGUCCCCAUAAAUAACAUGUUCUGCUGAAUAGCGUAAUAAAUUUCCUGCAAUACAGAAAUUAUGAGAUUUAGUAUGAAAUAAAUGUACAUAACUUGAUACAUCUUAUGAUCUGUGAUACUUGCAGACAAGUAAGAAAGACAUGGACUUUCAAUAACAAAAAAAAACCUCCAAGUUUUACAGCAUAAUCAUCCUGGGGCUGAUCCUGCAUAAAUCUAAAACUCAUGUUCCCAAUAUCCUGGAGUUCCCGGAAUAUCCAUUCUUGAGGUGAUACUUGACGCAAUAAUUUAAUGUAUUGAUACACCGAGCCAACUAUCUCAAAAAUCUGCAAGUAACCAUAUAACAUAUGAGAAGUGAUAUACAUAGAGUUAAUUUCGCUUCACUACAUAUGUUCAGCAGUAACUGAAGCUUUCCAAAAGCAAUGAAUUAUAAAGUGGAAUUACGGUAUGCCUCUAGUAAUUCUUACGUUCUCCAAAGUAUUCUAGGGAAGAUAAUCUAAACUUAGGUUUUGUUCCAUGAUGAAAGAGAAACUCACAAAUAAGAAAUGGGAUAAUCAAAGUCAAUCUCAUGCCAAAAGAUGGAUAGAUAGAGAUAAUACCUGCUCCAAUCCAGAGUCAGUAAGGUAUAUGAUCAUGCAAAAGACAUCAGCCACAGAAUAGCGGUUCACCGAAGCAUUGAGAUAUGUUGCCCAUCCUUUAGCUUUGAGAUAAAAAUACAGACUUCCCCUGCCCUCUGGGAAAGAAAAAAACCCAGUGAUCAGAAUAAACUCAAUUAAAACUCGAUUUAGUAAUGUGUAGCCAGCCAAAAAAUAUUAGAGGGAAACGCAUUGUAAAAAUCCAUAUACAAGACAUGCAAAAAAAUAAUAAUUCCAAACAUAGGAAAAGCAUGAAUGGAGACCACUCUAAGGAAAUAACAUUUAGACAAAUAGUGCAGCAUUCAAGCUCUCUUGUGUGCAAUAUGAACAGUUUGUUCUCUGCAGAGGAAAUCAUCAACAUAAACAAUUUAAUAAUGAAUCAUCUUACCAUGCUCAAGAAGAUGGCUUAAAAAAUAAUCUGGGCAUUUCAAAUAAUGUUGAUGAAGACUUGGAAGUGCCCAUGCUAAGUGGAGUAUAUGAACAUCAUUAACGGCCUCUAGCCUGUAAAGUUUUCCAACAUUCCAAAUAGGACCUUCAGCUUUGAACUCCAGGUUAACUUGGGGACCUUUUUUGACAUCUCCAAACAAUUCCAAAACCCACUGCUCAAGUAUAUCAAGAGAUUCUGCAACACUAAAACCAUUUCAAUAAAUAUAGAUUACAUCUAUCAGCAGUUUUGAAAAGAAGAAGAUAUGUGUUAAGGGAAAUAUGUUUAUAGUAUUACAGCGACAAGUUAUCAACAAUGCCACUGAAACACACUGUAACAGUCAAUCUCCAAUAUCAUCAAAAAUUCAUCUUUAUUGUUCAUGACUUUGAUUUUCACGAAUAGGUUUUACCAAAAAAAAAACUGCUCACAGAACAAUCACAACACAACACUUCUACUGACAAAAACUCAAUGUGUAAUUUUUUACAGCAACAUAAACCUCUACCAAUUUACAUAACCAAAUAUUCAUGAGGAAAACAGAAAUCGCGAGUAGAUAAGUAUAUCAUACUAUGCUGUAAAGACAAAUUGAAAUUUGCAUGUCUAAUAGCACACCCUUUUGGUCCACGAUACAACAACUUGCUAAUCUUAUUGUCAUGGACACCAUCUCUGUAAAUUAUCCUCCAAAAGAUAUUGGUAAAACUUAACAGAAUUCAAAAAAAAAAAAAAAAAAAAGGAAAUUAAAACUUUCACCUCCACCAAUGACAACUAGCUUCAUUAAUCCGCCAUGGUAAUAGUCUGUGUACAUUUGCAUUAUUUGUUGACGUAAGUUUAUCCCUUUUUCCCUUGCAUCAUCCAAGCUUCUCUUAUUUCCUUUCAUGCCAGAUAUAAAAUAAAAAUUUAGUUGCAUAAAAAACACAGUAUCGCUAAACAAAUACAAAGUAAAAGGAAAAAGGAAACACCAUGGAUUCAAGUUUUACCCCGACUGAAAUUAUUAAAUGGGUGACCAGGUGUGGCUGUAUGACCUUGAAGUUGUUCAAGGCGGCAAAAAUCGUUUUGCAGAACCCGGUUGAACUCUGCAUUGCAUUUUGAAUACAAUUCAGUGACAAGGAAUUUUUAUGCUGCAGUCCUGUAAGCAAAAUCUGGCACAGUUUUUGAAGGAAUAACUUUAGAAAGACUGGCAUGCACCUGAAUCUAUAGACUGUAACUCUCGCUCCAUGGCUUCACUUUUCAUUAGAGGUGACACAAAGAACUGAGAAAAUCUAAUAAAUCAAAGAGCCCAAAUAAAUAUAAUUCAUUGAGUGAGACAAAGACAAGUAUCAAGUCAAAAUAGGAAGCAUCACAGAAAACUAAAAACUCAGUUCACAGACCAAGUAUAUCUCCAAUAUUAAAGACUUCAUUUGUCAACAUUCGAUCAGCAGAUGAAAAGCUUAGUAUUAACCUUGUCAAAGCACCCUUAAGAAACUCUGGUUUCACUUCAAAGUGGUACGAUGUAUUCUCUUCACGCGUGCAUGCAUUUGAUGACCCUCCGUGCUUGGACAAGUAACUGUCAUACUAGCAAAGGGCAGAAUCAAAACAAAUGAUGGCAUAGCGUAGAGUACACUGUUGUCUUCCAAAUAACUUGAGUUCGAGCUUGUAAAAGCAUUUGACAGAAUAAUAAUCAACCAGUAAAGAACUGAGGCCAACACAAGAAUUUCCACAUGGUCAAAGAAAACUACUCUUAUAUCUUGUGAGGGGACACAAAAAUUGAACAAGCUGCUAUUUGUUUCUUUGUCAUGAUAAACCAUUCAGUCUCCUAAAAAUUUAAGAAAUGCAGCCUGACACAUUACUGAGCAGGUUGGCAGCAAAGACACAAGCAAGUCCAACCCACAUAUAUGGGUUAAAAAGCAACCUUAAGAUGCUGUCAGAGUAAUAAUUCUUGAUACUUAAGCUGCUUCACAGUGGCAUGAAUUUUAUUAUUGUAUGUAACCUCAUCUUUAUGAACAAGGCAGACGAACAAGUGCAUUCCCAACUAAAACAAGUAAUUCAAAAGAGAAUUCAGAUGCAAGCAUACCUCGUUUUCAUCUGGGAACUUGGUACUCCCCAUGAAAAGCAUGUGUUCUGCAAAACAUUCAAUACGUAAGUAAUUCGGUCAUCCUUGGUUAAAAGGGUGUACGCUGAGUUGUGACACGAACCUAGAAAGUGUGCAAGCCCCUGUGCCUCAGGAGGAUCAGAGAAGCUGCCCAUUCCAACAAACAUUGCUGCUGCUGCCUGCAAACACCAUCAAACAUCAAAUUAAACAAAAUGCAUUCAUCCGACACUUGAGUCAACAUUGUGGGCUACAAGAAAUCCAACCUUCUUGGUCUGAAAAGCACCUCCCUUUAGCGUGUGCCCGGGUUGUGGGUAAAUAUCAGGGUCGUGAAGGAGCAAAGCAGUGAGGCCAUUCUCAAGCGUAAUCAAUCUGUACAGUUUCUUGUCAUUAGGAGACUUUAUCACAAUGUCGUCCGACGAGAAACUGCAGCGACCCAUCGAAAAGGGAAUGCUGUAAUCAAAUUUUCCUCGCUCUUUGAACAACAGAAUGUAAAAGUCUGAGUCUUCAUCUGCCGCGUUGAGAUUAUUUGACUCCUCUUCUCAAUUUUCCACAAAUGAGACCCUGGUGCCUGUCUUGCACAAUACCAAACUUGAUUUGGGCCUACGAAGUUUGGAGUCCUCUGUAUAUCAAAGAGUGUUCAGGCCCAACAAGAAAACUUGGUUUUGAACUAGGAGAAUGGAGUGAGGUUUGAACCAGGAGAAUGGAGUGAGGUUUGAACCAGGAGAAUGGAGUGAGGUAUGACAUAUGUAGUCAUAAUCCGUAAUGGUGUCGAGUUGGUAAGAGUUUAAUUGUGGUAACAGUGAACUUUGCUAUGCAAUUAAUCAUAUAAUAACAGGUAUGACAUAUAUUAUAGUUGUAUCAACUUUCAAACACUAUACAUCAGCUGCUUUCUAUUAUGUGGAUGGGAACCGAUAUAUGAGGCAACAGCAUAAACUCUUUCCAGCUCCUUUUCUUUUCUAGAGAAAAUCUUACGUGCGACAGCCGCACCACGUGAUUGACAUGUGUGACCUACCAGUCGCACAGCGACACGUGUUUUUGUUUUUUUAUGGCAGCUCUUCUUCUUCCUUCCUCUCUCUUCUCCGGCGAAACCGAUCCCUUCAGCUCCCUCUGCCCAUCCGUCGCCUAACCACCCCCCCCGGCGCCUCUACCAUAAGCCUGACAACCUGCCGCCGUCGAGCCGCACCUCCACCAACCUGUGCAAAUCACGCAGAGAGAGGAAGGAAGAAGAAGAGGGAGGAAGGAAGGAAGAAGAAGAGGACGAAAGAAGAAGAGUUGUGAAAAAGCUUCGCCGGAGGGGAUCUGUUUCGCCGGAGAAAGGAGGAAGAAGAAGAAGAAGGCAGGUGUAGGAAAAAAAAAAAACACGUGUCAAAGGAUGAUUGGGUGCACAUGUGCCAGGUGAUGCGGCUGUUGCACCUAAGAAUUUCUCUCUUUUCUAUUCUUUUUCUAUUCUUUUAACAGUUUCUUAAUUUCUUUGAGCAGUCUUCAGUGUUAUAUCUUGGCACUGAUAAAAUAGUUUGGGUUCAUAUUUAAAACCAAUUGACAAUGAAUAAAGUAGAAAGAGCACGAAAUUAAGACUGUAAUCCUGUAUUUGGACUGAUAUCUCAACAGACAAUAAAGAUAUACUUGGUAAUUAUGGACGCUUCUUUUAAUAUGCUAAAUGCAAACAUACAUGUAUGCUUUCUUGAAAGCUAAAAGCUGAUCGGGGAGUGCUGCUGCUGCAUGGGGUGUACGUAUGUUUGGUGUCGAAGAUUGCAUUUUGCGGGGGAGAUGGAGCUUUUUGAGGUAAGAUGGAGGAACAGAUUGAGAUGGAUCGAGAGCCCCAACUUUUUCAUUUGAACAGAGACUUGUAGGGUUUUUCUCUUCCACGUCUUCAUGUGUUUUCAGCCUCUUUAAUUUGAUGUUACUAAUUGGGAGGGACAUUAUAUCGAUCAAAUCUCACCUUUUCGUAAUGGUCGCAUCGUAUCCUAUGCGCAUAUACCAAGUACUCGAUUACUUCACUUUGCUAGUGAUCACGCUUAUACCUGUUAUAUAUAAAGCUUCCUUCUUAUGUUGACUCGCUACUACAAUCGUGGACCAAACUAAAGCGCGCACUUGGAUCUAUAUUUCUACUGCCUCUACUAUGUCUGCCAAGAGUUGAAUUGGUCGCCAUAAACUUUACCUCAAGCUAGAAAUUGAUCAAGAAGAUGAAAGAAGAAAAAUAAUUCAAGUGAGAAUUACUACGGGGGCAGCAAGUGAUAGAUGUGAUCAAUGCCGUACUAGUAGCUAGGUUUGCAUACCCCUUUGUUUUUGUUCGCCGGCCUCUGUCUUUCUUAAUGUGAAGGCCGACGUCAAAUUGUCUUGUACGUACUUGUUUGCACGUACACCCCUUUGCAGCUAGCCGUUGUAAACUGUAAAUUGAAAUUGAGAUUGAAAUUAGCAGUACUUUUGGGAGGGAAGGGACCUGUCAGUUUAGGGUGCUUAUUUGUAUCUGCUGGGACAUACAUACAUGUCCUCACUAGGCAAUUUGAGUUCAAGUUUUUAGCUUUGAUCAAGUAGCAUUUACUAAGUGUUUGGCCUUCCCCAGCACGUAUUGAUUGAAGACGCCAAAGGAUCCAGAUCGAUGCACUUCGAAAAGACAUAGUCAAUUAUAUGUCUUGUGAACCCUAGCAGACAAGCUAACGCAGAAUCCCUGCAAUUUCUGGUUCUUCAUAUAUAUGCAAAGAGAAAUUAAGCAUUUCAAACAUAGCCACACGGCCCACAUAUUACGUACGUACUGUUCCCAUGGAUAUACUAUUUGCUGGAUUUAUUUGAAGAUCGAAUGCGAUAUUAGGAAACCCUAAUUGUUUUGCUAAGUUUACACAUGGAAUAUCUGCUAAAGCUAGCUCCAGUGGUUAAUUAGUUCAAGUGGCAUGGUAAUGGAGAUAUAUGUGGGAAGAUAAGUUCAAGUGGCAUGGCAUGGUAAGGGCAUUUGAAGAGCCAGCGUGCAUUGCCUAACUUCGAAUUUGAUGAGUGACUAAUAGAGGAGAGUGGCAACGAUGGAGACGAGUCGUGAAUCCCCAACAUAUAUAUAUAUAUUUCAUUCUCAGUAAAUUUAGACGAGACUAACUAUGAUUGAUCCGACUAAUACUAUGUAUGUGUGACAUGCAUGAUCAUGUGAAGGAAGAACGCAAACACGUCUAAUUACCUGUUGAUUAGACUGAUGAUUGAUCAUACAAUAGGAUAAUACCGUCAAAAUACAAGGGUUUUUUUCCUCAAUAUUAACCACACCUGAAUUGGCUAAAUUAACAGUUAUCAGCAUCAAUUUUAAAGACGUACCCGCCAGUUGCAUUAAUCAUCUAGAUUGCGAAGAAAUUAAAUAAUUAGAGCUUUUACGUAGCCAGUUCUUAAGCAUAAUUAACAAGAAACAUAAUUAAACAUCUGAGAUCUUUCUCCCACUACGUAGCUAGUACUACUACAUAUAUCAAACAGACGAUGAAAGGCUGAAGCUGAAGCAGGGUGCAGCUAGCUAGCAACAUUGAAUUCGCUAGCUAGCUUACCCGAUCAGUAAGGAGAGACCCGCACAUUGUUAUUAGCCGCAGCGAAAAACCCAUUGUGAUCUUUCAUCAGAACGUCCUCUGCAGAUUCCUGCAAAUCGAUCAUCCAUCAAACAAAUCAAUUAGAAGAUAUAUGAUCAAGGGUUGUAUUAUCUCAUAUAUAUCUGGGUACUUUGAUUCUAACAUGCACCGAAUUAAGAGAAGAAAAAGAGAGAUCGAUCCAGGGUUAAUGGUAGAUCCUGGGGAAUUAAUGAACUUGAAAGGUUGAAGGUAAUUACUUACCUGCUGGCGCACAUUUGUCUUCUUCACAGUAGAAGUGUUCUGGUCAGGCAUGAGACCAAAGUGAAUGUGUGGAAAGUGGGCCCACUGUCAAAAGAAACAAAAACUCUGUCAAGAGAAGAGGUUCACAUAUCAAGGGACCCCACACAUGUCAAAGAGGAGCAAUAGUCCUAUUGGAAUCACAAACCUUCAGAAACCCUAGCUGGGAAGCUAUUAGCUAAUUUGGUAAAGACGAAGGGAAAGAAACAAAAGUAGUCGAGCCAGCUGCAGGUAAUUAAUAUUUUUAAUUUAUGAAAAAUAAAUAAAUAUAUUACAUUCUUAGCAGCUGCGCUGAAGGCUUCUCUAUGGGAUAUAUCAGGAUUCACAGACUUGAUGCGUUGGAUCUCGUCCCUGCAGGAUCGAUCAUAUAUACACAUCAAUAUACAGAUAUAUAUAUCAUCAGAGAUAUGAUGGACCAUUCAUGUUAUUGCUUCGUUAUUUCUGGAAAUAAUUUUUAUUAAUCAUUUUCCAAUAAUAUAUUGCAUUACAAAAACUAAAAUGUGUACGUGUAUGAGAGAGAGAGAGAGAGAGAGAGAGAGAGAGAGAGAGAGAGAGAUAUGAAGCUAGAAUCGAAAGGAUCGAUGAUCAUGAUUACUCACUUGAUGAAGCGGUUGUAGGCUGAGGGGACUCUCUGUCUCUUCUCCGGAGCUGAACAACGCAUUCAAAGACACAGACAUUAAGAAUCAUCUUCAUGACCUAGCUACCUUAUAAGUAUACUUAAUUAUGAUCCAGCAAUCUGCGACGUUAUCAAGUAACUAUAUACAAUUUGCGGCCGGGGAAGAAUGGUCUAAGGAAUUAUUGCCGGCCUGCUACAUUUCAGAGGGGAUUUAUACCAGAAAGGACCUAAAACAUGAUUAAUGAGGCUAAGUUCAUAAACUAUAAAAGAAUAUACCCAUAAAAGAAAAGCUUAAAGCAUCAUAUUUCAGAAGAGUGUCCGUCCUAUUACACUUUAAGCGUGCAAAUGGAAAAGAUGAAACAUUGGAACCGUCUUGUCAAGUAUACAUAUACAGAAGCUUUAGACACAUUAUGUCUCAGCUUAAUUACUAGAUUGUUCCUAUGCAUAAUUUCUUGAAUGUUGAAAAGGACUGAUGAAGUCUGUGAAAGUGUGAAGAAUUUCAUUUCUUUGGUCUGUUAACAACAAAUAAAUGUUUGAGGAAAGCUAGCAAAGUUAAAUUCUAGCUACUGAAAUCUUGCCUGCAACGGAAGCUAGCAUAGAAGGGGUUGAUUAUAAAUCUGCGAACUUGGUUUUAUCCUCGUCUACCAGAUAGAAAGACCUUGGUAACUUCAGGGAUUAGAGGGAAGAAUUAAAGAUGCCCAAACUUAUUAAACUUUUCUUCAAUGAGUACCAAAAUGAAACCAGAAAUGAACUAUCCUGGGUUCUAGACCAAAAUACUUCGUAGAAAGCUAUAUAAUAUAAUAUAGGGUCUACUAACAGCUACCCGUCUGAACUUAUAAGCUCUAGGGCUAGGUAAUUAACACAGAUAAUAAGAUCAAAAGUGAAAGGAUGCGUGUAAUUAAGGAAGAAAGUUGCUCACGUCUGUUAAUAACUGGAGGCCUUGGGAGCUCAUCAGCUACUCCUCCUCUUGGUCUUACAGCAAAGUCAUUCAGGCUGCUAGUUUGAUUGUUCAUCAGAAAGUUUGGGGUUGGAUUCAUUAACGGAAUCUCCUGAUCCUGAAGCACAAUAUUUACGGUGAAUUUACCAAUAUAUAGAAUCAAGUUUUUCAAAAGGUUAUUCGAUCAAGUGUAUAUAGGUAUACCAGAAGGUUAUGGGAAUUUGGCUGGGAGAAGAAGGAGUGACCGAGAUGAUGAAACUGAUUUGGGGAAGGCAGAAGCAACCCGCGCAUGUUCACCGGAAGCAGGUUGGUGCAGUGGCCACAUCGUACCGUCACAGUCUUGAACAAACUUGUGCAAGGAACACUCACCUGCAUACAUCAAACCAGAAACAUAAGCAGAACACAUAUAAAAUCAAUUGAAAGAGCAAAACAGCCCCCAAAACUAAGCCUAAACAGCAUAAUAUAUGGAAGAGAUUAACAGAAGAAACCAAGGAUGGAGGUUGAAUAUGGAGGUGGGGUUUACCGCAAGGACAGUGUCGCAAAUGUUGCAAUGGACAUAGCAGAGCUGCUCGGAAGGAGCAAGGUGGUCGAGGGACAAGGUCGAAGAAGCAGAAUUAGAGGAUGACAUGAUGAUUCCUUUUCCUAUCUUUUCUUUUAUAAAUUUGAUUGGUGAUUGAUGAUUGGUCUCUCUUUGGGGUUUGAUUGAUUGAUUGACGGAUGACAGCUUAACCACCACCUUGGAUCUGCUUUUCUACAAUUCUUUCUUUCUUUGAUUAUGAGUUGUGAAAGAAAGGUGUGAAACAAAGAGAGAGAUAGAGAGAGAGGUAGUGAGAGAGAGAGAGAGAGAGAGAGACAGAUGGGGAUCAAGGGAUAUCUAUUUGGUCUACUAGAUAUAAGAGAGCUGUGCUGGGAACCAGAGACCCUUCCAUUCUCUCCCCUCUAUUUAUUGGUGCUGUGUGAUUUUUUUUUUUACUGUGAUUAUCCUGUUGAUUCAUACUGUUCACCCAAUUAUUAUUGUCACUUCGAACUCCAAAAAAUUCUGGAGUUAGCUAGCUAGUAGUGAUUGUCUAAAGGGAUAUCGAUCACCUUCGAUCUGUAUUCCAAUACGUUAUGAACUCGUGAUUUAAGUUCAUUCUUGUCUAGUUUCUAACCAUAUAUACAUCAAACCGACCUCUAGGCUUUAGCUAGUUGUAUUUAUGUUGUUUAUACACUUGACUGAGACUAAAUAUAUGAUAAAAUAGUCUGGGGUUCACAUCUAAAACCAAUUGGCAAUAGAUGGAGUGGUCCAAACCCUUAUAAACCACAGGCAAUGUCCCAUUUUUUCUGAUGUGGGAUAUAUAUCUCAACACGCCCCCGCACGUGUGACGAAUCUUCAAGCCUAACACGUGGACAACAUUUGGGGUGACGUGGAGUUCGUGUGGCCUUUAGGCUUCACACGUGGACGUGGGUAACCCGCUCUGAUACUAUGAUAAAGUAGUCUGGGGUUCACAUCUAAAACCAAUUGGCAAUGAAUGAAUUGGCCGGCCCAAACCCUUAUAAAUCACAGACAAUGUCUCAUUUUUCCUGAUGUGGGAUAUAUAUCUCAACAAUAUAAAGAGUUAGGAUGUUAAAUUGUUAAACAUUACUAUAAUACUAACCCCUACUCAUAUAUUUACAAGAAAUUACAAAUGUGACAAAAAUUUGUUGUCUGAGUGCUAAUGUUGAUUACUGUUUCGUGUAAUCUUAGUUUUCGUAAUGGUAAUUAGACAACGUACAACAUUUUACAAGUCUUUGAACAGAUUCAUUGUCAGUGUUGUAAUUUUUGUUUAAAUUUACUAACUAGCCAGUGUACGUAAAUGAAUAAAUUAACUUUGUCAAGUAUAUGUACGUAUUGGGAUUUGACUAGAGUUGAAAAAUGUAUCAAGAAACAGCACUAAAUAUCACCACCGGUCGAUCAUCCGAUGUCUAUGACCGGCCAUGCAUGUAUAUAACGUCCAUGAUUCAUCAUCCAUGUCCAUGAUCACCAAAGAUAAACAUGCGCAUGCAUGGUGUUAAUUAUCCCAUAAUCAACACAGAUAUGUGGUUGGCACUCCCGAUGCCAUAGCUAAGCUGCUUAGCUAGCUCAGAGAGAGAGAGAGAGAGAGGCGGUAGAUGUGGGGGAGAGGAGCUCGAAAGAGACGUGUGCAUGGCGGUGAUAUUGCUUUCACACAAACACACAUACACAACACUCAUCAUCUGUUGUUUUCAGAACUUAAAGAGGGUGUUGUCUUCACUCUUGCGGUGCAGUUGGUUUUCAAAUUUUCUCUUUCGAGCUCGGCCUCAAUUUCCGAACCCACUCCCAAAAUAACUCCAUGACUCCCUUCUAUACCUCCCGGACAAUAAGCCCUUCUCCACCCCCUCUUUGUUUGGCCCUCCGCCCCCUUCUCCGCCUCGACAGGGCGCUCUCCUCGAUCCAUCUAUAUCUUCCUGCUUCCCUAUCCUCACCCCGUGAUGAUCAACCCCACCAACCCCAUCAUAACACAAUCAUGCAUACACGACUCGUAAUACAUAAUGCCAAAAUUUUCUAAUUCUGUAAAAUGAUUAAUUUCUAAUGUCUAUUAUAUAUAAAAGCUAGCUAGCUAGCUAUAGUACUGGAAUUCUGUAGACGUUCAGUGAUUUGACCACUCGAUCUCCCUCGUCUAACGCACAGCGCAGACAGAUACGUAUUUAAGUAGUCAGUACUCAGUAAGAAACAUAUAUCUCAGUAGCUAUAUUGCCAGGCACCUCCUUACCACCUUUGUCCUUUCCUAUAUUUAUUUCUGCUUUUCUUUUCUGGCUUCUCUUUUAGCUAUUUUGGUUAGAAUCUUUCUCUGAUCCUUUACAUAACUCUAGGGUUUUUGUUACAUAGUUUGCAAAGCCACCUAGCUAGCUAUAUACAGCUACCCUGUAACUAUCUUUGAAAAAAGAUAGUCGCCCAGUUCCCGUAGAUAUUUACCAUUGUUUCCUUGAUCGAUUAAUUAGGGUUCAAAGAUCGAUCAUGCGGAUCAAAUUUCCAGAACGAUCGCCAUCUUACCAUAAAUGGCCUAAUUGGAUUUCCUCUUCCCCAGAAAAUUCAUAGUGUUGUUGUUAUUAUUCAUCCAUGAUGAUUCAUAUGAUCGGAUGCAUUCACUCUCACUCACAAAUGAGAAGUUGGGGGGGGGGGGGGGGGUCCUGCAUGUGUACAUAACUCGUAUGCAAGAAGCUAGAACAUUAAAUGUGUGGUAAUGGGGGAAAAGGUUGUAAAGUUUCACAAAUGACUAAUUCAAACUUACUUCACAGUUUUUCAAACUGUACAUGACAUUAACGAACAGGUUGAAAGGGAAAUGAGCCUGAGAAUCUGAGACAGACACUUGAAUGAGUGCUCCUAGUCCUCGAUUUUCCUAAAGAUGAAGUUCAAAGUAUUUAUUUGACGGCCAAAGAAAAGCAAACUCAUCAAAAGGACACUGAAACAAAAAAGCUACAUCGCGCAUGGAAUUAGCAUGCAUCCACAAAUUAAAGGUCCCUUUAUACACGAUGAGGAACUUAUAAGAACAGUGGUUUCUUUUAAUUAUCACUGUCCAUGUAUCUGUUACUGAUUAAUUUGGGUUUGAAGUAGGUAGAACUGAUUGAAGUACUGUUUAACUUGGAAAUUUUGCCUAGAUAUGUUUGAAGUGAUGCAUGGCAAGAAAAACUGUUUUGUUUAUCAUCAGCAAAAUGAUUUUGAUACCACUCAUCGAUGAUCGGCAUGAUCAAUCUAGCUAGUAUGUUUCUGAUGAUCUUGAGUUCAAACUGAUCUAAUUCAACUUGCAACAUUUGCAUGAUGCCAGAUGCAUGGACUUAUCUGAUGCUUAUGCAUAAUCACAUAUAUACAUGCACAGUAAUAUCGAGCAGUGUAUGAACGUACGAAUGAGGAAAAAGUUAUCACUGUAAAAAGCCUGCUAGGAGCUAUUUGUUGCUGUUUGUGGGGAUAUGUGGAUCUUUGAAUCUUUCUUACACAGUCUCUCUCUCUCGACCUCUCUCGCUCUGAUGGAAGAAGGAGAUCGAUAUAUUUUGGAAUGGGGGCAUUUUUGGUACAUGUACGUAUGAUGGGGUUGGGUAAGAACCGAUAAAGUUGAAAUUCAGAGUUGCUCCGUUGUCUGAUAUAUGUAUGUUGGCAUCUCGAUCCAACUGUGGCCCUCUUCGGCUUUGGCUAGCUCCUCUCUAGAUAUUUGCAGUGAAUGAGCGCAACAUACAGCAAUUAGUUUAAAAGCGCGGGCGGUGGUGAAGGCCCUAGCUGGUACACACACAUACACACACCUUUAGCUUCUUUAAUAUUAGCCUUUAGCUGUUGAGUGCUGGUGAUCGAUGAAUAGCUCGAUCAUCAGCCCUUUAGAUAUCGAUCCCAACAGCUAAACCCCACAGGCAAUCGUUGAGGCCAUGUUGUUGCAUGGGCAUGAGGAAUUUCUUGUUCUUUCUGAACCCACACAAAGGACAAGCAUAUAAUGGCAAAUGUCCUACAAAAGGGAUGGGGUUAGAGAGGAACCAAAGGCCUGCCCUUGCCCUUUCCUGGCCUUUUAAUCGAUCACUCUGAGGUGAUUGAUUCAACUGAGAAGAUGACAAAUAAGGAGCUAGCUGCUGCUACUUGCGCAUUGACUCGGUCGACUAACUUUGGACCCUAGCUACAUAGCCUCGCUCUGAUUUCAACAAAAGAUCCAACCAGCUAGGUCUUGUUUCGAUCAUCGAUCUAACUAGAUUUUCUCAUUUUCUUGUUGGUUCGAACCGGAUGUCCAAUAACCUGUUGCUUUUUCUAAGUCGAUCUCUAAAGAUGAUCGAGGCUCUGAACUAAUUGAGUCUAAUAUACAUUGGGUACGAACUGUUUUAAAAGUACGUAAACCUAGUGGCCUAAUGCAACACAUGCAUGUCAAUAUCAAACAUUUCUCACAGUUAUGUUUGUGUCAUUGAUUAUCAUGGCAAGAAAAGUUGCAGAGCUAGCGAAGUGUAGACGCUUGAGCUAGCCAAUAUUUUCAACAUGCAUGAUGCCAUCAAGGUCCAAAAUUAAGACCUUGAGCUCACCUUAAAAACCACCACACUGGUUUACACACUUCAUUUAUCAUUAACAUAGAAUGUUAAUGUCUAUGUUAAUGAUAAAUUUGGUCUUAUAGACCCCAGUAGGUUCAGUAACCCCCUAUCAUGAGUAUUAUCAUUUCGACUCUGGAAAAGAAAGAACAUGAAAGUAUUGGCCAAGGCUCAAGACUCAAGAGUCAUGAGUCAUGAACUCAUGACACAAAAGAUGAAAAGGUACCCAGCAAGAUUUAAAAAUCCAUCACCAAGCAAGAUGCUUCAAAUCGGGUUAACGGGCCACGGAGGCCGCUUUAGAGGUUAAAGGCCCAACUAUAUUUUUGUAAGAUGAUUGGAAAAAAAAUGUGAACUAUAUCCAAUUAUCCAUACAAAAAAGCAGUUUAUCUAGUCUCAUAGAUGUUGAUAUUUGACUUGGCAACAAGUGGCAAACCACAAACCUUAGAACAAACACGUCUCGUGUGUACUCCUCUCAGCCAGAAGUCGAUGCUUCAUCAAAGGUGCACAUAGAACCUUCCCAAUCCAUUUUUAUCUCAAAUUCUAGUUUCUGUGUUCUUCUUGCAUCCUUGGCAACAAGAUCAACACCGCUCUGAAAAUUGUAAUGGCACUCACUUUUAUUUCCUCACUCGCUAUUCACUCCUUAACCUCAUGUUCUUCGAAUUCAAAGACUCCUCCAAUUCGUCUGCAAGCCCCCUCCAGACCCUUUUCCAUGGUAUGCCAUAUAGACCCUAACAGACACAAUGUUAAAGGUAAUUACUUGUAUGGUUCUGUAACCAAUUCAAGUACAAGUAAUAGAAUUUAAGUUGUUACUGUUAUAGUUGUAUAUAGUAGCUUAUUGAGUUUCCUUGAAAAGGAAGAUGGUUCCCACAAGCAAUGCCUCACCAUUAGUCAAGGGUCCAAGUGUUGGAAAAACAUUGUUUCAGUCGCAUUGGCAACUGCUGCGGUUAUUAGUUUCAGCUCUGGCAUGCCCGCCAUUGCAGACCUUAAUAAGUUCGAAGCUGAAACACCUGGUGAAUUUGGGAUAGGAUCAGCUGCCCAAUUUGGUUCUGCAGACCUCAGGUCACUUCUUUGUUUUCCUUUUCUUUCUCUUUUCCAAGAUUUGUAUUGUAAGAUUUUCUGUGUUGUAUGCAAAAGGUUUAAAAUUCUAUUCCAAUCUUGAUGUACAGGAAAGCAGUGCACGUGAAUGAAAAUUUCAGGUAAUUUUCGCAUUUGAGUUCUGAAUUUAGACCAAUGUUAAUAGCAAACAGAUGAGGAGAAACUUGACUGAUAUCAGUAUGUGCAUUUUAAUUGGUACCUAUGGCUGCUAUUUGUAUUCAGUACUUCUGUUUCUUUUGCUGUUUGUUUGACUUCAGUCUUACUGAGCUUUACUACUUCUGGAACUUGUUUCAAUAUAUUGUGUACUCCGGCAUUUAUAAUCAAACUAAUCGACUGAUACAGGAGGGCCAAUUUCACAUCUGCUGAUAUGAGGGAAUCUGAUUUCAGUGGUUCAACAUUCAAUGGUGCAUACCUUGAGAAAGCUGUAGCAUAUAAGGCUAAUUUUGCUGGUAAGGUUGUUGUCAUUGAACAAUUUACUAUGUAAAUGUAAAUGGAAACCGAAAUAUGAAACAAGUGAAAGGUAGUAGAAGUAGAGAAAAAACCUUCCUUAAGAACUGAUUGUAGGAGUAAAUGUUGCCCGACGUUCAGUUCUAAAAUCUGUGAUGUAUUAGUUGGGAGCAUUCUCGACUUCUCAUAUGAACUUGUUUGCCACUUGCCAUUGGAACUCUGUUCAAACUUAAAUUAUGGCCUGCUUCCAUUUCAUUUCAAAGCUAUUCAAGGAUCAAAAUGGCUCCAAUCUGGAAUACUGGCUGCAUUCGGGAAACUUCAUUUCCUUAGCGAAGUUAGACUCAUUAGAGAAAAUGAGAAACAUAGAAAGGACUAGUAAGAAGAACUAGCAGUAACUUAUCAUGCUAUUACUCAUCUUACAGAAGAAAAAAGGACAUCAUUUACUCAUAUAUUAGUCCCUUAAAUUGCCUAAAAUUCAGAUAUAUUUCUCAUUUCCGAUAUAACACCGCCCAUGUCAAAAAUAGUUUGUUUGCACUACAUUUUGUUUUUAAAGAUAUAGAUCAGUCAGCAGUGUAAUGUUAGGGGAGUUACUAUGCUUUUACCAAAGGAAAACUGGAUUUGUUUCUAUUCUAAAUUUGAGUCAGAGGAUUAGCCAAUACAUUUUCAUUGGUCUUCAUAAUUCUACUUUACUUGCACUUAUUUGGUAUUACUUUGUUACAUCGAUCAAACUUCAAAGUUUAUUUAACCUAUAUACUGAAUCUUUUCUUAUCCAUUAUCCAUGAUCAAUAUCUUUGAUUAGGAUUCAUGUUGCUUAUUGUACCAAUAUAUACAAUCUUUUAUAACUUUAUACUUACUAAUUUUCAUAAAACUCUUAGAUUGUUAAUUUUUUUAUAACAUUUUACAGGUGCUGAUUUGAGCGACACAUUGAUGGAUCGUAUGGUAUAACUUGAAUAGCAUAGCACAAACUCCUCAACUAUUUGUUUCUGGCAUUGCUUUAGGCAUAGUUACAUUUACACUAAAGGAGUUUGUUGAGACACUGGCUUGUUUCAUUCCAUUACUCAAUGAUUAAAAUGAUCACAGGUCCUUAAUGAAGCUAAUCUCAAGGAUGCUGUGCUUGUUAGAUCGGUUCUCACUCGAAGUGAUCUUGGUGGUGCCUUAAUUGAAGGUGCUGAUUUCAGUGAUGCUGUCUUGGACCUCUCCCAGAAGCAGGUGCUGUUUAUUGCUUGUGUUUGUUGCAGAAAUAUGUUUCCUUCAAAAUCAGAUCCUAGCCUUUCUUUAUUUCCACUAAACUCUUCGGUUUACUCUUAAUCAUAUAGGCUCUAUGCAAGUAUGCAAGUGGCACUAACCCAACUACAGGGGUGAGCACAAGAACAAGCCUAGGUUGUGGGAACAGUAGACGAAAUGCUUAUGGCUCUCCCUCAUCCCCUUUGUUAAGUGCACCACCUCAGAAACUACUUAAUCGGGAUGGAAUCUGUGAUCAAGAAACUGGUCUUUGUGAUGUAAAAUGAUUCCAAUGCUAAGCAUGGUAAUUAGUUUUACCCACAUUGAAUUGAUCACAUACCACAUCCAGGUAUAUGUAUGCAGGAGAAAAGAUACUGCAGAUUGAACAAAAGCACAUGUACAUCCUUGAGGCGUCAGGAAGCCAUAUAUAUGAAACAUGUACAUUUGAAAGUUGAAACAGCAGGCAGCAAUUUUUUAUCAUCAAUCUCUGAAAGUAUUUUGGACAUAUUCUGAGGAGAAAUAGUUUCUUGACUUUCCUUCAUAAUCAUCCAAGUCUCAGACCAAAAAUAUCAUCAUCCAAGGAUGACAAGAAUCCGGGAAAUUAGCACAAGAACCACUUUUGACAUUUAAAGGCAAUUGUUAUGUUACAUCGUUUGCUGUGAUCCGCUAUGAGUCUAUAAGAACAAAGUUUGACAAAACAGACCGCAAGUAGUCACUGUGCAGUUAACACCACUAGGGCGUUCGAGUGAAACCCGGAAACUCAGUAUGACUUCGCGAAAAUGGCAACUUCCUCAGCAGGAUUGCCAGUCAUCAAACAUGUUUUAAUCCCAUGCGGCUGGUCAAAAGGAAAACACCUUAUGGUUGCCCCUGUUUCUUCUUUCACCUUCAACUCAUCUUUGUCACUGUACCAAUAAGGAUAUAUUUAGAGCUUGAUGUUAGCAUCAGACGAGCAAUUACAUUAGUAUACAUUAUGCAAUUCAUACUAUCGAAUCAACAAAGACAUCAUCAAAUGAUGAAGUUUAGACCCAAACCUAGCUGACCAAGGACCUCUUGCCCAUUUUCCCUGGGAGAUCGCAACUUUGAGUUCAUCAUAUGAGCUCACAUCCACAAUAUUGCUGCAAUAAAAACAUUCUUAUUGUUAAUGCCCCCACAACUUUUCUUAUGAAGUGUGACAAGUGAAAGAAUGGACAUCUCAUCAUAGUGAAUAGACAAGGCAUAAACCCUCGCUUUCUAGAAUCACUGGUAGUAAAUUCAUUGCAUACAUAUUGGACUAUAACCAUAACCUAGUUUGAAACAGCAAAUAUGUCUAAUUUUUAUCUUCAGGAAAUUCAUUGAGCACUAUUAAUUCUUUUUACUAGUAACAAUCGAUGAAAUCCAAUGGAUGAUAAUCAAUCUUGAGGGUUAAGACAAUACAGAGUAUUAGAGUAUCAAAUUAGAGCCAGAAAUUGCACCUAUCACGAAAUGAUUUUGCUUGUCCCAAAAGAGAUGACUGGAUCUCAUCCAACUUGUCCUUGAUAUAAGCCUCCAAAAUCAAAGGCUCCAUGGAUAUUCCAAAAACCUUCCCUUGCUUUCCAGGAACAUCUCUUCUACAUACAACCACACUCUGGCUUGAUACGUCACGAGGACCGAUUUCAAUCCUUAAAGGGACUCCCUACAAAUCAAUCAGCUAUUGAGGUGAUUGAAAACAAGAGAAUCUUUUCGUAGCAAAGUGUAAAUUGAAUCUCCAAGAGUAGCAUGCCAAAGAUACCAAUUUCUAUUUAGCAUGCCAAUGAAGAAGACAAACCUUCAUCUCCCAGAAAUUGAAUUUCCAUCCUGGUGUUCUUUGAUCAGUGUCAUCAAGUUUAACUUUAAUCCCCGCAGUGUGCAGUGCAUCCUUUACAGAUGAUGCAGCAUUGAGAACUGCUGCUUUAUCAUCUUCCUUCUUCCAAAUGGGAACGAUCACCACCUAAGAAACCAAUGUAUUCUUUUAAUAGAGAACAGAGAAGGAAUGUGUGCACUUACAAUUAGGCUCAUGCAGCAAAUAAUACAAGCACAAUCAUAUUGAACUUACAAUUAGGCUCAUACAGCAAAUCAUACAAGCACAAUCAUAUUGAACUUAAAGCAUAACAUGGCACCCUUUAUUAUGAGACCAAGGAAAACUAAUAAAUGAUCAAGUGAAGUAGGAGAAUUAUUAACCCAACUACAACAAGGCAUACUUUCUGUUUAAAAUAUUUCUUAGCUAAAUAAUGGGAGUAUAACCAUGCAAAAUCUAGAAAUGCAUCCUACACAAUAGGGAAAGGGAAUUUAUGCCAGACAUAAGGGGUAGUCCAUUUUAUUGGUAUGCUUCUGUUAUACAUUAGGGACAUGCCUUGGAAUAUAAUGAUUUAAAAUCUCCAAAUUUAGUCUUUACCUGUAUUGGAGCAAUCUUUGGGGGAAGCAUUAAACCAGUGUCGUCUCCAUGGGUCAUUAUAAUGCCACCAACAAAACGGGUACUCACAGCCCAGGAAGUCUGCCAUACAUGUUGCCUCUGUCCACUUUCAUCAGUAAACUGUACAAAGCACAUAUCUUGGUCAGUCUAGCUGAUGGCUUAUACACUUUUUUUUUUUGAUGGCUUAUACACAUUAAGAAGCCUGCAAUAGUAUAUCAAAGUACCAGUGUUCCAAAGGCACGAGAGAAGUUCUGCCCAAGAUUGUGGCUGGUUCCAGCCUGCAGUGCCUUCCGAUCACCCAUCAUAGCCUCUAUUGUGUAGGUCCUAACAGCACCAGCAAAUGUUUCCACUUUUGAUUUUCGACCUGCAAUGACAGGUAUUGCAGCUUCCUCAUAAGCAAAUUUUGUAUAUACGUCAAUCAUCUGUAUAGCCUGCAGUUUAGUAGCACACUGAAUGCAUUAGACAAGAACGACACUCAUUUAACCACUGAUUAAAGGAAAGUAGUUAAAUCAAAUAAACCUCUUUCUCUGCCUCCUCUGGAGUGGCGUGAGCAGUAUGGCCUUCCUGCCAGAGAAACUCAAGCGUCCUCACAAAAGGUUUCGUCCGCAUCUCCCAUCUUGUGACAUUUGCCCACUGAAUCAAAUUAGACACGAUAGAGAACAAAGCUUAAAGCGAAACUCCUCCACAUAAAGUUGACGCACGGCAAACAAUGCAACAAAGCAUCAUACCUGGUUCACCAUAAGCGGAAGAUCACGGUAACUAUGAAUCCACUGAGUGAACAUGUGAUUCACUAUGGUUUCACUUGUGGGUCGAACCUGCCAGAGCCCUCAAGAAGUGCAAUAUCUUAGGUCAUAGUGAAUAACACCUUCAACACUGGAACACAAAAGACUCAACAACCGAAAACACAUUACGUACCACAAGCUUUUCUUCAAGCUCCUUCCCUCCUCCAAUAGUCACAAGAGCUAAUUCAGGACUAAAACCUUCAACGUGACUAGCCUCUUUCUCUAUAAACGAGUAGGGUAUAAGCUGCACAUUUCGCCAUUUCAAGAAUCACACAUCGGCAAUCAUAAACUUUCACAUUUUUAACUGAUUAGUAAUUACCUGUGGGAAAUACAUGUUACUGUGACCGGUCUCUUUGAACUUGACAUUCAGAUAAUCCUACAAGAAGAGUAAAAUUACAAUCAAAACCCUAGAAUUGAACUUGAAAUCGAGUCACUAGUGAGUACCUGAAUGGCUUCCCAGAUAGCAUAGCCGUAGGGACGAAUCACCAUGGUUCCGCGAACGGGACCGUAAUCUGCAAGCUCCGCAUUCGCAAUGACGUCGAGGUACCAAGCGUUGAAGUCCUGUGAGCGAGGAGUGACGCCGCCUUCCUGGACUUUUUCAGUCGCCGGCACCGUGCUCUGAGCUGAGAAUCUGGCGGUGAAAGAAGGAGUUCGGAGGUGGUGACGACGGCGGAGAACCGAGGGGUAACGGCGGGAGAUGGAGGGGGAGAAGAGCGAGCUCAGAGAUGGGAGUCUCAGAGAGACGGCCAUGUUUGCUUGUUGAUAGCUCGUCUCGCUAUUUUCCUUUUCCUUUUUUUCUUGGCGUUUUAAAUGGUGGACCCCAGAGCCCGUUAAGGCCCGCGCCAAUCUGACCGCCUAGCCCUAGCACGUGUCUUCCUAGCCCUAGCCUGCUUAGUUAAAAAUAGGCCCAACUUGUUUCAGACCCAACCCACCAUUUGCCUUUUUAAAUGGUGGACCCCGCGCCAACCUGACCGCCUAGCCCUAGCACGUGUCCGUCCAGGUCGCAUGAAUUAUUAUUAUUAUUAUUUUUUUUUCUCUUAAAAUCUGGAAUUGGAAUUCAUGAGCCUUGGCUACCUUGCCGACUUGAAGACGUACUCUCCGUCUCCUCCGAGUAAUUGGACGGCGGAUCCCCUGAAACUUAACAUCCAUCGUCAUCUGUCUAAACUUAAACCUAACAUGUAUGUGUGGAAUGCCUGAAUUGAAGUUUCUGAGUCGGAAGGUUAUUGUUAGAGUCAUCGAUUGCAGGUUUGGUAUUACUUCUGUAUAUUAAUUGAUUCAUUGCUUGUUUAGUCUUGUUUAGUUUCGGAGUAGAUUGUUAGGGAUUGGGUUAAAAAGGUUGAGUAUUAUAUUAUAUCCGCAUAUCCAUUGCAGAUCCGAGCUCUAGUGAAGUUGCUCAAGUUACAGAGCUCUUGCCUCAGCAAAGAAAAUUUUUCAAACUUGCAGCAGACAAUGACAGCAACCUAUCCAGAGAUUGAGCAUGGGAUUCACCAUAAGCUUUAUCCUUUAUCAAAGCAUCACAAGCCAUGCAUCUUCAAGUUCUAAGUUCCAUAUCGUUAAAGAGGAGGGGUACGCUUACAGAGGCACCUGAAGAUGAUUUAAUUUCAUAUAAAAGAAACUUUGAUAAAGAGUACGUUGACGUCGUUGUUAUGGACAUCUCCUCGAGAAAUUGAUCGGCCGAGAGGGUGUUGCAAUAAAGUAGCGUAGUGCCUAUAUAUGAAAGCUAGCUAUAGAAAGAUCGGUGGAUAAUUCCUAACGAACGUACGUACGUAUCUAGCUUCGUAUUCCAGGCCGGUCAAGUUUGAAAACCAAUAUAUCUGCUAAAUAAGAACCGAUUGAUUAGUUGCUUGGACUUUACUUUUCUUUUACUUAAAGUGGAGAAGCAUCCAUCCGGGAAAUUCCCACCAAAAGAAGAAGGGUAUAGGUGGUGAAACAUUCAUCAUGGAUCAAGUCGUCUCCUUCGUUGGUUUGCUUCCUGGUUCUGUAACAACUACCAAACCAUUACGUAAAACCAAUCAGGGAAUGUGCCCUCCUCCCCUGUCAGCUCUCAUCCUCUUCCUCCAUGUGUGUCGCACACCAUCCUUCUCAUGAGUAAUUGAACUCUUUUGUUCUUUCCAAUGCUGUAGAGGUAAACUUCACUCAUACAGUCAUACUAGCUAGCCGGCCAGUACGUAUUUCUACCAUCCUAUCGAUCAUACCCAAAUAAUUCACUGUGCAUCUUUUUGUUAUAUGAUUGCUGCACAAACGUAUUAACUGUCCAUAUAUACGUGUAGCUAUACCAUCUCAAUUAUCCGUGAUGAUCAGAUUUAUACAUAUGUCGACGACGUCGGUCAUUCUAGUACAGUAUACAGUAUACAGACACACAAGGUCAGAUAUAUGGUUACCAAAAACUACUCACAUCAUAAGUGCAUCAGACGUAAUGAGGGCAGGAGACUACAAUAUAAUCAUCCUCGUAUUUGAUUUCAUAUGUUUGUCAAAUUCUCAUCAUCAUCACUCAUUAUAAUAGAUUUAUACGGUUUAUAGUAUAUAUUAAUAUAUGAAAGUCAAGAAAGCAGAUAAUUAAUUAAUUGAACAUGUCAGCUAAUUGCCAGCACCGACCGGAAUAAGCUAGAUUAAUGUUUGGUUUAAUUAGAAUUAGGGUCAAGUGAGGACAAAUGAAUAGCACUAGAGGCAAGUCCGGACUCCGGUAAAGGGAGCACGUUAAUGAUGAUGCUUUCACAUGGUAUUGUUUCCUUAUUCAAAUUUGUUGAUCAUGUUCAAUUAUCUUAAUUAAGACCGAAAAUUAUUCUACGCACUAAGGUGCAAGUGAACCGAGCAACUAAUAUGUAAUAUUUUGAUCUGAUCAUCCACGUCAUAUUAUCAUACAUGUAUUAAUUCUAACACUGUUAACAAAAUUGAAACUCAAACAAAUAAUCAUAAGUGUUUCUAACACAGGAAAUGUACUUGAAGUCGAAUAAGAUGUACUCUUAUCGUGAGUAUUUAAUUUGAGCGGAUCAAAAAUGAGGAUGAGAUGAAAGAAUUUAGGGUCUCUAAUACUCUUGAUUGGAUCUUCGCAUGAGGUGAUUUGAGAACUUGCACAUUAAUGGUGCAAAUACACUUUAGUGCGUAGAAUCCAUGUUUUUAAUAAACCUUAACCCUUUUCUGUCAGAAAGAACCGCACUCACUUUCAUAUAUGCUUAUCCUUUCUCGGCUUCUCUUUCUCUUCAAUGAUCGACGAGUUCAUUUCCCAAGCAAGCAUCUAUUGAGUUGAUGAGAGCACGCCCAAUGAUGAUGUCCCUUCAGAAAGCCUCAUUGCUUAAAAGGGAUUCUCAUGCUUGACUUCAACUCAAAUAAGAAGAUGCAGAUGCUCGCUCUUAGGUCAAUUUUCGAUAACGACCGCACUUAAAUUAUUUAGCUACAUGUAUAUAUGUCCCAUACUCGUUAUAAAACUCUCAAACUUGGUUCUGUCGAUAGGUAGUUGAACCCAGCUGCUAGUAUAUUUUCAACUACUUCAAGCGGGUCCAUGAAAUCCAAAUCUGCAAAACUACCUUGUUCCUCUCAAUCUUCAAGCUUCAACCGGUCGUCUUGCUGGGAAACUAAGGCAGGUGAUUCAUAUCUAAAACAAAGCUUUACGUGUUCCAUAUAUAGUUUUCUCAAAGCAUUUGCAUACCCUUAGUUAUAUAUGUCUGAGAGCUGUUGCAUGGCUUUGUGCUUUUUCCCAGCCAGUCCUAUCGAUCUGUAUAUCUGAUUUCCCAUGGUACAAGCUAUUUACAAUACUAUAAAGAAAACCGCAAUUGUGAAGAAAACAAGUUUCAUUGUUGAUUAAUAGUCACCUUCUUGCACAGGUAUGUCAAGUACGAGCUGGAAGUAAUUUCUCAGGAUAUCCAAAUUCUAAAAGUAACCUUAGUACUUACUGCAAAACAAUGAGACAUUUUGUUUUCUUAUCCAUCCGCAGAGGCAUAUUCUAACUGUGCAUGUAGUUUAACUUACACACACAGUAUAUAUAAUUAUGCAUCCUCAAUUCCUCAUCUGUCUUGGAAAGAUUUAAUUUGCAUCCUAAUUAGGAGUUCUCUGCCCAGGACCAUGAAUAACACACACACGAACACACUCCUUAUAAAUCUUCUUGCAAUUGCAUGCAUGUCUAUAUGAUCUCUCUAUACAUCUAACAAUUAUAACUCUUCCAAACUACCACCGGCCAAUGAAGUCACCAAUUCACAGAAAAUUUUGGUGUUUCUUCCAAAACACACAGCCUUUCAAUACACGCCUCUGUCAUUUCAGGUAACUGUGGUCUAAUUGAGUACCAUAUAUAUAACUGCUUCAAAAUGAAGUAUUUCAAUCAAAAUUACAGUACUAACGGGUAUAAGACUAUAAUGCAUACAAGUACAUACAAAUCAUUUUUCAGUUAAGAUUAUGUACGUAUUCAACCGCAUAUACGAUCGAUGUCUCAAAUUGGCUGUCAUGUUGUGUGUAAUGUAGUGCAUGCAUGGUUGGGGCAGCUUCUUUCCUUUUCUCAGACCACUUGUCGUACGUGUCAAAGUUUAACUAUGAAGUUCCAUGCAACCCCAAGAAUGGAAACAAUGGCUCUAACAACAUUAUAGUACAUAUGAGAUAUAGUUUCAGAUCCUAAAAGAGCUGAUAAUUUGAAAACCGGCUUUCUCUUAUGAACUUGUGUCAUUGAUUUCUCGUUCAUUUGUGCAAACUAAUUAAUUGCAGCUCCCACAUGGAUGCAAAAAUAGGAUUUUGCCAAUUUUAAACAUGCCGCAAACAACUAAUUAAUUAAUCCAGGCCAGUCUUCUUAGAACUGCAUGUACUCCUCAAUUGACAACUGAUCAGGUAUACUGUAUCAUACAUCAUCAUGCCCUUUCACAAUCGCAACUAAUAGAAUUCAUAUAUAUAUAGAUAUAGGAUUUGCAAUAAAACUUCAUAUGCAGACGCACAUCAUAAACACUUUUUGGUUUUUUAAUUUCUUUCCAAAACACUUCAUCAACCUUAACGAUGUAAAAUAAAGCAAAUUCCAUAGUAUUUCCCAGAUAAUCCAACCACGAACAUACAUAGUCCUCGAUCCUGAUCGACUAUGUUAUUUUGAUAUUAAGCAUAUCAAUUUGUACUCUAACAAUACGCUGCUUUAGCUUAUAUUAUAUAUGUAUUGAUGAUUAAUAAAAAAGGGCACAAAAGGCGAAUAGGUAAUAUAGUAAUACCAUUCUGUUUACCCUAUACAGCAACUCAAUAUAUUUCCUUUGAAGUACUGUACCGGCUCCUAUGAUUGUAAUAGGUAAUUAGUAUCUUGUAUGGACUACUUACUGUAGUAAUAUAUAUGUUUUUACGCUUAGUUUCAUUUCCAAAGAUCAAUUUGGCAACUUGAGGUGGAUGUUGAGGCGGCAUAGUCCUGUGCAAUAAUAUUUUCCGGCCUCUUGGAUUCGUUGGCUCCCAUACUCGUAUGCACUUCAUCACCCACGGGAUCAAAUACUGCUUCAUUCGAGUAAUUUGCUGUUGUUUCCUUUGAAGCUUCUUGCUGGUCAUGGCUGAGCUGUGAUGCAACAAAUUUGUCAAGAACUCGCCAAUCUGUAAGUUGAUCAUCAAGACUGUUGUCAUUAUAAAGUAGUGGUGAGGAGUUGAUCAUGAGAUUAUGUUGGUUCAUCUGCUGCACUUGCUCCUCAGGCCUGAACGUGGAAGAUGGCAUGACAUGACAUCCAUUGUUCCUAAGAUGAUGAUCAUAAGUGCCAUAUUGAGCAACCUUGGGGCUUUCUAAUUGAGGGAGCUGGAGAAAAGAAUCAGGAUGAGGAGGCACAGGAAUAGCGUUGUACUGCAAAUGAUGAUCAAGUUCUUGUUUGCAGUUGGAAUAAAGCUGUUGAUGAUAUGAUGAUGAUGAUGAUGUUGUUGUAUAAGCAGGGUUUGGAAACAUAUUUGUCCUUGGAGAAUCAAGUUCGGGCAUGAAUGAGGAGCUUUGGUCAUACCAACAUGGUGACUCGUAAUCACCCAUUCUCCUUACUGUUGCCAAUCGUUUCUUGAACACCCUACAGACAACCCAUCCUUCUUCCUGUAUUUAUAUAUAGACCGGUUAGGAGUUAAUUAAUUAACACCAACAUUUCACUGAUACAAUUAACUUUUCACUUUUGGUCUGAACAAAGAGAAAUAACUUUAGCUAGGUAACAAAACUUACAAAACAUAUACCUAUCUUGCACCCAAAAAACAACAAAUUACAUAGAUGUUAUGGUGUCAGGUGGUAUUUGGUGUUCUAUGUUGUCAAACUGUCAAUAAUCCAAAUUGAUAGUUUGUUAAGCUUAACAUCAAGUAAGAUGCAAUGCACAAAAAGUGUUACUUCUUUUUUUGGUCGAAAACAAAAAGGGUUUUACUUCCAAAUGUAAAAGACUGACUAGUCUCUGAAGAAGGCGUAAACCUCGAGAAUAUUUUGAUAACUUCAGACAUCGAUUCCAUGACCUAGGUUUUCUGUUAUGCGUAUGUAAAUUGCAUUCUAACAAAUGGCUCAAAACCGCUUGAGUCUUCAAAGUAAAUGUGUUAAGUCAAGUAGACCUAAUAUCUUGUAUGCUGAUCGAGAAGUAUUCCACAAGGCCGCUAUAUCUGGCAUGUAUCUUAUAUUAUGAUGAACUCAAUGCGGUUCAUAUAAUUAUCAAUGUGAAUAAAAACUUAAAAUGGCAUGAGAGUGGAGGGUUCAAUCACGCUAUGUAUAUCCCUAUUUUAGAAAUUUGGUCAAUUUAACAGAGAAUUUACAGCUGAAAAGCUAGAGCCUGAAGAAAUUGUUAUAGACUGAGAAGAUUGAGUUGUAAAAAACUUGCCUGAGGAGGUCCAUUUUCAUUAGUUUCAAGUCGAUACUCAUGCAUGAUCCAAUCUGACUUCUGUCCAUUUGGAGCACGUCCUUUGUAAAACACCAGAGUCUUUCUCAUGCCAACUAGGUUGUGCCUGAUGUAAAUAGCUUUAUCUCUUCCGGUAGCUUUCCAAAACCCAGCUUUGGUUGCCCUAUUUGUGCGAGUUCCGGUUGGGUACUUUUUAUCUUUGUGACUGAAAAAGUACCACUCAUUCUGAUCUUCACUACCUAUUUUGCACAAUUCUGUCCAAUUGGACAACAACUGUCAGCGCGCACUCGGAAGAUAUUAAUCAAAGUCUUUUUACUCAAUUUAAUUAUUUACUUGAUCAACAAGUUUCAUGAAUUCCUACCUUGAAGAUCCCAUGGCUCAAUCUUAUAAAGAUCAACAUCUCUGAUGACAUCAAGGUCGAUCUUCUUUGAAGCAAUCUUCUUUCUGAGAUAAUAAUCAACAAGUUCUUCAUCUGUCGGGUGGAAUCUAAAGCCCGGGGGUACAUGUGAAAAGGUAUUCAUGUUCUUCAAACCUGCACAUAUAUAAAGCCAAUAAAUAACUAACAACAAUAUGUUUAUAUGCAAUUCAUAUAUGUAUGCAUAAAUUAUUUGCAACCAACGCCUCCUAAGAGUGGUAAGGGACAUGAGAACAGGAUGGAGAUUGUGAGGAUAAACAUGCAUGUAUCGCCGCCUGGUGUUUACAAUUGUGCAAAGUUUGUAUUGUCAGACCGAUGGGUGAGAGAAGAAUAGGAAGCAUGAAAAUCACAACUACGUACUGCAGUCGACAAUACAACAGUCAAGAACAAAUAAUUCGAUACCUUGUGUGUGAACCAAUAGGAAAUUGUUCGAUUAUUGAUACUGGAAACUUAUGUCAAAAGUAAUGGAGCAGCUAUUACAGUUUAUAGUCCAUGAAUUUGUGAGGAGAAACCCUAUAGGCAUGAAGAAAUCUAAAAGAUAUAGGAAUCGAAAUGUAAAUCAUGAAAGUUACCAAAAUUGAAAAAGAAUGAUUUGAUCAAGGGCAUAAAAUUUAUUUUCUUAUAUAUACCUCUUGCCAGAUUUCCUUAGAUUUUUUUACUAGAUUUUAUUACAAAGGAAAACUGAACGGAUAUACCGUCUAUAUGGAAUAAUUAAUGCAUAUAUUAUUGGAGAUUAUGAGCACCAUUAAGGAGAAAACUUACUUAAAUUGAAGAAAUGUCUAGAAUUCAAUAAAUUCAAGAACCUAUAUAUCAUGUCAUUGAGUCGAAAGGGAACCAUAAUUAAACAUGCCAAGGCACAAAAUUUCUAAAUUAGGACCUUCUUAUUACCGUUCUAAGGAAAAUUAAGGUUACCUGCUUACCUUAUUAUUUGAAUCCUGAUUCAUAAAUAAGAUGAAUAGCUGUACAGUACGGAUGAUGUUAUGAAUUGAUGAAUGUACUCACGUAUGUAUGCAAACUUAAUUAUAAUUUAACAUCUUAUGAAAGAAAACAUACAUGUUGAUAUAUUCGUAGUCAUUCAAAUUAACCUGGAUAAAUAAAAUUUUCACAGACUUCACAUAUAUUAAUGUGACCAUAAGAAAACCAGGCAUCUUAUUUUCAUUUGCUCAUAGCUAGCUAGUACUCAAGAUCGAACAAUAAAAAAAAACAAUGCAGCAAGUUACUACAUGACAAAAACAAAAUGAUUAUAUAUGCUUGUAUAGCAAGCUAGGACUCAUCUAAAUAAUUUUGCUUUAAUUUUUUAUUUUUGUAACUAUAGUAUGACAAUAUUAUUAUUCACUUGUUGGAGAUAAAGGACUAGUAUAGCUAUCAAGAUCCAUGUGUGUAAAAAAGAUAUGGUAUGGCGAGUGUAGUGCUAAAUUGUUGAAUCGAAAUUUCAUGAAAACCUACCCCAUCAAGUUGAGGAAAAGGAGAUUUUUUUUUUUUUUUUUAAUCACUUGGGUACCAAAAUUGAAAGACAAUAAAUCCAUGGAAGAUCAAUUUUCAUCCAAAGAACAAAAUGCAGACGAAGAAAUAAUUAUAAAAACAACCGUGCGUGGUUUACAUGAAAUCAUUAAAAGGAACACUAUCUCCUAACAAGAAGGCCCUAGCUUCAACAAAUUUGCAUUCAGUUAGCUAAGUGAUCAAUCCAUUUCCUGUGAGGCCACAGUACAGAUCGAGACGAACAAAAAGAAAAUAAAGCAAACCAAAUAGAGAACAAAAGAAGAGGAAGAAGACCUUUAUGAUAAGUAAUGAUAAUGAAGAAGACGAAGAAGAAGAGGAAGAUCGAGGAAGAAGAAGAAGCAGAGAUUAGAGAUGAUAACAACCUUGGCUAAAUUUGCUGCAGUACAGAUCUGAUUGAACCAGAACCUCGUAUCCACCGAUCAGCUUAGAGAUAUAAGAUCGAGACAAGAAGGAGCUAGGUGCUGAGCUUUAGACACUCACACUUUUUUGCUGUAAAAUCCUACUGAUCGAGCAAUUGAGCAGACAAAAGAAGAAGCACAGAAAGAAAGAGAGAAACAGAAACAAACAAGCAGACAACAGAAGACCUCGGGACUUGAGCUGAUCUCUCCUCCUCAACCGAUGAACUUUGUGUUUUAAGAACUGUCUUGUCGCAAUAUAGAGAUAGAGAUCAGAUCCCGAGGAUUGGAAAAGAAGGAAAGGAAAGUGAAUUCGGAAAAGGGAAAAGGAAAGUUAAGAAUGGCAAAAUAGAGAAGAGGUUGAGUUAAAUAACAAGCAAACACAACACAACAGAAGAAAACAAAACACAUGCCCUAAUCAUAAUCCAUCCCUCUCAUAUAUACUGAUCGAUAUUACAUUACAGUUUGUUUCUCUCUCCUUUAUCUUUUCAGCGGGCUUGAUUGCUGCAAAAGCUUCGCUCAUAGAAAAAGGGAGGCGCUCAAAUGGCUCACUGAGAGAGAGAGAGAAGGGAUGUGGAGAGAGAACAAGUGUAUAACCUCCACAGCCACCCACCAGCUACUGAUGGAGACCAGAAGAGAGGGAUCAGCAGCUUCUGAAGGGGGCUUUGUCUCUCUGGGAGCGAAUGAAAAAGAUUGGACGGUGAGAUGGAGAUGAUGAGAUCGGUUUGGGUUCUCUAUCUUAAAUAUCUUAAACGACAAUGAAGGACAAAGGAUUAAAUGUAAUAAAGAGAGUGUGUUAAAGAAACUAAUUGAUGUAUGAUGAUGACGAUUAGGAUUAUAAUAUAGAGCUAGAUUUGUAAUCGAUGGAAAGGAUAUUUUUGGUAGUGGUGAGCUUGACCUCUCUCUCUCUCUCUACCUGAGGUGGAGGGGUGAUGAACAUUCUCCCGCCCAAAAAGUAAUCCCUGCCCUAGCCCCUCGCUUUCAGCUACUCCUUCUGUAGACUACUGUUUCGUUAAUUUGAGAGUUGAGGCUACACCGCGUGAUGUGCACGCCCAGAUUAAUUACAAUAGGACAGAAAUAUGAUUAUCUUGCCACCCCUUCUAGAUGCUAGCUGCAAUUUGAGACUUUGUAAGAAUUUAAGAUUUAAAAUCAGAGAUUUUCCUCUAAAAAGAUGAGAUAUGGUACUUAUGUCGAUCGAUCUAUAUAUGUUGGUUUAGAUUGUUCUAUAAUUUUUGUUAUGGAUUCUAGUUUUAAAUGACAAAUCUUUGAUUAUGAAGUUAGUAAUGUUUAGUCUACACAUAUCGUAUUGAGAAUCUGCUAACCACUUUAAUGUUAAUGGUUUAUAUCAGUUCCUAUUCAUAGCGAAGCUUCGCUCUGAAAUUAAAGUGUGAAGUUUCUUAUUUGACUCACUUUUCGGUCAUAUUUUCACAUCUCCACCGUUCUCUUUAUUAAUACUAAUGCAUAGAUCAUUCAUGCAAAAUUUCAUCGAAUUUGAUGGUCGUUUGGGUGUUCAUAAUCGUGAUAUACACACAUGCAUAGUUCUGGUCAGAUAGGUUUAUGGUCCAUUUAUUUAUUUAACCUAAUUCGGUACCUAGACGAUCAUUAAUUUGAAUGAAAUUUUACAUGAAUGAUCUAUGCAUUAGUAUCAAUAAAGAGAACGGUGGAGAUGUGAAAAUAUAAUUGAAAAGUGAGUCAAAUAAGAAACUUCACCCUUUAAUUUCAUAGCGAAACUUCGCUCUAGAUAUGAACUGUAUAUAUAUAUAUAUAUAUAUAUAUAUAUAUAUAUAUAUAUAUAUAUACCAAAAAAGUAUUGUAAUUAUUUCUUUUAGUUUCUUUUUUUAUAUGAAUUUUCAAUACUAAAAUCCUCAACUGAAAAGUUUGCAAUGUAUAACUUACUCGAGGAUCAAUUGGUUGUUCUAGCAUUAAUUAAUUAUGCAAAACUCCGUUGUCUCUUGAGCGUGUAUCAGAAGAAGCAUGUCAAGGGAGCUACGAUUGUUCAUGUUUGAGUAACCAGUGAAACAUGCAACUUAUAAACAGACUUAAUAACAACAGUAGGGAAGAUUAACGGCAACUCAAAAUCCAAUCUCUAAUCCUCGUAACACACAAUAUUAUCACCCAAAUAACUAACAAACAACACUACCAACGAACCAUUUAGCGUGAUUCAUAAAAUAUACGCUUAUUUAUAUGCUUUUGUUUAAUACAAUUAGAUCUUUUGUGACCAACCAUUACCAACACCUUACUCUAUAGAUCGAGUUGCCCUCCAAACCCUAAACAAAACCAGCUCGAUGGAGCCCGUAACAAGAAAAAAAAGAAUUACAGGAAUUCCAAAAAGUGCACAUAAACAAUGCAAGAACGUCUAGAAAGAUAGAAAACCUUAAAAAACAAAAAUUUGUAUUAUCCUAUUCGACACCAGCAAUUGCACGCGGGCUCUGGUUGGUUGGUCCGCAAUACUCUGUUCUGUAUUUCCCUUCAUGACCUGGACCCCAUUAUGAACCGACCCCUAUACAAAUACGACAGCAACACCUCUCCUCUCCUCUAAUCGGCUCGCUCGGCUCAGCUGAGCCCAUCCGUAAGCCAGGUGCGACAGUGCAACAAUGAAAGACAGGUCGUUGUGCUGCGUGAGUUUCCGUGCCCUCUCUAUGGUGGUGGAGUGUGGGACCCAUUUUUGGGGGGGGGGGGUUGGCGGAACGGAAUGAUGUCCCCGGGACUGGGUUACGUGGCGGCUGAUGGUCCGGCGUGGGCUAGCCCAAGAGAUCAUUAGGCUCACGAUUUUCUGUGCAGGCCGGUUUAUGCUUGUGGGGUCCGUCCCGUUAUCCCGUUAUGAGUCUCAAACUUUGGGGGUCCCACCAGUCUUCCCGGCCACCCUGUUCUUGGCAGGAGAAGCUUACGCUUUGCCGUGUACCCGUUCGUGUCCGUUUUAGAAUGAAGACGCGCGCGGAUUUGCUUACUUACAAGCGAAUUACAAUGGAAAUUUAGUAUUCUUACUAAACCCUAAAGCAUUUGUCAUCUCCGACCUCUUCAGGGUAAUUAAUAUUCUUAUAUAAGGCGAACUCAAAACCAUUCCUCAUAAACAGUAGAUCGUGUUACUAGACUAAAUUUUAUUGAACGAUUAUACUAACUGUUUUGUAUUAAUUUUAGGCAAACCCACCAUCGUUUUUUUCUUCAUUUUUUCCCUAGCCUGUGUAGCGGGCCGGUGCAUUGCCUUUGGGUUUUGGGGUCUUUAGGGUAAAGGAAAUGCGUUAAAUAUGAUAUAAUAGUGGGAUAAGCAUGUUUCGUUGUAACAAGCUACAGUAAAGAAAGAAGUGAAGCUAAAGUCUCAAACGUGAUCCCGGUGUCAUUUAGGACCCAUGGUUACGUGGAGUUGAGUUUGUUUUCAAGUUUAAGAUCCUAUUGGACCAAACGGGUUUUAUUACUAGCUCUUCCAUAUACAUCUUGAUCGAUAAUGAUAAGUUUAUCUAAGCUGAAUCGAGUUAAUGGCACCAAACACCAAUUACCACACGACAAGGUAUUUUGCAUGCACCUGAAAACUCAAUGAUAAACACAGUGAUGCACUUAAUUGUUGAUUUCGAUUGCAAAUGAUCAAUUGAAGCUGGUAUAUUUUAAACACAGAUAAUUAGGGGUUUUAAUUGGUACAACCAAUAUUAAUCCUCAUUGAUCGAUGAUGUGUAAUUGAUAGAAAAGUGACGCCAUUACAAGUGCUCCAAUUGAAUGAAUAAGUUGUUUAGGAACGAUAACAGCCUUAUUUGCCUUCUUCAACAUCCUACCUUUUAAAACGUUUGAACUUUUCUUGUAAGUUUUCCACAAGUUAACGAAGCUGCAGAUACCAUGCAUGCAUGCAUAGAUAGACCGUAUGCGAGGAGCCAAGAGAGAACUUGUUUGUCCAAUUGCUCGUUGGGAUCAACUCACCUGAAUUUGGAUCAAAAGCAUUAGGCAUGAUUCCACAAUAGCACCAUCGCUUUACUAAUUAAGCCACAACCCUAGCAGUCUAGCUCGCCGGCGCAUUAGUGACUUUCAGUUUCAGACAAGUUUGGUCAGUGUACAAUUCCUAGUUAUAGUUAACUACUAGUAGUGGCGGAGUGGUACCAAGACGUCGCAGAAUGUGAAAGGAACCUUAUUAGAAGUUUAAUUGCGUGACAUUAAUUAGUUAAUGAACCAAAACCUUAAUUUCUUUUUGUUGGUUGCGUUCUAGUAUACUUACCAACAUGAUUAGCAAAAGUUUUAGAGAGCAAAUGGGAAGCUGAAAGCCAACAAAUGGUGGGGACUUAGUUGAUGAUUGCUGAUAUAGACUCAUUAUUGUUUCGGUUCCCCACGUUUAACCAGGGAUGGGCAACUCCUCAAAAGCUUCCUAUUAAAAUUAGGAAAACUGAAAAAAAGAAGUUGUAAUCCUCUCAGAGUCUCACUCCGAUCUCAUCCCCAUGAGCAAGUUGUUGUCCUACAAUAUUCUAUCCAGUAUCCACCAUAUAUAUAUGUUCAACUUAAAACUAAAUUCUAGAUAUAUUCCUCUUGGCGAGUUCCUAUACACACGCGCGCGCACACAUAUAUAGUAUCAUCAAUAUACACAAUUAUCAAGUUGGAUGAAAUUUUGCAACAAUUAUCUAUUCAUUAGUAUCAAUAAACUGAACGGUAGAGAUAUGAAAAUAUGUCCGAAAAAUGAGUUAAUUAAGGAACUUCACACGUUAAUUUCAAAGCGAAGUUUCGCUCUGGAUAGGAACCGUGUGUGGAUGUAAGUAAGUAACCAAAUAUUUGAUGAGAAACUCGAUCUUCUGUCAAAAGCUUGGGAUGGAGGGUAUAUAUAUACUCAGACAUAUUACAUGUAUAUAAAGUAGACUGGACCAUGUAUUUCUCAAGUCUCUGUAUGUACCUAAAAAGUAUGGAGUAAAGCUUGCGCAAUAUGAAUACAGGUAGGCCAUACGUACGUUCUGGACAUAAAAAGAACUUAAACUGUAGACAUCGAGAAAGAUAUGACCACUUACCAGAACACUACUCUUCAUCCCCCAGAAAAUUUGGGAGGUCAGGCCAUCAUAUCCACCUGAUCGAGCUGCCGAACCAGAGUGGCAUGGCUACUUCUGAUCCGUCGAACCAGACUGGCUAGCGUUCAGUAAAGACAACACAUAACUCCACUACUGGUAUAAAAUAGCUGACUAGCUAUACUGGUUGGUGAAUAUAAAAUCCUGUCAUGCUUUUUCAAACUUCUAGAACAGUAGUGUACACGUACUUUGUGCUAUAUGUACGCUAAAAGGAUAUAUACGGUGCUUCAUACGACAUAAAUUCAAGUAUACAUGAUGCCAAAUCAUGGUUGAAUGUUGAUAUAUAAAUGUAUAAGUAAUGUGUGCCUAAAAUCAUUAGCAAAAGAAAAUGUAAUGUAAGCCAAAAUAUCGUCCUUAUCGAUCACGUACACUACUCCUUGCAAAAGUAUUUAGGCAGGAGACAUAGCCCCCUAUACAUUCAGCCCAACAAGAACAGAACGGCGCUUACCUUGUUCGAGUAAGUAAGGCACGCCGCAGCAAGACUGUAAAUAAUUUCAACAUCAAUCUCCCCGGUCCUAACACUUUACUUGCGAAGGUACCAAUUCAAACCUUGUUCGUAAUAGUCUACCUCUAACUCAAACAGUCUUAACAUUGUUAUCCUUUUGCUCGGCAGUUCUUGAGAAAAAGGUAAAUGAUUAUGCAGAACCAGAAUUUGAAGCACGAGAGAAAGAAACAGAACAUGAGAGAGAGAGAGAGAGAUCGACGUGUGCGGGUUAGGGUUUGUGAAAUUAGUUUUGUAAGUACAUGCGCAUUAACACAUGGUAGACAAGGAUUCAUUGGCAUGGUAAAAAACUAAUCGUCUGUCACUGUCUCACAAGCAUGCAUGAUUGCAUGAUUAGCUUGCUAGGGAGGAAGAGAUGACCCAGAAAUAUUCAACACAUGCUUCAAACAAUGAAAUGCACGAGAUCGAUGAGCUUCUCAUUUGUCUGUUCGGAAAAGAGAAGACCACUUUCUGAUCGAUCUAACAGCUUCCAGUCACUUCUGGCCUCUUAAAAUGCUUCCAACUUUCCUCAUGAUUCGAUCUCUAACUAGAAUUUCAUUGUGCUAGAAUUUGCAGCUACAUGUUUAUAUGUCUUUCUCGGAGCGACGGAGGGCCGACGACUACAAGUACUCGAGUAAUUCCAGAUGAUAUAUGUUCUUUCAAACAUAAAUCAAUCCAUCCACUAAUUUAAUUAUGAUCUUCUACAUGCAUAAAAUAGCAUCAUUUGAUUUGAAAUUUGACUUCAUAGUUCAUAGGUACGGUCAACUGUUGGGCACAGAAACACAUGCACAUAGUGGGCAUUGCGUACUGUUUUUUUCUGAAAUCUUCAUGGCUAAUUAUUACCAUUUUCGUGUUUUUAGAAAAAGAAAACGAAAUGGUUUUGUGAGGCUGUGGCCGGCUCUUUUUAGGAGUCUUCAUUGUUAGCUAGAAUGAAGAGCGCGCUAGAAAAUUGAAAUAAUGAUGAUGUUAACCGCAGUAGAGAAUAUGAUUGCAUUCUGGUUUAUAUGUCCCCACCAAAAUAAUAAUACCAAUUAUGGCAAUAAUAAUAAGAUUAAGAAAUGAGAACUAACUAAUGCAGGGCAGGUUAAUGGAGUUUGGAAUUAUAUAUUAUCAAGCUUGGAAUUAUUACCAAGUAGAAGCAAUUAGGAAUAGCCUUAUAUAUGUUACUUGCUUCUACUUGGUAUAUCAUACAAUGAACUGGAUUUGAUUAAUUAUCAAGUGAACAGAAGAGUAAUCACUUAGAACAAGAAGCCUUGUUGCAUGAAAUUGCAAUCGAUCUCAUGUUUAUGAAACCCUAUCAUGCACGAUAUAUGCACCCAUUCAAUAGUCUCGAUUUUAUGUAAAACAUGUUUCUAAAGUUGAUUUGACAAAUCAUUAGGGUUUCAGCAGAAAUGUAUAUAUUAGUUCGAUCGAGUCUUGUUCAUCAGGAGUGAAAGAUUUACAAGAUUGGGGUAUGGAAGGUGUGGCAUGCAAAGGAUGACAUUGGUGGCAUGGGGCAACGAAUUGAAACUCUCAGGAGUCAAACAUUUAAUCAUUCUGGUGAUUAUAGACGCAGCUAGGAUCGUUCAUUAAGAAAAGAAAAGACCCAAAGAAUUCAAGCGAAUUGGAUCUAGCUUGUACAACUAAAACCGGUUUUAAUUUCUUGAAAGACAGCAGGUUGCCAUGCCUGUUGCUUUAUCUCAAAGCCCUUGAAGCGCGCUCGUUGUUUACAUAGUUUGGCUCCUGCGAAUGUGAACUGUCCUUCUACAAAAGGGAGAGAGCUUUGAUUCCCAAGGUCAUGUUAGAAAAAGAAUAAUUAGCUAGUUUAGUUUUGUCCCAUAAAGUAGUUAAGGUGGAUGAUGAGGAACCAAUAAGUAAUGGUCUGAGGGAUUAUGUGGGGCUUCAUCAAGAUAAGGGCAUCAAGUAGAAUCCCAAUAUAAGGCGCUUUGCCCUACACUCUGUUCACAUCGAUCUUAAGGAAAAGGGGUAAUUUGCCCUAAACCCGAAAUUAAGGCAUUUCCCAACCUCCAGGCCGGACAGAUCGAGCAACGUCCCACAGUCUUGUAUUUUGGGAGAUAGGCAUGCAUGCUAGAAUUCAAACCCAGAGUCCCGGUUUGGCAUGGUAGAGCUCAAACUGUCAUGGCUAGGUACGUAAAUAAAAAAUGUCUGAUCUAAUUAAGUUCACAGUUUUAAGCAACUCUAUACUGGAUCAUAAUCUGAUGAGUAUGAAGGGAUUGCUCAACGGCUUAACUCCACUCAUUUACACCUGAAAACCAUUCGUAGAUGUUUCUUUCUGUUGAGGUUUGUGUAUCAGUGUAUCCAUUUCAGCCAGUACGCGCGUGAAGACGAUACGAGUUUUUGCAAAUUUUGGUGGCCUCACUACAAUCCUGAAGCCCAUCCAGCCCAUCAUCAAUUUCAAAUAAUUUCAUCCAAAAGUCAAGAGCUAUAGAUAUUGGGCUCGACUAUUUGUUGUAUUGGUCCAAGUCCAACAAUUGCUAAUUACAGGGCCUCUGGCUUUUCAGAAUAAACACAAAAGUGAUCAAAAACUAAUAUCAAAGUUGAACUUUUAUUAGCAAAAUUUGGAUUUUUUUAAUUAUUUGUUGAUUUUUUAUGGCUUGGGUGCCAAUUACUGCAUGUAGAAGCCUAAAAUAUUAUUAAAGUAAUAUGCAUAAAAGGUUAUCAGAUAUUAAGACAAGGUUAUUAGGUAAGACAUGACUAAAGUGAAGUGGAUUAGAGUUUAUCAUGUCUUAUAUAUAUGUUUGGUUAAUACUUUUCUAGUGAUGGACUAAGAUGUUAUAUGCUUUAUAGUUUAUCCUGGCUGGUUGAUCAGAGCAAGAAUAAGAUCAGAUCUUGAGGAUAUAAUUUGUAUAUCCUUUUGUAUUGGCGAAAAAAGGAAAAAGAACAAAAGAGGAAGAAGAAGAAGAAGAAGAAGAAGAAAAAGGAUAUAUACGUUUAUCUCUAUUUGGCAUGGCUUUAAGAUAUGGAUGAUUCAUAUGGUUUGAGUAGUGGAAGAUAUGGGACUUAAUUUGUUCUUAAUCAGUUGACAAGUUGUUCAAUAGAUAGGGUUCCGGGUUUUGGGAUUGCACAUCAAUUAGCACGUUUGCGAAAUACUAUUCUUAAGAGCCAGCUAGUAAUUCUUAUGUGUGUAUAUAAUGCUCCUGUUCUAUGACAUGCAGUUUUAAUUAACUUUGGUUAACAAAAAGAGAAAAUAUGGGUUUAAAAAGCUAAACAUGUUUAAACUGAAGAAAUGUUCGUAACUGAAUUAUGGGGACCGAAAUCCUCACUCUUCUUUGUCACACUGGAUUUUAAUGCAGCAUAUCUGUAAUUUAUUAAAGAUUCUUCUUUCACAUAAUCUUGUAGAUCGAUCAUUGUCCCCAAAAAGAAGUACCACGUAUCAAAUAAAAUUGUCUUUCUCCAAAUUUAUAGGUUCAACCUCAAACCCAAAAUCCAAAGCAGUUGCUGGCAUGACGCACAUACGUACUGUUCAGCUACAACAAUACCACUGGCAUUCUUAAUACCUAUAAAUUUGUCUUAACUGAGUACAUAGUAUUGGACUUCAAAAAUCUGAUCAAAUUGAAUUGGUAUAGAGCAAUCACACAUCAGUUUUUAUUAUUUGUUUUCUUCUAUAUAGGAGCAAAAUAUCAGUUACUAAAGCAGCAGAUUCGAAAAGUGUAGUUGCAAUAUCGAUGAAGAUGCUCAGUGUUUGCUGGUGUAAGAUAGUAAGCUGUGUUUAGAUAAUCAUGUCUGUUAAGAUUUAAUCUUGUAGCACCGAAGCACAUAAUUAACUAAUGCUUAAUUAACAUUUACCAACUUAGCUCAUACAGUACGUCUUAGUAGCUAGAGAGCAAAGAAGAAACUUAUCCAGUAGCUAACUAGUAAAUUUAGUCUUGAAACCAUUUCAGGAGUAAAAACCAAAAAAGAUGAGCUAAUAAAAAAUUGUCUAUAUUUUGAUUCAGAAAUAGCAAUAGUUAUAAGAAAACAAAAUGAUCUGCUCCAUUGCUGGGAACUCUUCCCCUUAAUUUCUCAACGACGUCUUGUUUGUUGUUAUCUUUCCCAGACAAAAUUAAAAAAAAUGAAAGCAUGCAUGUUGCCGUCGACAAUUUCGUACUCCAUACGUGCAGCAAGUAUUUCAUUAUUUUCAUACAUAGCUGGAGUGGAGUACAAAGUACGAUAUAUAUGUAGGCAGAUUAAUUGACUUAAUUAUACAAACUACAAACAACUAUUUUAUAUAAUGUCACCCAAAUGAUGAUAUUUGUAGCUUUCAUUGUGUACUAAUCGUACAGUUGGAAUUCGUAAUAUGUUAUAUGUAUACUAUUAACUAGGGUUAACAACUAGUAAGCAUGGAAUAUAAAAUCUAAAAGGAUCAAAAGGAACAACACACUUCUUGCUAAUUUUAUAGCUUACAUGCAAUUAGAACAGUCCAGCUCAUAACAUUCAGAUUCUUUGUCUUUUGAUCUAACACACAUAUAUACAUAUAUUGCCAUUUUGUUCUUUCAUAUAUGUACAAACAUUGUUUGCAUUCAUAUGCCUUUCCCAAUAAUAAUUUAGAACAUGUUUACUGUUUUACACUGUAUAUUAUAGCAUGCACCAGAUUAAUUACUAUAUACAGAUCACGAACAUCAGUAAUACAUAGAUCGAGGUGAACUAUUUUCAGGAGCAAAAAGAGCUCGAAAGGCAAAACGUAAGUGCAGCCUAUCAAUCCAAACAAGGAAAACAUUUGUCAUUACAAAUUCUAUUCUGAAUUGAAGGACCACAGAUAUAUAUGUGGCCGGCUAAUCUCAUAUUGUUCAAGCUCUGAUGAAAUGCUUUUCGUCUUCAAAUACCAAACACAAGAAAAACAAGUCGUUCCAAAAGAAAAAAAAACAACAAGUGAUCACAACUUGGUUUUAGGUUUCCUCUGCUGAUCGAUUAAGAACGUACGUAUACCAUUUUGUAAGAAUGAUCUGGAUUAAGGUCUUUCAUUUUAGAAAAGAAAUUGUUUGAUCCAAAAACAGAAUAAUCAACAUAAUGUCUACCAAUGAAAUGUAAGUGGGAGUAGGAAUCUUGAACAAAUAUAAAGAGAAAUAUGAUCGAUCGAGGUCAGUGUCCGAGACAGAGACUCCAAAUUUAAUUUAGCUUCAAGAAAAAUCUUACAAAAAUUAUUGUAUGCUACUAUUUCUAAAUACCAACUAUGAUUAAUACAAUAGCCCCAUCAGAAUGCGAUUUAGCACUACCAAUCUAUGAAAAAGUGUCCAAGUGACCGCUCGAGUUAGAUGAUUGAUCAAACGACUUUUGAAGUUAGGAUUUAGACAUUUCAUAGAGCUUUAAUUUGUGCCAAUCCUUUUUUUUAUUUUAAUUACUUUUUCACUAUUCAUGAUAAACGUUGCCCCAUACUAUUAGUCCGAUCAAUAUGUAGUAAAUACGUGAUUGGGAAAUGAUCGUCAAUCACAUGAAAUAGUCUAGAGUAACGUUAGGUGAAACAUCUUUUAAGGUAUCACUUGCAUCACAUCUUAUGUGAUAGUCGAUAUGACAGAAUUUUGUUAAUUGAUUUGUUUGCGCCUCAUCAGCUAACAAAUUAGAAAGUGAAAAUUGGUUAAUUACUUGAUUUGAUUGCUAAAUAAAAAACAUGUGUCACGUUAUAUGUUUUGCUCAUUUGCUAAAGAUAUGAGAAAAUUUGGGCAAACAUUUGCAAAAAUGAUUUCUAAAAUGCCUUUAGAAAAAAAAAAAAAAAAGAAGAUAAGAGAGAGCUAGUGUGAGUAGCGUUUGCUUCACUCAAACAAACAAUGAUCGAUGUUUUGAUUAAUCAAGAUAAGAAUAUUAAUUAAUUAGUACAAAAAAAGAGUCCCAUUACAUAUCCGUACGUUUCUCAAAGUACCGAUUAAAACCAAUUUAAUACAGAAUUACUUCUCUCUCCUACCACUCAGUUUCUCUCUCGUCUCUUGCCCUUUCUGUGCUAUUUAUCACGUAUGUAACUUCAUUUUCUUCCCAUACACUCCAAAAUUCUGUACCUUGUGCCGACCAUUAUUUCAUCAUCAUCAUAUAUACACAGACAACAAAUCUCUGCUGAUUUCCCAAAGGAACCAUAUUCUCAUCUUAUUCCAAGAAUCCCACCACCUCCACCAACGCCACUAUAAACACCUCACUACUAUAAACCACCUCAAAACCAAACACACACUACAAACUCAUAUAGAGCCGAGAGCCCGAGAGAGGGUACUUCAGUACGUUAAGAUCGAGUUGUGUGAUUCUUCAUCGAUCUGGACGCAAACCCCAGGUCAUAGUUAAUUGGCUUCUUUCUAGCUCGAUGAUGAACGCCCACAGAAUGAGAAAGAGCAGAGGUUUCAGGCUGAGAGUACACAAGCUGGUCAAGAUCUUCAAAUGGAUAGUCCAUCGACCCAGAAGAGAGCCGGUCCGGUACCAGAGGCUGCAAUCCACGACGUCCAGAAGUACGUACAACCCCGUUUCCAAAUUCUUGACCUUGGCAAGGUCUCUUCGACGUGGAGCCAAGCAGCUGUGUUUUCCUAAUAACUCGGGUUACAUGCGGGUUGGACAGUCCCCGGAUGAAGCGAAACCGGUGGUUGUUCCGAAGGGACACAUGGCCGUGUACGUGGGGGAGUCCGACGACGACACGCAGAGGUACUUGGUGCCUGUCAUAUACUUCAAUCACCCGCUGUUCGGGGAGUUGUUGAAGGAGGCUGAGAAGGUUUACGGGUUCAACCAUCCGGGUCGGAUCGUUAUACCAUGUGAGGCUUCCGAGUUUGAGAAGGUGCAGAUGAGGAUUGCUGCAGGGGACCAUUGUCAACGGCGGAGGAGGACUAGUACCCGUCGCCAUUACUUUUGAUGAUAAUUUUCGCUAAAAUUCCGUUAAUGCAUGGUCCAAAUUCAUGAUGGUGAUUUUGAUUUUUGUUGCUUUGAAAGAAUAGUCAAAUAGAGGGGGUUUUCACCCUGUAUAUUGCUACUAGAUACUGUGAAUAUUGAAAUCAAAUGAUGUUCACUGAUUCAUCAAAUGUCAUGGCAUGAAUAUAUGGAGACAUUACAUUUGUUUUGUUCUUCGACGAUCGAUCGGAUAUAAUUUACCCCGUGUAUAUGCAUGUCUCGAAGAUUUUGGGAUGAAACCUGAAAAGCUCAUUCCCUCACUAUACAAGUGAACGUUCAAACACUCUUGACGAGUGAUGACAUUCGAGCAUCAAGGAGGUUCGAGGCUAGCAAAGUAUUACAGAGAGGAACUGAUGCUCACAUUAGAACCGGAAGUAAUUACAGAGAGGAACUGAUGCGCUGUAGUAUUUAAGCAGGUAGUCUUAAAUGGUAGGAAACGCUCUGAUGAAUAAGCUGAUUUAAACGGUCGUAUACUAUACUAUUACAUAAGUAACAUACGUUUCAAAAUGGUAGUUGUGUCCACUGUCCAGUACUAUCCUAUACGUACUGUACCGUAAUGUCUCGAUCUAAACAUGUUGCCAAACAAAUUAGCAUGAUCGAGCUCGAUCGCAACUACUAAUCUCAGCACCAGAACCGAGAUUGUUCUCAACUUAACAACUUGAAAAUAAGAGAGCAACAUAUACGGGUGUGUUAUCUGAAUAAAGGCUUUGCUCACGCUAUUAUAGGUCGCCAACUUAUGCAGCUGAUCUGGAUUAGAAAUUGAUUCACCUGUCUGAUAGCGCAGAUAACAAAUACCGACCAUUACAAGCAAACCAAAAUCUUUUGUAACCCUACUAGCUAUCAUCUCUUCCUAACAAAUAGAAACAUAACAAGAAGACACGAAACACCAACAAGAGAAUUAGGCCCUGGUACGGACAGAAAGGCAUAAAACAACAAAGCAUCGUGGUGGAACAAGACCUAAUUACCAUAUAACAUGCGCCAUCAUCAUGAACAUUCCUUUUCUCCACGAAAAGGAAAUUGGUUAAUGACUUUUUGGUCCCCCGUUUGAGAUCGGAGAUCGAUCUGGGGUUGGAUUCGAGCUAGCUAGCCUUGUUGAUGCUGCUGAGCCUUCCUUUGCUUCUAACUUGGUCCCCCAUUUACCUCCCUUUCUGUGACGAAUUAAAGCUGCACCACAACUUGUUCCGAAUUCGUCACCGCGUCGGGUUAGACCGACCACUCGAAACAAGAGGCGAGGAGAAGGACUCGUGGCAGUGUGCCACCAAAUUUGGUGCAACUCGAUUUCGAUACUCGUUACUUGGUUUCUUGACGAACUUUGCUUUCACGAAUAAACCUGCGGAUUUGUUCUUUCAUGCUGAUAUAUGCAUUUGUAAUACGUACUAAUAUUCAUGCGUUGAUAGUAACCUUGAUUCCUUUGUUAGGCAUUGUGAUCUUCCGCUUGUCCCAUCUUACUGUCAAGACGGAUCUCGCAUCAAUAGGACAGUAGAAGUUUACACGUCAAAGUCCAAAAAUGCUCACUCUUGAACCAACUAGAUCAAUUUGGUUCAGUUGCACAAUAUGCAGUCCAAAUCGAUCACAAUGCUUCAAUACAACUUGAUUUGCUACCGCAGUAAGCUACAAAUUCAAAUGAGUAGAUGAGAUUCAAGCUUUAUUUACCCACGCAUGUAUGAAUCUUCUAAAUUUUAAGAGAAAUGAUUCAGAUUCUGAGAGAAACGCAUAAAAAAAGAGAUGUAAUUAACAAUGAUACUGGGCAGGAGGACAGCCACUGAAGACAGAACAUCACUCCAUACAUAUAUUACAUUUACAUGGAAAUUAUUCCCGACACAAAUCUGAUAUCUAUAUCAGCUUCUAAAAUAGAAAUAUACGGG